rnacentral:lncRNA from 1 species
AACCAGCCUCCUCCUCCUCCUACACCACCACUACCACCGCCAUCACCACGCACCGCGGCCGUGGCCGCCACCAUGCAACCCUCUCAACCUCCUCCUCUCGAUGAAAAUUACUUGCGAGAUGACGCAAGUCGCCAGAAUGCGAAGACUUGCUCUCCUCUCUCCCUUCGGAAGAGGACUGGGUCCCCACCUCUCUCCCUUUCGAAGAGGACUGUGUCCCCUCCUCUCUCCGCUUGUACCAGGGUUUCUGGUUCCCCUCUUGGCUCUUGAACAGCGUCGUCGCUUGCCAAAAUCACUUCCAAGCUCACCCCUCCGACAUCCUCCUCGUCACCAGCCCGAAAUGUGGCACCACCUGGCUAAAGGCCAUCCUCUUCGCUCUCUUGAACCGUGCCAAGUACUCUGACUCCUACUCACAACCACGCCACCCUCUCCUAACCCAAAACCCCCACGACCUCGUGUCCUUCUUGGAGUUCGGGCUCUAUCUCCAGAAUAAAAAUCCUGAUCUCACUGCUUUUACGUCCCCAAGGCUCUUGGCCAGCCACUUGCCUUAUUCCUUGCUUCCGCGAUCGGUGAGGCACUCCAAUUGCAAGCUGGUUUACUUGUGUAGGAACCCUAAAGACACUUUCAUCUCGAUGUGGCACUACUUCAACAAGUUCAGGCCUGAAGAGAAGGGCCAACUUCCACUCCUAGAGGGCCUCGACAAGUUCUGCAGAGGCAUGAGUGCGUACGGGCCUUACUGGGACCAUGUGCUGGGUUACCACAAGGCGAGCUCGGAGAUGCCCGAGAAGGUGUUGUUUGUGAAGUAUGAGGAGAUGAAAGCGGACCCGAGCGUUCAAGUGAGGAGGUUGGCCGAUUUCAUCGGGCGUCCAUUCAACGAAGAAGAAUUGAGAAACGGGACCAUGGAGGGAAUACUGAGGAUGUGUAGCUUUGACAAUUUAAGUGCAUUGGAGGUGAAUAGGAGCGGCAAGUUGCCGGGUGGAGUAGAGAAGAAGUGGUUCUUCAGGAAGGGCGAGGUUGGAGAUUGGGUGAAUUACAUGAGCGCUGAAAUGGGAGAGCGAAUUGACGGUGUCAUGGAAGAAAAGUUGCAUGGUUCUGGUUUGAAGUUUUAGGACAUAUGACCCACUCGAAGAUAUUUGGUUUGAUGGUGGAAAAGAAAAAUGUGUAAAAAAGGAAGAAAAAAGAAGCAAAAACGAUUCGAUUGUCCACACUUUAGGGGGUCAAUGUCAGGUUGGCCAAUGCGAGCGUGUUUCUGAUGCUAUAGGAUGAAAGAUUUUCAGUGGCAUUGUCAGUCGUGGCUUCGUCUCCAUAGUGAGAUGCUUUAAGGUUGUGAUUCUACUCUUCAUCUGUGUUGUGUAUUAUUAGCGUUUUGCAGAAGUUAUUUGGCCAGUACGUAGCUGGCUAAACAAAAGCUGCCUUGCUGCUCCCUGGGAGCUUGUGGAUGUAUCUUCUGUUAUUCAUUUCAAUUCCAUUUUUCUUUUUCUCUUGGCUGUGUGAAGAUUCGUGGCAUACGGUAUUAAAUACAAAGCAGUUAUUUGGUAGGUUAAACUACAAAUUAUAUUUGUUAGAUGGAAAAUAAAUUUGUUAUUAAACUUAUCGGUCCAGUUUAAUUUGUCGGUUUUCAAAGCCAUAAACUAAAACCAAACGAAAAACCAAAGGAAAAAAAAAUUCCUAAACCAAAAUUAAAACACCAAGGGCGCAUUUGGUAAUGAUUCUAUUUCGGGGAACAAUUUUUUAGCAAAAUAACACGUUUGGUAACUUCCCAAAAUUUAUAUUUUUGGGAUAGAAAUACGUUUGGUAAAAUUUUUAGAUUUUUUAGAUUUUUUAGAUUUUUUUAUUCUUUUACUAUUUUUCCUUAUUUUUUCCUUAUUUUUUUUCAUUUUCCUUUUUCUCUUUGGUCAGUCGUCGGCCACCGGCUGGGCGAUGUCCAGCAAGCUCGCCAGAGCCUCGCCAAGCUUGGGCGAGGCUCAACGAGCUCACCUGAGGCCAGCCUGGCCACAGCGAGCCUCUGCCUCGCUUGAGCGGCGUGAGGUUGGCCUUGCCCUAGCCUGAGAAGGCCCAGCCUCGCACCGAUUGGGGAGGGCGAGCCUUGUUGUUGCCACUCAAGGCUUGUCCUCGCCCAAUUCUGGCAAGGCUGAGCUUGCCUAGCCACCGACGAGGCUUGGCCUCAUUGGGCCACCGCCAGGCGACGCCGUCCUGGAGGUGGCUCGGCAAGGCCGAGCCUUGCCAGUGGUUGGGUGAGCUUGGCCUUGCCAGAUCUAGGUGAGGUCAACCUCACCCAUCCCAGGUGAGGCAAGCCUUGCCAUGCCACACCCAGCCAUGGUGUGGCUUGGGCCGACGAGCCUCGCCGUGGCUUGGCGUCUCUGAGGGCGGGCAACGCUCUAACGAGGUUGCAAGCCCUCGUCUGGCCGGUUGCUAGUGCCAGCCAUGGCCAAGGUUGGCGAUCGGCUAAAAUGAAGAAGAAAAGAAAUAGAAGAGAGAGAGAAAAAUUGAUUCUAGAAAUUGUUAUCGGGAACAAGAAGUUACUUUUUUCAACUUUUUGUUUAUGUUCCAAAUCUAUUCUCAGGAACAAAAAUUUAGAUUUUGUUUUUGUUUUCGGAAACAAAAGUUUUACCAAACACGUUUCUAUUCUUUUUUCGUUCCCUGAAACAAAAGAAUAGAAAUUUUUGUUCCGGGGAACAUAAAUUUUUUUAACAAACAAGCCCUAAAUUGCUAAACUGAGCUUAUCGAUUUUGUUCGGCUCGGUUGAUCGUUUUUUUCUGUUUUUCAUGAACAAUCCUAAUAGCAUAGAUCCUUGCCGAAGCUGGCUAUGGUUGGGCUGUGGCCAUAUUCAUGCGGUUUAUUCUUUAUUCUUUAUUUUUUUAAAACUUUCUUUCAUUUUAUUUUUUAAGAAUUCAUUAAAUUUCAACUGUUCCUCUUGUUUUUGGCUCUUUUAAGUGUUUUGAUAAACCAGCUUGUAGUUUGGUUGACCUCCUUUUUAUAAUGUAUCAAUGAGAAUAAAAAAUUAAUUUUGUCAUGUUCUUUAAUUUACUUUGCCAAUUGCUUGCCAAGUGAUGUCUUUAGCUUCCGCGUCUUUAAUCUUGUCCAUGAUACCUUCGACUUCAUUCUUCAUAUACCCAUUAUGAUUUUUCUCCUCUUUUUGCUGAUCGCCUGUUAACGGCCUAGCCAAGCCCACGCUCUUUCGAUGCUAGACUUCAGCCUACCAUCAAUUUUUCCUUCCAUAGAUGGUGCGCAUGAAGGAAUCAAACCAAAUGAAAAGAAGGCAAACGGUGAUAGAAAACGAGGAAAAGAGGAAACGGAGAAGAGAGAGACAAAGCUUGAGCGCGCAUCUCACGGGAAACUCGCUAAGCCAGGUUAGCCUCAUUUUGCAAUGCCCAAUAAUUAAUCGAACUCGUUAUUCGUCUAAUCAAAAUAAUUUUGGGAAUUAGGCCGCAAAUUUGAAGUUUAAGUGAAUUUUGAACCGUGGUUAAGGAAUUAUUAAGUUAUAUAUGGAAAUGGUCCUGUUUUGUGUGGGCAAAGUUGUGAGCCCACCACAAUGAAUGAGUUUGAAAGAGGGACCCAAGAUUUGACAUGUGCUCUCAUAUCAUAGAGCAAUACCAAAUCAUAAAAUUUAAAACAUUAAAUGAAAGGAGACUACCAGUAUACAAAACAUAUCAAACUCUAAUAAUUUAUGUGAUUUAGAACGAUACUUAAUAGUUUGAAUGGAUGAGACACCAAAUAAUUAUACUGGUGGAGGUAAAGGAUCUCAUUCCAUUUUGGGGUAUCUAUACAUUAUAAAAUUACCCUCCAACUUUACAGAAUCCUGCCAUUUUUAUUCAAUUACAGAAAUUAAUUAAAGUGGCCCAAUUGCAAUGUGGUGAGAGGAUCCAAUUCAAAGACACAUAGUCAAUAGCUCACUAUGUAGUGAAAAGAGUGACAUCUGGACUCCCGCAUACUUUUUUUUUAAUAAAAAUUGCCAUAAUUUUCCACAUAUGCACUAGCCUUCCUAAUCAGCUAUGCCACAUAAGACGGUUGAUAUUCAUGUUAGUAAUUACUAGCCAAAAUUAGUUGAAAUUGUUGGAAAUUAAUCCCAAGAAUACACACUGUUUGUUGUAGUCAGAACAUCAAUGUAAAGAAGACAAUAACAGUUAUAUAAUAUCCUUCUUUUUAUGUAAAAUUACAAAACUUGAAGAAGAAUAAAAUAAGAUAUUACUGGAAAAAUAACAUAAAAUUGGAGGUGAGGUACGGAUAACCGAAUCUCCUUAAGGCGAUUAGUUCCUGCCAAUGGUGCUCCGCAGAUUCACGAACUAUGCCUCCCAAGAUACAACACCUCGAACCUGUUUGGAUUAGCACUAUGCAAAUAGGACUCAAUCGAACCGUUCAAUUGAACCAUCACAUCCAGAAAAAACAGAAGAGUUGAAACGUAUAUCAAAGCUCUUUUGGAAUCGAGUUAGAAAAACCAAAAACCAAAAACCUUUAUGAAGCUCUAUGCUCAUAUCUAUUUAUAGAGAAUUUUUAGUUCAUGUACUAAAGAGAUACAUGAAUUAAAUAGACGCGUGUAUCCACGAGAUUCAUGAAUAAAGAGAUACGUGAAUCCAAGAGAUUCAUGAACUCAAUAAAUACAUGAACUAAAAGAUACACGGAUCUAAGAAAUUCAUGAAUUCAAUAGAUACGUGAAUAUAAAACUAUAGGAAAUUCAUGAAUCCAAAAUAGAUACGUGAACAAAAAGGACGUAUCUUAAUUUAUUGGCUUUCGUUGAUCCAUUAACCAUAAUUAUAACCAUAAUUACAACAAUCCCCCACAUUAAUGGAUCAACAAAACAUUUUUGACUCGAAGGAAUUUGAGCAUGCCUGUUGAAAUACACUGCAUCAAGAUAGGUAGUUUUCGCUUUGAACCUUCUUUAGUGAAAGCCUAUCUGACUUACUUAACUAGUCGAUGGACUAAGCCUUGAAUCGCCAAUUGUUUGUGUAAGCCUAGACAAUAAACCUCACAUGGAGUAUUUCCAAUUCAAGAUUGGUUCUCGGUUGUGUUCGUUCUUUCAGCCCUGAACCUCUCGGGAUUAAUGUGUGCUUUAGAAAAUCUAGCCUUUAAAGAUUUUCAUAGAGUCGGCCAGCUCCACGCAUAUAGGUGUAUUCCUAUUAAAGAUAUCCUAUCAUAUCUUACUUGGAUGUUAUAUUCCAAGUUAUAGGAAUCAUUAAAUGCAUAGCGUACCCUUAAUAACGCUGUAGGAAAGCACUGUUGCAUCAUAGGAAUGGGAGAUAAUGCUUACACUAGAGUUUCUAGAAUUUGCGUUGUCCUAUUGAACCUAGACCAUGGGAUUUCCAAUCGCAUAGGUUAGGUUUCCACCCUGGAAUCUCUUUAUUGGGUUAAGGCUCUUAAACCCAUUCCCCUCGAUGUGCAGUUUAUCUGCUCUUUUGACAAACUUGUUGUCAGCGAAUCUGCUAUAUUUUCCUUUAACUUUACAAAGUAUAAAAAAUGAUUCUAUUUAGAGCAACUGCCUUACGGUAUUAUGUCUAUGACGAAUGUGUAUAGACUUACCAUUAUAAAUCACAUUAUGCACCCCCACACUUUUAGAAAAUUGUAGGAUAGCAACUUUUCAUUCCAUAACUCGUAUGGAGUUUUACCUGUCUCUUUGUGGGGUAUUUUAUUAAGAAUAUAAUUUGCAGUUAAAACUGCCCCCCCCCCACAAGUUCUGAGGUAAACCUGAACUCAAAAGCAUGGCGUUAGCCUUCUCCUUUAGUGUCAUGUUCAAUCAUUCGGCAACUCCAUUUUGUUGUGGAGUAUAAGGUGCAAUCGUUUGGAGAAUUAUUCCAAAGCUAGCACAAAACUCCUUGAAAUUGAUUGAACUGUAUUCUCCUCCUCUAUUCUGAGGCACAUAAUGAGAUCUUCAAGGCUCAUCUCCUUCCGUUUGCGCUUCAAAUAAUUUUGAAGGCUGACUAGCCCGGAGGCAAUUUCUCAAUCAUAGCCGCCACUUGGAAUGAUUCACUAAGUAUCAUUCCCUCAGCAGAGAUGUCGCUCAGAAUUAAUUGUAAUUCUUAGACCUGACUCAUGACAUAUAUAGAAUCCACUAUCUUGUAGUCCAAGAAUUUGGCAACCACAAAUUUCUUGGUGCCAGCAUCCUCAAUUUUGUAUUUCUUCUCUAAGGACUCCCAUAACUGUUUAGCAGAUUCAAUAUUACAAUAAACGUUAUAUAGAGAAUUCACUAAGUAGUUAAGAAUAUAAUUUAAGUAUAAGAAGUCUCAAUGCUUCCAAGCCUCCAACGCACCAAGUGUCGUGACAUCUUGCUCAUUUGGACUAAUUAUCGGGCACACGUCCGAUAAAUAUUUCGUUAGAUUGAGCAUGGUCAGAUAGAAGAACAUCUUUUGUUGCCACUGUUUAAAGCCCACUCCGGUGAAUUUCUCCGAUUUCUCAUUAGCUGUAACUGGAGGUGUUGCCAUCACAGUAGGCAAGGUUUGUUGAACUACCCUCCAGAACCAGAGCCAAAAGCCAUUUAGCCUAUACUGUUCUAAAAAACAGUCCGGGACAUACCAGUCGUAUGACUUGUACCCACACCACCAAAAUUGGUGUUAGCCCAAGGGCCCGUAGUAUUGGCUACUACAAAUUCAGACCUUGAGGGCUUAAAAUCUUCCAUAGUAAUGGUCGAAUCAACCAUAGGAAUGUCUCCUGAAACAUUAUGGACAUUGAAUGGCACUUGAUUGUUUUCAGCCAUCUCAAUAAUCUGACAAGAACAACAAAUAGUGAGUGAUCUAAUCGCCUUAAGAUUGUUGGAAAUUAAUCCAAAGAAUACACACUGUUUGUUGUAGUUAGAACAUCAAUGUAAAGAAGACGAUAACAAUUAUAUAAUAUUCUUCUUUUUAUGUAAACUUACAAAACUUGAAGAAGAAUACAAUAAGAUAUUACUGGAAAAAUAACAUAAAAUUGGAGGUGAGGUACGGAUAACCGAAUCUCCUUAAGGCGAUUAGUUCCUGCCAAUGGCGCUCCGCAGAUUCACGAACUAUGCCUCUCAAGAUACAAUACCUCGAACCUGUUUGGAUUAGCACUAUGCAAACAAGACUCAGUCGAAUCGUUCAAUUGAACCAGCACACCUAGAAAAAACAGAAAAGUUGAAACGUAUAUCAAAGCUCUUUUGGAAUCGAGUUAGAAAAACCAAAAACCAAAAACCUUUAUGAAGCUCUAUGCUCAUAUCUAUUUAUAGAGAAUUUUUAGUUCAUGUACUAAAGAGAUACGUGAAUUAAAUAAACGCAUGUAUCCAUGAGAUUCAUGAAUAAAGAGAUAUGUGAAUUCAAGAGAUUCAUGUAUCUUUGGAUACAUGAAUUCAAGAGAUUCAUGAACUCAAUAAAUACAUGAACUAAAAGAUACAUGAAUCUAGGAAAUUCAUGAAUUCAAUAGAUACGUGAACAUAAAACUAUAGGAUUUUCAUGAAUCCAAAAGAGAUACGUGAACAAAAAGGACGUAUAUUAAUUUAUUGGCUUUCGUUGAUCCAUUAACCAUAAUUAUAACCAUAAUUACAACAUAAAUGACUAUAUUGACAAAACAUUAAAAGAUUUAAGAUUAAAUUGGUUAAAUUGAAAAGUUUAGGACUGAAUUAACCACCGUAUAAUAGGUUUAUGACUUUUUAAAUAAUUAUCCAUAAUUUUUUCUGUUGAUUGAUAAUGGUUCAUCCUGACAGAGUGAAGUACCACUUACUUUUGAACAGCCAAAAAAUUGAUGAUGCUUACAUAUACAAACGUCAUUACGCUAUGGCUAUAAAUGACUAAAAAAAUGCAAAUAUCUUCACUUACACUAGAUGUACACCAAAUGAACUCAAAAUUGCAUAUCUAACUAAAGAGACAUAUUUUCCUCUAUUCUUGCUAAAGCCAAUCUCAAAGUAGAGGAUUAGACAACCCGCUUGCAUAUUUAACUAUAAAUAAAAUGUGUGCCAUGUCAAACUAUGAUUGGAUGCUCUAACUAGGGUAGCUAAAGAUUUUCUAUGAUGUUCAUUGUUCAUAGGUUAAGAAACAACAGAAUAUGUAACUGGUUUGUAAUACCAAUUCUCACCAAUAAAGAGAAAAACUCAGAAUAAGUAGUUAGAGUAGAGAAUAAAAGUGAAAAUCAUAUUUUUCCCUGACGAGGAGAUUUGGUAGGAUGUUAAUUUCUUGCAUCUUGAUACAUACAAAUGUAAUAUCAUAUAGUAUGAAUUUGGAUGAGUAAAAAUUGAUUUACACGAUGAAAUAAUAGAUCCCAAUGAGUAUCUAAAUUAAGGAGGACGUGUACAUUCAAGCAUCCAAUAAUAGUUUUGACAUAUACACCAAUAAAUAUCGGUCUUUACCAACCUUGGUAUCAUCAAAAUUUUUUUUUUUUAAAGCUGUAGGAAAGCAUCAAAUAAUGCUGGGAGUAUUUAUCUAUUUGGGGUUUUUUUUAUUUAUUUGGAUCGAUAUUAUGAAAUUUCAUCCACGCUACCCCGGAUACGAGCCAACCAACGAAUAUUUCAAUAGGUUUGCUUCGCUUAGUUGAAAAUAGAGUUAAGUGGGCUACCUUUUAAUUGUUAUUAAAGGAUGAACAGGAACCUUCGAAUGUAUUGUUCAAAGUUGACAUGAUACAUAUGCUACUUGUAUAGAAAUUAUAAUUUGCAUUUCGCAAGAUGACAAAACAUAUUUUGCGUAUGAUAAGUUACUUUAUCCCUAUUGAAGAUGACGUUCACUUGGUAUACUAGUCAUCCCGUGAAUUCGAUACAGAAUGCAAAAUGCACCCGGAGAGAAUCCUUGAUACUUUGGGCGUUCAUCACAGUUUUUGGGCUAACAUUAUAAGAGUUAUUUUGCAUACGAUGUUUCGGGCAUUGGGUAAUGGCCAUGGAGGGUUUGACAUGAACAUAAAUUUGGCAUUAGCCACCAGAGAUGAAGUUGAAAUGGAAGACACUGAGGAAGCCUCAAUUGGAGGAUACAAGUCAAAUCCCAACCAAGUCACGCGGGGCGUCUCUAGAGGCACCAUUGAAAAGCUCGAGCGGAAGAGCUACUCUGUUGGGGAAGCUGAUGGAUGCUGUUCUAUUUGUUUAGAGGAACUAGAUGAGAAAUAUAGAGUGAAGGAGAUAUCAUGUUCGCACCUAUUGCACAAUAGGUGCAUUGUCAAGUGGCUCGAGAGGAAUAAUUCGCGUCCAUUAUGUCGUGGCAAAGUACAAGUACAAGAUUCAGAGUAGUCAGUUUUAGUUUGUAAGAUUUUCUAAUAAGAAAUGAAUUCUCUCUCUCUCUGUUUUUUUUCCCCAAUGGAUUAACUAAUUUGCUGCAAUGACUUUGGUACUCAAUGCAACGUCCGCUGCUACAGUUCCAAAAAUCACCCCUGUUAAAGAACCAAGGUCACCUGUGAUGUCCCAGUAGAGACUAUAUAUAGUGUCUGUUUCUUCUAUGGCUAGAACCUGGCGAAGAUAGUAACCUGCAUUCGGAAAGAGAGCAAAACGAAAAGAUAAUUGUCCCCAUCAAUAUUUACAUGAGAACACUCACAAAAGAAUGUUCACAUAAGAGUACCAAACGAGCAGGGAGCGGGGAGCGGGGGGAGAGAGAGAGAGAGAGAGAGAGAGAGAGAGAGAGAGAGAGAGAGAUUCUUACGCAAACCAACAUACAUAACAUGUGACAUCCUGAUUUUCUAUCUUGUCCCAAUUUUAUGAAUGGGCUUUUCAUCGACGCGCCUAUGGUCCUUUUUCUCUGAGUUGGCCACUCAUGAGAUAAUUAAUCUAUCUGGUGAAGCCAUUAAGGAUUGGAGAUAGGUUGAUUCGACAAAGGCACGUAAUUAAUUGUUGGUGAUUCCAUUUGAUUGCAAAAUUUUCGUCGAACGUCACUAAACCAAUUUUUCUGUCGAUUAUGUACCCGAUAUUCAUAAUUGAAACCUUGAGAUUUUCAUGACAAUCAAGAGUCGCCUAUGAGUUGGAGAUGCACUAUGUGGAUCGAAAAUAAUCGACCAUGGGUUAAACGUAUUAAAAAUUCCUAAAAGCUACCUAAUAGGUUAGGUCACACUAAAAUCGCGUUCGGUUGAAAUUAACCACGAAAUUGAACCCGGUUUCAGGAAUCGAAAGUUCUAGCAUGUCGCGAUUUAUUUUUAGAACGUCAACUCAUCCUUUGAAGAAUUUUCGCCGAGCUCGAAAUUUUGGCGGGAAUUCAAAAUUGGACAAUUUAAAGUGUGGAAAUUCGGAGGGGCAUUUUCAAGUGAAAUUUUGGCCUUCAAAAUGGAUUGAAUUGCGGAAGAAAUUGUGGAAUUUGGUUAGGGCUUCCUCCUCAACAAAUUUAGCCAUCAAAUUGGAGAGAAUUGUGAAGAAAUUGAAGUGCAAUGGGUGCAAAUUCGUAGGCUUGUGGGGAUGCUGCAAAUUGGUCUUCAAUUUGGCUCUAGUUGGUGAGGUUGUGUGAGGAAAUUGGCCUUAUGUGACCAAUUGAUCAAGUUGACAAGAUGGGCUGAAGAUAAGAGUGAAAAACACUCAAGUGCCAUAGAUAUUUGUGGUUGACUUGCUUGCUUCUUGUCCCCUCCUUGUUCCCUCCUUGUUCCCCCUCUCUCCCUCUUGGUUCCCCCUCAUUCUCCCUCAUUCUCGACCACCCCCAGUAGAAGCCCCCUUGUGCUGCCUUUUCCUUAUUCUUCAUCCUUUCUCCUCCUCCAUUGUUGAAGCAAAAAUAAAGGACUAACACUAGCCCUUGCACCGAAAUCGCAAGCUUCCGCCAGCUUGCCCUUGCGCCGUCCGAGCUGCUCGCGCCCUUGCGGUCCCCCCACGAGCCCAACUCCGUUUGCCUCGUGCCAUCCUUGCUUGAGCUGCCGUCCACAGCUCUCCAGCUCGUUGUCACUAAUCCCCGUGUCCGCUGUGUCUAGCUCCAGCCGUCCGACACUACCUCCAGCCUUCAGCCAAGCCGUGCGACCACUUAUAGUCCCUCGGUUCAGCCCCCUCCCGAACCGGUUUUCUCUCUUUAGCUGAGAGCUUGUUGGCUGUUUUCAGCCAUAUCCGGGCCUUCCUUAGUGUCGCUGUAGACCCGAGUUGUGGUCGCCGUCGUUGUGAACUGAUUUUUGCGCUAAACUGGUGAAUUUACCUCAUAAUAUCUAAUUAGGAUGCUAAUUACACUUAAAAGUGGAUUAGUGUCUAAUUAAUGGAUUAGUUUAGGCCUAUAUAGGAUUGAUGAUUAAUUUAGUUAGUUUAAUUAGUUAUUUAGUUAAUUAGUUAAAUUAAUUAGGUGGUUAGAUAGCUUAGAUGAUUAGUCUAAUUAGUGUAAUGUAUUUAUCCAAAGCUAGGUUAGUUAAUUAGUCCAAUUAGGUGGUUAGAUUAGCUUAGGUAGAUUAAUUAGUGGUUUAAUUUAAUUAUUUUGCAAUUUAUUUAAUUAUUUUGUAAUUUAUUUAAUUUUGUAUUAAUUAGCGGAAAUUAUACUGGGAUAGCCGGUUGUCAGAUUUUUGUGUUGAUCAUCGUGGUGCAGUUGAUUUGUGCAAUUGAUUGCUAAUUUAUGCAAUUGGAUGCUGAUUGAUGAUUUUUGAAUUAUUGUUUCAAAAAUAGGAAAUUUUGGUAUUUAAUUAGAAAAAUACCAGGUAUCAGUUUUUGAUGCAAAAAAUAUUUUAAGUGCUAUAUCAAAUUGUGGAAUUUUUUUAAAUGGGAGAGUAUCACGCUUUGUGGAUCAAUUUGACAGUGUGUCCACGCACAAUUAUUUUACCAGGUAUUUUUAAUAUGAAGAAAAUAGGCCAAAUACAUUAUUUGAAAUUGAGGCAUUUGAGUGCAAAGCACGAUAUCCUUGGUUGAGAUUGGAUGUGUGUGUGAUCGCUAUGAGAACCCGUCACCCAAUGAAAGUCGGGUGGGCGAUGCUUCUAUAUGGAAUACCCCACAUCAACAGAUGUCGGAUCGUGGUAGAGGCCGAACCGAUGCUCCUUCGGGAAUGCCGUCUAGAGGUAGACGUUGCCGUGCUCGACGGGGUGAGACGACGCCCGAUUAUGCCGGAGGACUACCGACUAUUGAGUUGGAAAUGACCCAGGUCAUAAGAACAUGGACACAUGUGAAUGAUUGAGAUAACCGUGCCUGAUUAUGGAACAAAAUUGUGUGGCAUGAAAUGGGACGUGUCAUAACAAUUUGGCCUUAUAAUUGGGACCCCUGUGAAUAUUUGAUGAUUGAUGUGCAAUGUCCCAGUUGUUAAAUAUGUUUGCUAUAUGCAUAUGUAUAUGAGAUGUGUUAACGUGCAAGGAGGUGCUGAGGCGAGGUAAGUCUUAUUUGAUAGGUGUUUAGGCUGCCUCUAAGUGAAUUAUCUUCCUAAUCUAGGUUUAGGGUGUAGACUCGCUGAGACAUUAUUUCACCCCGUCGUGGUUUAAUAUUUACAGGUCCUUAGAUGGAGGUGCGCCUCGUCCGUUUUGGGUGGUCGCGAGAGGUCGAGACCAAGCAUACUGUCUUCCCCCUCCUAGGGACUACCCGGACCCAUGAACUCGUAGUGACCACUAUCUGGGUUGAUGAGAGCCUACCUCAAUUGGUAUCUCAUCGCUUCAAGGUGUGGUUUCGCCACGAGCCUAACGGGGUUUGGGAGAGCCCCUUGGACGAUUUUGACGGACAUGUCGAAGGUGUCGAGUUGGAGAAGAUACUCGACCUCGUGUUCAACGCUGAUAUUAUAGCUGAUAUCGAGGCGAACCAAUUGCCUGAGGGUGAGGAGCCCGUAGCAAAGAUAGCUGACCCAUUAGACAUCGACAUCCUUGACGGUGUCGUGGUAGACCUAGAUCCCAACUAGAUUGGGUCUGGGGCAGCGUUAGUUUAGUAGCUCUUUUUGAGUCCAGGCCUUCUUGUACAUGACUCUAUAGGGCUGACUUAGUUUGUUUAUAAAAUAUUUUUUGUGUUAUCUGACUGUCCUGCUUUUCUAUCCCUUGUGUUUGUUGUUGUCUAGAGAUUGUUUAACUCGCUUCCGCAUAUGCAUAAAUCGUUUGGGUUGACAACGCGUCCUGGGAACGUCGCAAUUUAGUCGAUCGUCGAGGGAUAUGUGUGUGCCCAAUGUUCGGGGUGUGACGGAAUAUGUGCAACUUUAUUAGCUUGGUUCUGCCAUUUAUCCUAGGCAACAAUGACCCAUUCGUGAGAAAAUGGGGAAAGACGGCCAACAAUGUAUUAUGCGCACAUUUGAAAUAAAUUAAUAAGAUUGUUGCAGAUAUUUCUUAGAAAUUUAUUUAUUUUUUUAUAGUAGAAAGAGAAUAUUACUGAAGCGCACCAAGGGAGUGGAAACCCAUAUGCAAAAAGAGCUCGGUUACUCGACAAAUUAUGUACAGUGUUAAAGCAUUUCCAUCCGCACGACUUUCUAGGACACCAAAAGCAUAAUAUUUUUAACCAACUUUCAAUAAUUACAGAAAAGGGCGUUUCCUCUCCAAUGAAAGCUCUCAUAUUCGGCUCUCGGAAACUUAACUUAAACAAAUGACUUCCAACCAACAGAAUAUAUACAAAGACAUGCACAACAUAUGUUGUUCCAUUAAUGUUGAACACUUACAUAAGUUCUGGUAAUAAUACAAGUACCCGUGCGGGUAGUCGACCACCACACCGCCAGUGAAUCCAGCACGCAUGGCAGAACUUAAAAUCAACUCUGCUGGGCUAUGCUUUCUUGAUAAACUUGAAAAACUGCUCGUUUCAUCCCUUGCCAAGCAUCUAUAUGACGAGCCAAAAGAUGCCCUAAAAACACUCGAGACAAAUGUCGAUUAUAAGCCAGCCAAAUAGGGACUAGAAGUUCUGCAAGAUAGAAAGGCAGAAAAGAAGAAAUUUUUGAUCUGUCAGACAAUCAUCUAGUUAUCAUUCAAUGGUAAGGAAGACGCUUAAAUCUUAAGCGUGGCUCGUGAGAGCACCUAUUUGCGUUGCAUAACCACUGCAUGAAAAACAAAUAUAGAAUAAAAAAACUACAGAAAAGAAACCAAAAAGGAUUCCAAGUUACCCAUGGUAAAAUCUCAGAGAAUUUCCAGAAAGUGUAGCAAAAUUACGAAAUAAGAAUGUAUGGAAACGAUACAACAAUGACACAAGGUGUCUCACCAGGCUACGGUCCAUCAGUCCUUCAAACCCAACUAUGCCCAAGUUCUAAACAUUUCAUGUGCACACUUUACCCCAUAAGUAUCCACUUAAUAACAAGUCAUUCUUACGGAUCAUUCUUUUGGUGUCUAACUAGCAGAUAAAGGGGGAAAGACAGAGAGUUGAAUCUACCAAAGUUGAAGCACAACAGUGGCUACUUUCUGCAGGGAACUUUUCGUAUGGAUCAUUCUUUGAUUUGUCUGGCCCAAGCCAAGAGGGUUGUCACGCCCCGAUCCUUGAGUACAUGCCCAUCGCUCUCUGGUCGAUAAUAUUUUGCGACUUAUCAAGACGAGUCGCCGACCCUUUCAUUUUAUUGCACAUGCGAAGGUGAAUAAUAAAUCCCUUGACAGUAACCAUCUCGGGAUAGAAAAGCAGGACAACAAAUUCACAAACAAACAUGCCUUUAUAAACAUACCGAGUCAUGUACAAAGUCUGUAGCCAAAAGACUACAAAAGACUAGUCCUCCAAAUAGAAGUGGUCCUAACUGACCUACACUUUCGAUCACCUCUUCUCGACUCCAGCUCCUCCACUCGACGACCCUGAAAAUGGUUAUACAAUAACCAGUGAGACAAUGUCUCAACAAGUCCAAGAUCUAAACCCCAAUUAGGAGGGAAAUACGCCUAGAAGUGUUCUAAUCACACAAUCACACAAUCAAUGAGACUUACCUCAUCUCAGAUCCACCAUGCAAGUUAGUACAUUUUAUAUCUCAAACAACUUGAAAGCAUGAGCAACAACUAAGCUCAAUUAACUAGAACGCCAUACAAAAAUUCUCAAAUAAGCACAUGAGUAUUGAUUAUAGGGCCAAAUCGUUAUGACACAUGUGGCAUCCUGGAAUUUCAUAAAAAGUCCCUAAAUAUGCCAUGAGCUAUGGAUAGGCGAUAGAAGUACCUCUAUUGUAUUUUGUAGCCUCCUAGUCCAUGAGUUGCAAUGGGAUGUAAGGCCAAGUCUCUAAUGGAUGAAUUUUGGGAAAGGGAGUUUUAUCUUUGGCCAUGUGUAUGUGAUAAAUUGGAACUUAUGAAAUUAUAAUUUCAAGUGUAUAGUCAUCUUAAUUUGUAAUUUAGUACUUCAAUUUAAUAGGGAUUUAAGUAAUUUUAAAAGGGUUGAUCUUAGGCUAAUUAAGCUUGGGUCUUAGGCCCAAGAUGGAUGGGCCUAAGAUGGGCCAAGCUGGCCGGCCCAAUAGAAGCCCACAGAGGGGCUGUUGCCGGCCCAAGUGAGGCCCAAGAAGAGGAGUGGCCGGCCCAUUGCAUGGGUCUUGCCAAGUGGCAAGAAGAGCUUGCAUGCAUUGGCCAUUGGAGUGGCAAGUAAUCAUUACCAAUGAUGGAGAUUUUGGGGAAUAAAAGGAAGAGGAGGAGAGAGAGUGGCCGGUUGGUGGUAUUCGGCCAAGUGAGAAAGAGAGAGAGAGAGAGAGAGGGUUGCGAGAGAGAGAAGGGUGCCGAGAGGAGAGGAACUGAGGAGGAGGAGGAGCCGUCGCCGCCCGUUUGCAGCCGUCGCCGCCCGUUUGCCGCCCGUUUGCCGCCGUGUGCUCGUCGCUAGCUCGGUUUAGAGGCAAGUUAGGAUCCUCUUACUACUAUUGCAUAUGUGUGUUGCAUGUAUGUUUGGAGUAGUGUCGAAUUUUGGGCGAUUAGGAGGGAGAAACCGAAGCUAGAAUGACUUGUUCUUGUGUGAUGUUGCUGUUUUCGCAUGAACCGCCUGAGCCAGAAUCUCGUGAGAGCUUGCAUGCAUGUUUUGAGUUCGAUUUUGACUUUUAUUCCUUCAUGAAAGUUGUAGCCAACAUCUUAAACUACAACAUACUAAACGUUGGUGCAAAAUUGUGGAGAUUUAAGGGGUCAAACUCUCAUCCUACAGAGACACUAGAUCUGGAACUGUUUUGCUGACCUUGUGGUAGAUUUGUGGUUGCAUGUUGAUUUUUAUCAAGAAUCUCUCUUCGAAUUAUUCAUGAAACUUAUAGAGAACAUCUUAAAGAAUAACAUACUCAAAUUUGAAGUAAAAUGAACAAGUAUAUCCUAGUGAAUCGACUUACUCUUGAAGACGGUAAAUCUGGAGACGCGGUACUGGACACCCGAGACUUCAUGGACGUAUGUGGUGACUUUUCUUUAAAAAUUGGACUUAUAUCCCUUAAUGAAAGUUGUAGAGGACCACUUUAAGUAAAACAUAUCCAAAUUUCAGAGGAAAAGAAGAAGAAUAAGGGGGUAAAAACUCGGUAUUUCGGAGAUGACUACACUGGAUGUUUCGGUAUGAGAACCAGAAGCUUCGGACGACUAUAGGACAUUUUAUAAAACGAAUCUGGCCUAGAAGUAUUCAUGAAAAAUCUACUUUAGCGUCUUAAAUAUAACCUGGUAAAAUUUCAUAAUUUUCGGAGGUCAUUCAGGUAUUUUAAUCGAAUUAUUUCAAAAACUGCACAUUCUGUUUUUAUCCGAAAUUGCAUGCUGUAUUUGUGUAAAUUAUAUCUUUUGUGUGGAACUUUAUUGGCCAUGUGUUUUGCAUGAAAUAAUUAUCGUAUUGUCUUGUUUAUCACAUGCCUUAAUUUCAUGAUUUUUGGGAAUCAUAUGGAUAUUUAAUUUAAAUAUUUUCAAAAAUGGUACAAGCUGGAAUUUAAAUAAAUUUCAAAAAGGCAUGAUAAAUGAACUAUUUUAAAUUGUACGAAUUCCAUAAACUUUAUUUUUAUGAAUGAUUGCGUCUUGCUGCAUGUAUGAUGAUGACUGAUGAUGCAUGUAUAGAUCAAAGGAUGAAAGUGAUUUUGUUUGCCAUUACAUCAUGUGCCAUGCUGAGUUGAGACCUAAAUUGGUAAAUAUGAUCAAUGAUAAAUGAGGAAACUAUUUGUGGCGGAUGGUAAUGCCAUGGGAGUAUUAGGAUGCCCGGGAUGGGGGGUGCCGGAUGUCUGGAAUGUAUAGAGAUACAUGGCUGGAUGGCCUCGGGAGUUUCGAGAUGCCCGGAAUGGUUGGGUGCCGGAAGCCUCGGAGGUCUUUGCCCGAGGGGAUGCCUUGUGAUGCUAGUUGGGAUGUGAGAUGCCCUGAGUGUGGGGGUGUCGGAUGCCCGGUGGCCUUAAAUGGCUGGAUGCCAGAGGUUUUCUCGCGAUGCCAGGAUGGGGUGCGAGUGUAAAGUAUGGGAUGAAAUUGAUGAUCUUGAGAAAGAGUGAUGUGGUGAUCGAAUUGAAAAUUAAAAGUGGAAAUUGAAUCAUGCAUAUAUGACAUGAUAUGAUGAUGAUCACCUAUGGCAUGAUGAUAUGCAUAUAUGACAUGAUAUGAUGAUGAUCACCUAUGGCAUGAUGAUAUGCAUAUAUGAUAUGAUUGUGAUUAAGAUGUAUGAUGGUACAUGUAUGGCUUCAAGGUAAGUAUGCUUGGAUGCAUGAGUGACAUGUAUGAUGUUAUGAUUGUAUUGUAUGAUGCAUUGAGUGGUUAUUGGAUUCCUUUACCUGCUGAGUGGUUGUAUUCACCCAUUCGGGGACCAACAUUUCAGAUUAGUAGGAUGCCGCUCCCUGCUGUCACGCGGGGCGUAUUUUACGGCAUUCCUUCAGAUGUAGAGGUCGAGUGUGUGGAGAUCGACUGUCCCACCAUUCCUGGACUGACUUUUAUUCGAGUGCGCGCCUUCGUGAUGUACGACGUGGGCCUGGCUGGGGGCCUUGUCAUUCAGGAGUUUAUAUCCGUCCACGUUCGUCGAGACGGAGUGAUGCGUGGGAUGUUGCCGCCGCCAUCGCCUGAUGCACCGGGAUGGGUGUGAGGGCCCGUGCGUGAGGAGUAGGAGCUGCAACUUUUUGGGAUGUUAGCCGACACUAGCUGAUGGGAGAUCUUGCACGAUAGACAUAGUGGGUCGAGUGUUUCUUUUUGGGGUUGUGGCCGAGUGUAGUUAAAAAUCUUGGCCUUUCUUUUGUUGUAUCGACCCAAGAAAAAAAUCCAUCAUGAAAAUAUGUAAAUAAAAGUGUCUGGGCUCUAUCUUUUCUGAUGAUGUUUAGUGGUGUGCAAUUGCAUCAUGGUUGUUGGAGGGAGAGAUGGCGAUAUUAUAUUUUGCUUCCGCUAAUGAGUCGCGCUGGGACCGUUUCUUUUUAAAAAAAAAUGUAUGUCUAUGAUUUACGACGCUUCUUCUGAGAGAUGUAGCUAGUGUUCCAUUAGGUGUAACGUCAAGUGCCUGUGGCGACCCUAGGUGGUUCGGGGUGUCACAACACGUCCCAUACUAUGCCACACAAUUUUGUCCCAUAAUCCGGCGCAUUCAACUCAAUUAAACAUGCGUUCCUAGUUUUGAUCUCGGCAUAUAGCACGGCCUACUCUCUGUUCGGUGGUCUUCUGGCAUUGCUAGGCUUCGUCUCAUCCAUUGAGCAUGGCACGUCUCUUUCAGACGGCUUUCCUGAAGGAGCAUAGGGUUCAGAAUCUACUGCAACCGGCUUUACGUUGUCUAGGGGUAUCCCAAAUAGGGAUAACGUCCAGCUUAACAGCCUGGGACGAUUUCUCUUAACCAUCACACAAUUACUCAAAUAUGGCUCAGGGCACCGUGCAUUGCACUCAAAUACUUCAAUUAAAAUGGUGAACCUGGCAUUUUUCUUUAUAUUAGAAAUAAAUUGUAAACUAGUUGUGUGUGAGUACAUGGUCAACUUGAUCUAGAAAAAUCGACAUUCUUCCUUUUUAAAAUCCCACUAUUUUAUAUAAUACUAAAACUAUUUUCGGUGUCUAAACUCGACACUGGGAAUUUUCUGAAUAAAUAUUGGAAAUUCACAAAUUUGUAGAAAUGAACACUCAAUUGGAAAAAGUAACCACACCAUUGCAAUUAGCACGAAAUUCUGGUCAUCGGUUAUCCCGCUUUAAUUUCCAGAAAAUAUUUAAUAAUUAAAUAGUACUGAAAUUAAUUAAAUAAAUCAAUUUAAAUUCUAAAAAUACUAACCUAGGCUAGAAUCACUAAAUUAAAAAAUCGAUAUGGACCCAGAAAAUUCUCGAACCCUUCUAGAUAAAUAGCACAUCCUAUCUAGGCCUUGAUUAAUUUAAUCUAACCACCUAACAUGCACAAUUAACUAAUUAAAUCACUAAUUUAAUCUAACUAACCACAUAAUUCCUAAUUAAAUUAAACUAAACACCCCUUAGACGUCAUUAGCCUACUAAGAAGAGUUUAGUGCAUAAACUCACUAGUUUAUUGCGGAAAUUGGUUCACCGCGAUGACGACGCAACGGCAGCUGAAAUCCGAAUUUUCGGCAAUGUUGACGGACACAUGGACUAGGCCUAAAAGGCCUUGCAAGCCCACAGCAAAAUGUUGGGCUUGGCUUCGGGCUUGGGCUGCUUCGUGGGCCUCAAAUGGGCUGAUCUGGGUUUGAAGGUUUCGCUAGGCUGAGCGAAAUUUGCUUGGGCUCGUGGAUGGGCCCAACUGUUGGGCCGUGAACCUUCGCUGGAUCCGUGGACUGCUGCAGGUUGCUGAUCGUGGCUGAAGACGUUGGGGGAUGGGCCGUGAAGACACGUGGAGCUGCAGCUUGAAUGGGCCGAAGAUGCUGGACUCCACGGCUUGGCUGAUCCACGAGCGAAGACGGUUGGUUGACCAAGGGCGGGUGGAUUUGCUGGCAGCUGAAGAUGGAGACGCGAGCCACGGAGUUGAAGACGACCAUGCAGACGAAGGGGACGCGGGACACAGAGCUGCUAGGAACGUGCGGACUUUUCUUGCAGAAGGCCGCGUGGAGCUUCGGUGGACGAUGCUGUUGACCGAAGGGAGACAAAGUUUGCUGGAGGGUGCUCGUGAGUGGGCUUGCUCGAUUCUUUUUGUGCGGCCAAAUUGAAGACUCGAAGGAGAGAGAGCAGGCGGUAGUGGGCGGUCAACUUCAGUGAGCUUGGGACUAAUUUGUUGACUGGUGGAGGCUGGGAAAUUGGCAAGUGGCAGCAGUAAGAGAGAUGGAUUCGGUGGGCUGAAGCUUGGAACAAAAUGGAAGAGAGGGCUGAGCUUCGACGGUUAGAAUGAAGAAAAGCAGAAGUGUUCGAGCGUGCGGAAGAAGAUGGGCAGAAUGGGACGAUCGGCAGGAGCAAAGGAAGAAAAGUCCACAAGAAAUGUCUAAAAUCAUCAUAACUUAGCCUUUAAAGUCUUCAUGUUUAUCCUAUAGUCCCCUAAUUACUUUCUAGCAAUCUAAUUUCCAUGAAUUAACAAACUUUGAAGCCAAAAAUUUCUUCCCCUCGCAAAACUCCGAAUUUUCAUUUUUUGUCUUCAAUUUCUUUGAAAUUUUCUCCAAUUGGUAUCCAAAUUUGAUGUAGAAAAAGCCCACAUAAUUUCUACAAGUCCCCUUUGUUGGACGCAAAUUGCGCAACCCCAAGAUCUCAAUAACCAGAACAAGAACAUGCCUAAUUAAGUAGAAAGAUUAACGCACCUGUUUUGGGAUCCAUCGAACAUAAAGCGAAAGCAGAAAAGUGAUUACUCACAUAUAUCAAGGGGAUCCACGCAUCAAGUCCUUCUCCUCUAUUGCCCUCUGUAUCACUGGCUCAAUGAGGCGGCCCCCCCUCACGUUCAGCGUUAGGUAAACGCCCCUUAGGUGAGGAUACAUGUGAAAAUUCAGGUUAGAGGAGAGAUUUGAGCACUAUUUAUAGAGUUUCCAGCCAGUCCCUCUCAUUACGGGCCAGGCUCAACUCGGCCCACACUAGCCAGCCCAUAUUAGACUAAUUAAGAAACCUUCUAUCUCACCUUAGACUAAUCCUGUUUUACGGUAACCGUAAAAACAGUAAAUUACAAUAUCAAUUAAUUUAGUCAACAUUAGGAAAACUCUUACAUUCUCCCACUUGGACUAUAUUAAUUGAAAUCAUACUGUAUGUGCGCACAUUUGGUCUAGAAAUAAUUCUUAAUAGUCAAUCCUAUCCCAUAAAGUCUUAAACACCGAAUCAUGGCGGUAACUGCAUGUAUACACACAUAGCCUUCCAUGGACACAAGUGCUCUCAACUUUAUUGAUAUGGAUUUAAUAUGGUAGUGUGUCAAAUGAAUAACAUCUCUCAUAGAGAGAUCUCAUUUGUUAGUCACCAUUCUCUUACCUUAGGUGUCACAAAAACUUGUGCCACUAGAGAAUGCUUUAUGGUUCUAAUGAACCCACAUAUGUCUUAUCCUUAUGGUUAACCUUUCUUUAUGUAUCACAAGACAUAUGCACAAGGUUAAUAACCGGAUGCCCGGAUGCCCCUAGCCUUCACUCAAGGUUUAUACAAUCCCUUGAGACUUUAUUAAUAUGUAUUCAACAUAAUAACAAUACAUUCAAAAAUAUUUUAUUGAAUGCAAAAGUUGAUACAUAUCAAACCGUUACAAAGUGUAACGAACACAUAUGAAACUUUUAUCAAAGUAAAGCCAAAAUAGCUCCCACUAAAUAACAGUAUCCAAAAAAACUCCUAGGCCCAUGCUAAUGACAUGUCACUCAAAUAUACAUGGGCGUAGGCCUUUAGUUAGUGGAUCUGCAACCAUAUCAUCUGUGAAAAUAUGUUAUAUUAUAAGUCACCUUUCUGUACCGUUUCUUUAUGGUAAAAAAUAUUUGACCACCAUAUAUUUAGACCCCUUUAGACCUCUGUAAUAAAUAUAUAUAUUACUUCAAAUUUGUUAUCUCAAUACAAACGUAUGGGUCUAUUCAUCAAGUUAAAACAAUCAACUCCGUCAUGAGGUUCUGGAGCCUAAUAGCCCAAGUAACAAUCUAAAAGAAUGUUAUCAACACUGUAUACAUAGUAGAAGAUAACAUAGAACUUUAUUUACUGCACUUCCUACUAACAUAAAUUUGUAUCUUGUUAUUGAUAUUAUAUCAUCCUAACAGCCAGCAAAGUUAACAUAUGAAUACCUUACUCACUGCAAAAAUUAAACUUGUCUGUAAAUUAACAUAUAUUCUCUUGUCCUUUUAAGUACUUUAAAACCUUUUGGCAGCAACUCAGAUCGCGUCCUGGAUUCAACUUAUAUAUGCCUAAAAGUCCCAUCGCAAAGGCGAUAUUUAAUCUAGUGCAAAAUCAAAGCAUACAUUAUACUGUUAAGUGCACUGACACAAGGUACACUAUUUAAUUAGAUUUUCUCAAUAUCUAAAUAAGGACAAUGUGAUAGAUUUAGUCCAUCACCCUUAACAACAGGAGCAAUUCCCGGCUUGCAAUGAUGUAUAUUGAAUAUUUCCAAUAUAUAAUAAGCAAAUGUCCUCCAAGAAAAUCUAAUAUAAUAUGGCAAAAACAAUCCUUACAUACCUCAGUACAAAGGAUAUAAGAUGUCUCAAGGUCACAAAUUGUAAGCAAAAUAUCAUGUAUAUAGAGUAUGAGAAAAAACAAAUUUCCUCCCAUUGACCUUGUAGUAUAUUGAAUUGCUUUGUUCCUAAUUGAACAAGAUAACAAUACUAUAAAACUUUAAUAAUAUUGUUUGGAAACUUGCUUAAGGCCAUGAAUUAGAACUUUUCAGUCUAUACACAAGUUUACUUGAAUCUGCUGCAAAAUCAUCCAAUUGGACAAUAUAGAUUUUGUAUCUAUUUGGCAUAACUUUAUAUCAAAAUAAAUUAUCAAUGACACGUUCACUCUGAAAGAAUAUUUAAAGAAAUAAUUAUUUCUUCACUAUAAACAAUACACCCCUAUUUCAGAGUGAAAACAUUAUUAUCUUUUUUUUUCUAUGGCAUUUUAUCACAUACUUAAUUGAGAACAAGAAACAACAUUUAUAUAAGUUGCUAAAACAACCAUGUCGUAGAUAUUGUAAUCAUGCUUUCACAAAUAGACUAUAUAGUAUGAUGAUAUAACUGAUCGUCUUUCCCUAACAAAUCUCCUUAAUAAAGCUGCAACCACUUUAUUCUGCACUUGAGAGGUUUAAGAAAAUUUCAUUAUAAACUAUAUCAAAAAUAGUACCUUAAACCUCAACAAGUUUAGUCUAUGGUAUAGGAAAUUCAAUAAUUGUCUAUACCACAAUUAUCUGUAUAGGCAAAGAUAAAGACACAGUGAUUUUCCAUCGUACUAUUAUUCUUAAUAGUCUAAGAGCAGCUAUCAUAUACAAUUACGUUGAACUGCAUAAACUUUACAGUAUGUGAUUCCAUAAUACUUGUACCUUCUUUAGGGUCAUAAAAUUGAUACUCCUUUGAACAAUCUGAAUAAGAUACAAAAUAAUUCCAAGUGGAUCUAAAUUCCAACACACUUAAUAUUGAAUUAGAUAACCUCACUUCUGCAUGAUACUUCUAAAUUUCAUAUGAUUCAAGUAAUUUAUGUCCAAUCUAUAACUUAAAAGAAGUUUAUGAAACAACUUUGAUAAAAUACACAUUUUGUAUGUGAAAAAAUUGCUUUCAUAAUAUCAGUCCACAAAAAACCAGAUAAAUUAGUCUUACUAAUCAUACUCAUCACCAUGUUCAAUAUGGUGCAUUUAUGCCUUUCGGCCAAGUCUUUUUGUCAGAAUUUUCGGGUAUAGUAAUUAAAUUACCACUCUAGAAUCUACCAAGUAUUUGACAAAUGACCCUUUAAGCUAUUUCGCAUCGUCAUACUUGCCAAAAUACUCAUGGCCACUGUUAAACCUGACAACCAUUUAAGACUAAUUGUAAUUGUUUUAUUCUUUAUCUCGGUCAUUUUCCUUAAAUAGAAAACUUUCGGAAACAAUCUUUUAAUCAUAUACGAGAUGUAUAUGUCAUUAGGACUUAAACACAAUCUUUACAGAUGUGUCCUAAUUUCAAUAUCAGACAAGACAUAAUUUUAAGCAACUAAGGCUUCCAUCAUCUUCUAGCAGUGUAGUCCGCAGGCAAACCUCUUUUCAAGUGUUCCAGAAUGGAACGCUUCAUGAACAGUAAGCAAAUUCAAUUGCUCUUUUCUCAAGCAACAAAUCAUAUGUUCACAACUUAAAAUUUGAAGCAGUAAAAACCUCAAUAAUAAUGAAGUUAUUAAUUACAGAAAAUGUAACUGAAAAUCAAACAAUGUAUAUAAUUAGCAUCAUGUGAGUACUGUGUAACUUGACGUACAAGUACACAUCCAGAGAGUUACAUGCAUAAUCAUAUAAUCACCUUUGGUAGAAUACAUGACAUGCAGUUGUACACUCCCCACAUGAUAGCGGUUAUAAGAAUAUAUUCCAAUUCUUCGUGAAUUCAUCACCUUUGGGCAUAUGAAUCACUAGAAUCAGUCACUCCUCCACCACACUAUCAUGUAUCCCUCCAUGAACUAAUACACAAUCACCUCCUUUGGGAGUAUGACUACGAAUUAGAUCAAGAGACAUCCCAAUCAUUAUAUGAGACCGAAAUUUCUCAAACCCAAUCAAGUGUGCCACUUUGGCGGUCACUACUCAAUUGAAUCAUUAAAAUUCUCUCAUACUAGGGAUAUAAACUUUACUUAUCACAUACACCAUAUAUAUGUGAUUUUAACUUUAAUGAUAGGGGCAUCAUAUCACCAAAAUCACAUAUCAUACUAAUUACACUACUUUAUUCAUUAAUAAAAUUAAUCAUAUAUAUAUACAGCGAACCUGAAAGGUAGAUUCCAAUGAGAUCAUUGAUCACAGUAACACAAGAAACUUCUCAUAACAGAGAAUAAAACAUCUCUUAUGUACCCCAAUUACAUAUUACCAGAACAACAUAAAAAGAAUGUUGACCUAAAAUAUCUCUCACAAAUUAACAUCAAUAGUAAUACAUGGUACACCAAAUCGACAAGCUUGACAGCUAUUAUCACUCAUGAGUUCAUAAGGCAAAAAUGACUCCAAGGCCAACAACUAAUUUAUUAAUCAAUUUUAGGUAACAAAUAUCAUUACUUCAACCGGUGGCCUAUAAAUUAAGUCAAACAACAGAACUAAAUAUCUAAACUAUAACAGUAGAUACUAUUGCUCUGCAUAAAUAUUGUCAUACUCCUUAACCAUAAAAAUAUUCAACUUGAUAGACAUUAACAAGUGACCAGAUGAGUUCAUGUACAAUAUGCAGUAACUUAAUCGACAUGCAUUACCCACAUACAGCAGAUAUGUUAAUCAGUACAAUCAGUUUGGUCACGAGUUCUUAAGACGUCCAUCAUUCAAAGAUUACCAGCGUGACUUGAGCAACAAAAGUUUUAUAAUCUUUACUGUUUCUCAUCAGCUCAAUACAUAGCUCAAUUACUAUUCCAUAAUGGUUAUAUCUCAUUAAGCCAGCUUCAGUUCACAAUAAAGUUUGAUUUUUAUUGAUGAAUCACACAUUUAUAAUGAUUAUGUGAUAAUAUACCAGUAACCCAACACUUGUAUUUCCAAAAUCACAGAAAAUACAAGAAAAAUACGCAAAAAUACACUAAAAAUACACGUAUUUAGGGCUUUGUAUGUAUUUUCACAUCCAUAAAAUAAUCAAACAUAUAAAAUAUAUAUACCACGAGAUAGGAAAUCACCAUACGAGUCCAACGCCGCCAACCACGCACCGAUCGGAGCCUCCACGCACCCACACGCGCCGCCUGAGUGCGCCGCCCGUGGAGCUCAUGUGCGGCGCGCAUUCGAUGCCCAGGCGGCGCGUGGCCUCGCGUGGGGGUGCGUGCGACGCACCACCUACCGUCUUGCUCGUCUCGUCGAGCCCAGUCCGAAUUUGUGAUUUUAUUUUAUUUUUAUUUAACAAAAAGUCUUGAAAAUCACAAAUUAGGGCAAAAACUUUAUGCGUUCAAGUUCUAGGGUUACGGUUGCUCUGAUACCACAUGUUGGACGCAAAUUGCGCAACCCCAAGAUCUCCAUAACUAGAACAAGAACAUGCAUAAUUGAGUAGAAAGAUUAACGCACCUGUUUUGGGAUCCAUCGAACAUAAAGCGGAAGCAGAAAAGGGAUUACCCAUAUAUAUCAAGGGGAUCCACUCAUCAAGUCCUUCUCCUCUAUUGCUCUCCAUAUCACUGGCUCAAUGAGGCAGCCCCCUCACGUUCAGCUUUAGGUAAAUGCCCCUUAGGUGAUGAUACAUGUGAGAAUUUGGGUUAGAGGAGAGACUUGAGCACUAUUUAUAGAGUUUCCAGCCAGUCCCUCUCAUUAUGGGCCAGGCUCAACUCGGCCCACACUAGCCAGCCCAUAUUAGACUAAUUAAGAAACCUUCUAUCUCACCUUAGACCAACUUUGUUUUACGGUAACCGUAAAAAUAGUAAAUUACAAUAUCAAUUAAUUUAGUCCACAUUAGGAAAACUCUUACACCCUUUGCCAUAUAGCUUGGUUUGCAAGUCAAAAAUCUUUUCAAUUCGGCCAAUCCGAAUUUCUGUUUGUUUUCCGAAACGUCCGAAUCGAUUUUUCGUAAAAAUCCCAAAAUCAUCGAAAAAUUUUCGGAGGAUGAGUCAUCGUUCCUAAAAUAGAUCGUGACAUCACAUAAUUUUCAAUUUCUAAAAUCGGAUUCAAAUUCGUGGUUAAUUUCAAUCUGGCGCACUUUUAGCGUGAGCUAAUCUCUGGAUAACUUUUAGGAAUUUUUGGUGAAAUUGACCUGUGAUCGAUUUAUUCUCGAGUCACAAAGUACAUUUUCGACUCAUUGGCGACUCUCGGUUAGCUUGAAAAUCUUGAGGUUUGAAUUACAGACACUAGGUACCAAAACGAUAGAAAAAUCGGUCUAGUGCCGAUCAACGAGUAUUUUGCAAUAAGGUGGAAUCACCCACACUCUGAUCACAUAUCUCAAUUGAAUCGACCUAUCUCUGGUCUCUAAUCGAUUUCUGACAGUGCCAUAAUGACUCUUGUAGACCAACACGGUCGAGCAGUCGAUUCCUGGUCGAAUUCUCAAGUCCAUUGUAUUUAGAUUCCUUAAUUAUUCCGCCAGAUAGUCCAGUUAUCUCAUGAGUGAUCAACUCAGAGAAUAACAUUAUCAGUGUGUCGAUGAAAUGCUUGAUUUAUUUAAUUGAAAACGAAAUCUGAAAAUUCAGGCUGUCACAAGGUCAAUCAUGCAUCCAUAGCUCUCACUAGUUGGAGUGAUGCUGUAACCUUUGCUCAUACGUCCGAACAAGCGCCAUGCUCCAUUAAUUAGACACUUCCGAUUGCAGACCAUUGGACCUCCAAUAAACGUCACAGCAUUUGGUUGGGGCCCCUAUUUUCCAUCUCGUAGAAAAACUGCAGCCCAGUUUCAUUCUCACCAUUGACAGAAAACCCCAACAUCAUUGCACUCCAAGUUGUCAAUAUCUUUAAGAGGCAUUUGGUCAAACACUUCUUUGCGCGAAUCCGACGAACCCACAUGUGACAAGAAAAUAAUCAAUGCAAUUCGUGGCCCAAGUUCGUAAACAAUGCCACUCUCAUCUAUGUACUUAUGAACCCAUUUUCCUUCUUUAGAGGCUUCCACAAUAGCACGGCACAAUAGCACGACGCUAAGUACGCUAGCCUAAAGAGAUCCACUUAAUUUAACCGCUCGUUCCUAACGUAGCUAGAGAUCAAGGCACUGUAGGAAACAUCAUUUUCCCUGGCACUGAAUCGAACAGCCCUCGAGCUUCCUACAUGAGGCCGAUGCUACAAUACCCAGUGAUAAGGCUCGUCCAGCAUUGAACUCUGAUCAGACAGGCGAUGAACAACACUCGCAGCCCAAUGCCUUUCGGCACAUGCUUAUCGGAGAACCCACCACGUAUGCAUCACAAUCUCGCCCGAACUUCAUAGCCCGGUGGCGAAGUUGGCCAAGCAAAGGAAGAGCGAGUGCCAUGGCCCGACCAGUGAAGUGGAAGUGUGGGCAUAUGGCGAGCUUAGACAGAGACCAGCCUUCCCACGUUCGAAGUACCCCCAAGAAACCCAUCAUCCCGACUCCCAAAUCGAAGACAAUGGCGGUGGGUGAGUGGGAACACGAGAGAAAAUGCGCGCCGCGUAGUUCAUGUGGCUGCAAACGGAAGCGAGAGAGGUCGGAGAUGAUGGCGUGGGUGGUCGGUCGAUGGUUGAGCAUCUUCGGAGAAGGUUGAGCGUGUGAUAUAUUUAUUCUAUAUAUGUCUUCUUCUUCUUUUUUUAAUAGAGAAAUUAUAUAUUAUAACCGUCCAUUUAACACCCCUAUUCUAUAUUUGUCUUUAAACAUUUUGGCUGUGUUCACAGCCAAUUUUAUUAUGGAAAUAGCGAGUUUCAAGAAAUUGAAACCUAAUAUGAUGGGAGAAUCAUUUUAUGCCAUUUAGAACACAAAGGGAAUAAAAAGUUAUCGUGAUUUAUUUCUUGAUCAGUCCGCCCACAAUCAACUUUGGUCACAAAAUAUAUCAUAUUUGAGCGUAAUAAUUAUUGAUCACACUUUGUAAGAGAAAACUGUAAUCCACGCGCAAUUGCAUGACGGAUCAAUCUACCAUAAUCAACUUUGCCCACUCAAAGUAUACCUUGAUAUAUACGAAUAUAGAUAUAAACAGAAUAAAACAUUUCCUAUAUAACCACAGUGGAGAAAGAAAUGAAACAAAAAAAAAGUUGAAGACGUUAGGACUGGGCUUCAAAAGAAACACUCACCAAGGAUUGAUGCUCCAUUCGUUUCGCAGAAAAUAACUUCCAGGAAAAUAUUUUCCGAAUUUUCCGGUGUUCGGAUGGCGGAAAAUACACGGUCAACGGAAAAUAUUUUCCGUUGACCGGAAAAUCCUUCUUGAAGUCACGGAAAAUGACUUCCUCUUUUCAAAAGAGGAAAUCAUUUUCCGCACCUCUCACGCGCUCCCGCUGCUCUCUCCUUCCUUCAUCAGUUCACGUUCUCUCUCUCUCUCUUUCUUGCUCUCCCUGCUGCAAUGGCUUUGACAACGUCCUUCUCCGGGAUCAGCCUCCGCCCUCCCCAGCCGCUCCUGCCCGCCUGCUCCGGCCGGGGCGCCGCCGCCGCCGCCGCGCUCCGCUUCCCCGGCAGCUCGAAGCCGCUCGUGAGGAUCCGGCUCAAGAGGGAGCACCGCGGCGACGCCGGGAGGCUCGCGGGGAGCCCGCCGUCCAGGCCGCUCGUCGUGCGGCCGCGAGCCGUGAGCUCGUCGGAUCGGCGGCGGAGCUCGCGGCUCGCCGGAUCUAGCGGCAGAGCUCGGGCUCUCGAUCCGGGUGAGCUCGAGCUUUGUCGCUAGAUCCGGCGCGCUCGGGUGAGAUCCGGUGAGCCUCGAGCUCGCCGGAUCUGGCGGCGGAGCUCGCGGCUCGCCGGAUCUAGCGGCAGAGCUCGGGCUCCCGAUCCGGGCGAGCUCGAGCUCUGUCGCCAGAUUCGGCGAGCUCGGGUGAGAUCGGCCGAGCCUCGAGCUCGCCGGAUCUGGCCACCGGGUCUUCGUCGGCUGCUGGGCAGCCGGCCAUCGUCAGGCAGGAAGGAGGCGGCGGCGGCGGAAGGAGGAGGAAGAAGGAGGAGGAAGGAGGUGACGGCGGACGAAGCUGCUCGGGAGGAAUCGGGAGGAAGAAGGCGGAGGAAGGAGGAAGGAAAAAAAAAGAAAUAAUAAAUAAUAAAAAUUUCUAUUUUAAAAAAUAUAAAUAAUUAAAAAAAAUCAUUUUUUAAAAAAUAUAAAUAAAUAAAAUAAAUUUUUUGGUCAAUUAAAAAUAUUAAAAUUCAAUUUUUGAUAAUUUUUUUCAGGAAAAUGUUUGAGCUAACGAACAGUGGAAAAUAUUUUCCACUCAAAUUUUAGAUUUUGGCCGAACACCGGAAAAUAAAGUCAUUUUCCUGGAAAACAACUUCCAGGAAAAUGUUUUCCGGAAACAUGAUAUUUUCCGUGAAACGAACGGAGCCUCAAUUUCUCGAGAGAAAUAGAGAGAGUCUAAUUGCGUAGAAUAAUAAAAUUGUAAACAUAAAAUAAAAUUUUUCAUUGGUCAUCAAACAAAAGAAAUACUAAUUUAAGAUUAAGUCUCAUUAAAAGAUAUGUUUGACCCAUGAAUUCUAUAUGCUCUUUUAAGUUAAAUGACUUUCAAAGGGUGAUUCUUGCACUUGUGAGCCCUUUUUAAAAUGAUAUAAACAUGUAUCGAUCAUCGUCAAUCCAAGAAAACGGCUGCGCUUUAAUAGAUUUUACAUCUUAUACCAUGUUGAAACCAACAUUUUUCCUUCUGGUUGUUGCUUCUCCAAAACGGCAUGUCCCUUUAAAGAGGAAGCAACUAAUUGUACUCAACAAUUUCUAGAUGCAUACCUCUAAAAGAGAAAUUGGUUUACGUCAAUAAAUCUUUCAAAUUCAAAUCUCGAGAGAACCAUCAAGGGAAAAAAAAAAUCGAUCAGGUCUGAAUGAUUUAGACUGCACCUAGAACUGAAUCGAUUAUCAAUGAUUCACUAGGAAUUGGACUAGUGCUCACCCCUAGAUAGUAUGUCUGAAUGUAAAGAAUUUGUGCAACCAACUAAGAUCUUUGGUUUUACGUACCAGUGAAAAUGAUUUUCCUGAAUAAGUCAAUUGAAAACUUUAGUUGUGGUUACAGAAAUUUCUAGGAAGAGUUUAACUAAGCGAUGCAAAUAUUUUUUAACUGAACACCGGUCGCGAAGGUCCAUAGGUGUAGAGAGCAAAGCUCAAGCCAUAUGUGUUCUUGUUUUCUUCAACUAGUUAAUUGAUAACCUUCUACCAUGUCUUUAUUCAUAUAAAAGAAAAUACUUUUAAUACCUUCGCUAAGAUUUCAAGCAAAGUUUAGAGUUCCAAGGCAUUGGAGUUUACUAUAUCUGUUUUUGUUCAAGAAUCUAGCCUUGCGCAAAAAUAGAAUUCCGAGAAUACAACCCUUUCGAUGUCUUGCCGAAAUAAUUCAUGCUUAGCACAUCAACAAACACAAUAAAGUGAUCCAAAUGCUGCAUCUUCUCGAUAGUCUCUUUUAUGUGCAUUCUCGAUAGCGUUGACUUAUGUGCAUUCAUCACUACGUGAAAAGAAUAAAAGAAACUUUUGAGCUCUAGUCGAGCUCUCGUUUUUACUCGAACCAGUCACAUGCCAAUAAUAAAAACAAGGCAAAAAUCAAAUUGCAGAGAGGACGAGCAGUUAGUAGUUUCUCUUCCACAAUGGUCCAGAGGAACUCUGCUGCUUCUCUGUGCGCCGUAUUGCCGGGGUACCCUUGGAUCUAUAACCACCUGAUCAACAGCUUCCGAUGAAUUCUCCACAGGUGGCUUAAGAGGCCAAAAAUUUCCAUUCCUAGGGAUUAAAGAUGCUGGAAAAUUCCCGUCAUGGCGCCAUCCCUGACCUCGGUUCUGUGUGCUUGUCUGUCAAUCUAUGCCUUGACCCACUUGACCUCAACCCCUCAAGUUUAAAGGAGUCUUACCUGGUAGGGGAGCAAGAAUUAGUCCUUAGGUAUCAAGAACUCUUUGGGGACAGAAUCCAUGUCCACGUAACAAUUUUUGGCUUUAGCAUCAGCACUCCGCACAGCCCAGUCAUCAGACUGAAUCAAAGGUUUGUGUUUCCCAUUACCUAAUAAGAGUAAAAGACACUAAAACAAUCACAAUCUAUCCUUGUAAGUGACAAAUAAACAGGACACAGAGUUGGCCAUAAAGACAAAGGUAUACAACAGGGCUGAUGAAACCAUACCUUAGAUGCUCCUAUAUACCGAGUAAACAUGGGUGUCGUGUGGUAAGAGACAGAACCACCUCAGUGGGAUUCCCGACCAUAUGUAAUAUCACAAAUUAAGGUCUAAGCAAUGGCUCUCUGUAACAUAUUUAAUCAUGUUACUUGACCAGUCUCACUAUCGAUUAGGCGUUCUUGGUAAUAGUAAUUGGAAGGGACAUCAUGGAUUUGUUAAUGUAUCCUAUACUGAACAGACAACAACAUUGUUGCGGAAUCCAGCUUGCUGAAACAGCAACAGAAACAUCGAGUAGCACCAAGAGAAACGGAAGGAAGAACUGCCACUUGAUUGGCCUGCAAUGCCUCAUCAAUGACUGCCAUUUCGAAACCAUGAGAAAGGCGAGAGAAUAAAUUUCUACCACUGCUUGACAGGGUAGUGAAGACAAUCUCAGCUUCAUAUGAGAUCCAUUUUUCAAAGAAGCAGAAACAUUUUCUUGAACUAUGUGAUGUGAUUUGCAUAUGGAUUGAUGGAUCUAAAUUGCCAAUCAAGCAUUGAUGCUACGCUUAGUAUCAUAUAGGAAUAAAUUGACUCAUCUGAAUUCUCAUCGUUGAAUCAUGCUACAUUUUUCAUACUACCUAGCAGAAUUCCACUUCGCUUUUAAUAACCCUUGAUGACAGAAAUGCAAUGCAACUCAUGCAUACAUAUGAUUAGCAUUACAUUGAUCAAAUUUUGGUUCUUCGAAAACCCCAACUCUCUGUACCAUCCCCACCACGACACUCAAGAGGGAAUGUGACAUCCUGAAAUUCGAGCUCUUUGUGAGAGAAAUGAAUGUGAAUUUUGCCAAUGCAUUGUUGGUUGAUCUCACUCGGAAUUGAUUACUCCUGAGAUACUAACCUUGAGGGGAAAGGCUAAUGAGGACAGAACUCGUACGACUAAAUAACUUGACUUGGGAAAACGACUUGACCGUGAGACUUGCGUGAGAACGAUCCUGUAGAUAGGCAGGCUAAUUUCAAGGAUGACUAGAAGUCGAUUUGCGAACAUAACAUAAUGGAACGACGGGUGAUUCCGUUUACUGUUAUUGAGCUCGUGAACGACCCUAUCUCGAUCCUUAAUAAUCGUAUACUUUGAAAUAAGAAUCUAUCAUCCGCAAUUUCAUGUAGUCAAGGACGUCCAUGUGUCGAGAUGUCUUGAACGUGGUUUGGCACGAGUCGGUUACGCGUGAAUCCUCAAAGUUGCCCGUUAGUAUGAGUUGUACCCAAAAUGGCAUUGGACGAAAUUGACAUGGCAUGAGAACUAAAGAUUGGACUUCGAAUUAUCGGUAAUGUUUGGAUGGACUUUGGAUGAUGCGACUUCGAUAGUCAACAGUGCCAAGCAAGCCGAGUGUGGAGAAAAAAGACUUGAGAACCGAGAAGGCAAACCUAUGAGGACGUGGGCCGAGUAAAGCCAGUGUGGGCCUUACGCCCAACGUAGGAUAGCCAUGGUGGGCCUAGGGCAAGAAAGUGAGCCCAUUGGGCCAAAAACCACUAUUCCUCCUUCCAAGCCCAUUACCAAACCUUAAGCCCAUUUGAGCCCAACCAAUUCUUGAGCCUGUUACUAUUCAUUUCCAAGCCCAUUUCUUAGGCCCGCCCAUCAAAUUCGGCCCAAGGGAAAAUUGGGAAUUUGUGCAAGGGGAAAUUACCAUUUUGCCCCUAAAAGCAAGUGGAUAAAGGCAAAACAAGAGAGAGAAAGAUGAGGUGAUGUGCAUGGGGAUUUGGGGCUUUGAUGAGGUUUGACAGCAGUUCAAUCCUCUCUCUCUCUCCUCCUCCUUCAGCCCAAAUUGUCGAGCUCCUCUCUCCCUUUGUUCCACCUUUCUUCUUGCUUCUGUUCUAGCAAACCUUCCUCCAAAGAUUUGAGUUGAUUGUUGGCUUUCAGGACGAAUCAACUCCCGUGCCACCCACCACUGUGUCAAGGACACCUAGACCAUCUGCCUGGAGUUGACUGUUUGCCAGUCGGAGCCGUCGUUUAACCCGCCGGUUGGCCAGAAGCCAAUGCUAGUCCGACUGUCUAGUCAUGUUCUGCUCCAGUUGACCUUUCUUCGAAAACCCAAGUUAAAAGUUACAUUCCCGUGCGAAUUAGCUCACACUCCACCCACCACCGUGACCGGCACAUCUAGACCGUAUCGAAACACCCCCGCCGCUCGUCGGAACGAUCUGCCAACCAUCCCGUUUGCCGGACCGCCUGGUUCCGCUUGUUUCACCUUUGCAGCUCGUUUUCUCCCAUUCUGACCCUUCCUCCACUCAUCCCAACCUCUAGCAACUCCCCCUUGACCCCUAGGUUCCGCCGGUUGCCGGCCAACCCCUUGCCGGAGCUCCGAUGAAGCCGUUUCACUCAUUUUCCUCCUCUGCUGUUCGGUUUCUUGGAAUUGCUGAGGGAGUUCGAGCUUGUGGCUGUUGUUUUAGCCUUGGGACCACCUUGGAUCGUUGUUGUUGACGUCUCGGUGCAUCGCCUCCGACGUUGUCGCCGCGUGCGUGUCUUCGGCACGUUUAACGGGUGAGUGUAGCUCCUAAACCUCAGUUUAGUGCCUAAACUUGCUUAGGGUUGGUUUAAUUAGUGGUAAUUCUAGUUUAGAAGAUUUAAUUGAGUUAUAUUAGUCCUAAUAUAGGUGGUUAGAUUAGUGGCUAAGAUUAGUUUAGUUUAAUUUUACUUUAUUGGCUUAAAUGUGGUUUAUGUGCUUAAUUAGGCUUGUUUAACCUUAAUGGAUUAAUUGCUUGUUUAAAUUAGUGUUUUUAAUGAAUUUUGGAUUUAAUUUAUUAAUUAUUAAAUUUUGGAAUAUAUUGUUCACGACACAAUUCACACGCACUGUACAUGAAACACUGUUUAUGCGCACUGUUCAUGCGCACUAUUCACACGAGAAUGAAAAGUGUCUAAUUGCAUGUAUUUUAAUCGCAUGUAUUUUAAUCAUAUGAUGUGAUUUGAGUAUAUACAUGCAUGAGCAUCAGUAUCAAUUGAGUGAAUUUCACAAAAAAGGAAUAAUGGAUUGUCUGAGGGACAUUAGAGAUGGACCGUUUUUAUGAGAGAAGGAUUUGAGGAGGCAUGUUCGCAUGAUCAAAUGUUGGACCCUCACCCAACGGGAGUUUGGGGACCGAUGUUCCUUUUGGGAAAACUGUCUGAACGGGAGUUCGAGAUGUAGCCGUGCCCGACGAGGCAGGAUGAAGCUCGAUCUUUUUAUCGGUAGUCGUUGGGAGUUGGAUGAUCGCUAAUUGGAAAGUUAGCAAUGGCCGGGAGGUUAUUAAUAACUAGAGCACGCAUGAGUGUUGAGGUGGAUGAGCACUAAUCGGAAAGUUAGUUAUGGCCAGUAAGUCAUUAGUAACUUGAGUACUCGUGAGAGUUGUGUUGGUUGGGCCUUACUAUGGGGUAAAAUUGUGUAGCGCGGUAUGAGACGUGUCAUAACGAUUUUACCUUAUAAUCAGGACCUGUGUGAUUGAUUGAUGCACGAUAGGUGGCGCACUAAAGUGCAAGAACGUAUGAGAAUCAUGACAUCAUUAGUUUCGGUUAUAUAUGUUGAUCACAUUGUUUAUGGCACGCACGCAUGAAUCAAUAACAUGCAAGGUGUGGCAAUGGCCAAGUGAGAUUGCUUGUGAUGCGACUCAUAUGUGAUUGAUGAACUGCAUCAUCUAACGGCCAAGUGCAUUGCGUGUUUUGUGCUGAGAUUCAACGUGCACGGUAUGGCAUACCAGGUAAGGUUGCAUGCAAACCGACUAUGUAGUUAGUGGUUACCCUAGUUGUUGUGAUUUGUUGAUUGUUGGUUGUCAGUUGUGGUUGGUUUGUGGGGUGGUUCUGGAGAGAUACCCUGAGUUGAGUUGGUGUUCUAAUCGAGGGCUUAAGGGAUUUCAGGUUCUUAGGAUGGCACUUCCGCCAAUGAGGUUCAGUAUCCCUAAGGACUGGGAUACUUUGUGACGCGCCACCGCUUCUCGGGUCGAGCAUACCUGUACGAGAAGUAUCUCACUACCAUCUGGGUGGAUGAGGGACCAAGGCAAUGGACACCGCUUCCCAGGUCGAGCAUACCUGUACAAGAAGUAUCUCACUACCAUCUGGGUGGAUGAGGAACCAGGGCAAUGGAUACCCCAUAGGUUCUUGGCAUGAUUCAUCUGGAAUGGAGAUAUGUUAUUCGGUCCUCUGCAAGGUUUUGACAGGCCACUUGGUAGGGGCCUUGAGGACGAUGAUUAGGAUCUCAUGGAGCUGGACCCUCCUGACAGCACAGUGGAGAAUCCUGGCCUCGCUUCACCAGCAUCAGACCCGUGUGGCUCCAACUAUGAAUCGACGGGGUCUAAGUCCUUUGGAUCCGAGUGACGGUAGGAUCGAGCCCGAGAGUUCUUUUUGGUGUAUAGAUUGGGUUAGCCUAGACUAGUCUCUUUUUGGUCUAGCUUAGAGGAUGGAUCGGCCCCUCUGUUGGGCUUGUAAAUUAGAAAUGAUCCUCCGUAGGUUAAUCCAAUAUGAAAAUGUAAAAUGUGUAUAUAUGAGUAGAGGUUGUAUUUCUGCUGUUCAUCUCACUAUCCCUAUUUGAUUGCUUGAUUGUCUGUUGAUGAGGAGAUGGUUCGUUUUCCGCUUGCGCAUAAUGAAAGAUUAAAAAUGAAAGGGGUAGCGAUGAGUCCUGGGACAUCGCUUUCUAUCGACCAAGGAAGGGAUUGUUGCGUGCCCGGGGUUCGGGAUGUGACAGGAAAGCAACUCACGAGUGUUGAUUAGCACAAACUAUCAUCUUCCCAAUUGCGUGCGACACAACUUACUCCGGCAGAAGAGACCGAAGAGGGAUAGAUGAACUGUGCAGUGGACUAAGAGGGGGCGUAAAACCACCGCCAGAGAAAGCAGCGGCGGUGCCCUCGAAUUGGCUUCCAAAUGUGGCCAUCUUCUCUGUUUUGUUUCCCUUUUUAUUUUUUUUUCACUUGAUCAAGAGGGAAUUGUUUCCAUUGUUGGUUCAUUCGAUCCUCGGAUUUUUUUUUUCCUGUUAUGGAGCUUCUUUUUCCGUCUGUUUCUCGAUGUACUUCCAUAAGAUUCCACGAAAGAUUUCCUGGGUUUUCUCGUGCUUGGGUUUCAACGUUACUCGCGAAAUCUUGUUCAACCCACUCUUGGUAGCAACAACACAGAGAAGAUAGUCUAUUGCGGAUACAGUUUGAGGCUAAAGACAAGAAAUUCCGAUUUUUUAGGCCCACCGACCGCUGUCUUUAAUUUCUCGGUCAAGUGGCACCAUUUGCUAGUUUUCGUUGAUCAAAAUCAAUUUUGAGUUGUUUAACUGGACACAUCCACUUCUAAUGCUCAAUUUUGUGGGCAAACAUCACAAAAAAUCUCAUACUAUUCGCACUGUGGCAUAAAUACCCAAAGCUUUUUAUUUUUAUUUUUUAUAUAUAUCACAAAAAGUUAAUAAACUUGCCCACUGUGACACAAAUACUUCUGACUUUUUUUCGUGUCACAAACAAAUCCAAUGUAUAUAUAAAUAUUUUAUAUUUCAGUUCUAUUCAGAGUAUAUUUGUCACAAUUGGCAAGUUUAGGAUUUCUACUAAUAAAAAAAAAUUAGGGUAUUUGUGUCAUGGUUGGUAUAAUUUGAGUUUUCUGAGGUAUUCAUCCUUAUUUAUUUAUUUAUUUAUAAGCAAUGCUUUAUUUGCUUUUUUGAGCAUGGGUUUUUUAUUCAAUCAUGUGAUUGAGAUGCGUUUGUUUUUAUUUAUUAAUAUAACUGAAAAAAAAUAUUUGAUCACGGAUGCUGAGAGAAAGUGUGCGUGCCCACUCUAGCAUUAUUAAUCCUUGUUAGUUGAUAUCUAGCCUUAAUCAUGUAAUAAAAAUUGCGAAUAAAGUGUGGGGCAGUGAGAGUACUUUGUGUUAUAUAUAGAGUGGUUAGGAUUUGGUUUUAUACACCUAAUCUAGUGCCUUGUCUGAUAGUGUAAAUGAAAGUUCCACGUUAAACACGUGCAUUUGAACACAGCCAAAAAAAUAGAUGAUGAGUACACAUACAAGUAUCUUGACGUUGUAGCUAUAAACGAGUAAAGAAUUCAACAUAUGGGCUUGAGGUUUCAUGCUCUUGACGUUGUGACUCUCAUGUGCUAAUAAAUGUCCACCAAAUGGUUCAUUGACUUGAUACUACACACCUAACUAAAGCAACAUAUCUUUCUCCAUCCCUACUAAAGCCAGACCUCCAUUAGAGAAUUGCAAAUAAGGAUAAAACCCAUUUGUAAAUUUAACUAAGUUGAAAUUUUUGCGAUGUCAAAUUAUAAUUGGAUCUUCUAAUUAGGGACGGAGGAAAUAACAUGGCCCUUAACUAAAUAUUUUUUAUUUUUUGACAAAAAAAAAGCUAAACAAUUUUUGUUCAUGUGCAUGUUCAAAGUUCAAAGAAAAAGAAGAUUUAAUUGGAUCAAUAUACCAAUUUUCACUAAUAAAUAAAAAAUUCAGAAGAAGCCGUUCAGGUGGAGUCUAAAAGUGAUUUAUUUAUUUUUCCUACUAUGAGGAGCAUCUCCAUUUAAUGUAUAAAUUGUAAGAGACACCCAGCACCAUCUUCAUGUUCUUUAUUUAGACACCCAACCAUUCACUCCAACCAACCUCCUCCUCCACCUACGCCACCACUACCACCACCAUCACCACGCAACGCACCGCGGCCGCGGCCGCCACCAUGCAACCCUCUCAACCUCCUCCUCUCAAUGAAAAUUACUUGCGAGACGACGUCAAGUCGCAAGAAUGCGAAGACUUGCACUCCUCUCUCCCUUCGGAAGAAGACUGGGUCCCCACCUCUCUCCCUUCGGAAGAGGACUGUGUCCCCUCCACUCUCCGCUUGUACCAGGGCUUCUGGUUCCCCUCUUGGGUCUUGAACAGCGUCGUCGCUUGCCAAAAUCACUUCCAAGCUCACCCCUCCGACAUCCUCCUCGUCACCAGCCCGAAAUGUGGCACCACCUGGCUAAAGGCCAUCCUCUUCGCUCUCUUGAACCGUGCCAAGUACUCUGACUCCAACUCACAAAAACGCCACCCUCUCCUAACCCAAAACCCCCACGACCUCGUGCCCUUCUUGGAGUUCAGGCUCUAUCUCCAGAAUAAAAAUCCUGAUCUCACUGCUUUUGCAUCCCCGAGGCUCUUGGCCACCCACUUGCCUUAUUCCUCUCUUCCACGGUCGGUGAGGGACUCCAAUUGCAAGCUGGUUUACUUAUGUAGGAACCCUAAAGACACUUUCAUCUCGAUGUGGCACUACUUCAACAAGUUCAGGCCCGAAGAGAAGGGCCAGCUUCCACUCCCGGAGGGCCUCGACAAGUUCUGCCGAGGUGUGAACUGGUGUGGGCCUUAUUGGGACCAUGUGCUGGGUUACCACAAGGCGAGCUCGGAGAUGCCCGAGAAGGUUUUGUUUGUGAAGUAUGAGGAGAUGAAAGCGGACCCGAGCGUUCAAGUGAGGAGGUUGGCCGAUUUCAUGGGGCGUCCAUUCAGCGAAGAAGAACUGAGAAACGGGACCGUGGAGGGAAUAUUGAGGAUGUGUAGCUUUGACAAUUUGAGUGCACUGGAGGUGAAUAGGAGCGGCAAGUUGCCAUCUGGACUAGAGAAGAAGUGGUUCUUCAGGAAAGGCGAGGUUGGAGAUUGGGUGAAUUACAUGAGCGCUGAAAUGGGAGAGCAAAUUGACGGUGUCAUGGAAGAAAAGUUGCAUGGUUCUGGUUUGAAGUUUUAGGACAUAUGACCCACUCGAAGAUGUUUGGUUUGAUGGUGGAAAAGAAAAAUGUGUGUAAAAAGAAGAAAAAAGAAGCAAAAACGAUUCGACUCUCCGCACUUUAGGGGGUCAAUGUCUGGAUGAAAGAUCUUCAGUGGCAUUGUCAGUCCUGGUUUCGUCUCCAUAGUGAGAUGCUUUAAGGUUGUGAUUCUAGUCUUCAUCUGUGUUUUGUAUAUUUGGCGUUUGGCAGAAGUUAUUUGGCCAGUACGUAGCUGGCUAAACAAGAGCUGCCUAGCUGCUCCCUGGGAGCUUGUGGAUGUAUCUUCUGUUAUUUAUUUCAAUUCCAUUUUUCUUUUUCUCUUGGCUGUGUGAAGAUUCGUGGCAUACGGUAUUAAAUACAAAGCAGUUGUUUGGUAGGUUAAGCUACAAAUUAUAUUUGUUAGAUGGAAAAUAAAUUUGUUAUCAAGCUUAUCGGUUUAAAUUGUCGGUUUUCAAAGUCAUAAACUAAAACCAAACGAAUAACCAAAGAAAAAAAAUCCUAAACCAAAAUUAAAACCCUAAAGUGCUAAACUGAGCUUAUCAAUUUUGUUCGGCUCGGUUGAUCGUUUUUUUUUUCUGUUUUUCGUGAACAAUCCUACCAGCAUAGAUCCUUGCCGAAGCUGGCCAUGGUUGGGCUGUGGCCAUACCCAUGCGGUUUCUUCUAUUUUUUUUUUUAUUUUUUUUUUAACUUUCUUUCAUUUUAUUUUUUAAGAAUUCAUUAAUUUUCAUUUGUUCCUCUUGUUUAUGUCUCUUUUAAGUGUUUUGAUAAACCGGCUUGUAGUUUGGUUGACCCCCUUUUUAUAAUGUGUUAAUGAGAAUCAAAAAUUAAUUUUGUCAUGCCCUUUAAUUUACUUUGCCAAUUGCUUGCCAAGUGAUGUCUUUAGCUUCCGCGGCUUUAAUCUUGUCCUCUUUUUGCUGAUCGCGUGUUAACGGCCUAGCCAAGCCCACGUUCUUUCGAUGCUAGACUUCAGCCUACCAUCAAUUUUUCCUUCCAUAGAUUGUGCGCAUGAAGGAAUCGAACCAAAUGAAAAGAAGGCAAACGGUGAUAGAAAACGCGGAAAAGAGGAAACGGAGAAGAGAGAGACAAAGCUUGAGCGCGCAUCUCACGGGAAACUCGCUAAGCCAGGUUAGCCUCAUUUUGCAAGGCCCAAUAACUAAUCGAACUCGUUAUUCGUCUAAUUGAAAUAAUUUUCGGAAUUAGGCCACAAAUUGGAAGUUUAAGUGAAUUUUGAAACGCGAUUAAGGAGUUAUUAAGUUAUGGAUUUAUAUGGAAAUGGUCCUGUUUUGUGUGGGCAAAGUUGUUAGCCCACCACAAUCAAUGAGUUUGAAAGAGAGCCCCAAGAUUUGACAUGUGCUCUCAUAUCAUAGAACAAUACCUAAUCAUAAAAUUUAAACCAUUAAAUGAAAGGUGACUACAAGUAUACAAAACAUAUCAUAACUAUAACUUAAGUGAUUUAGAACUAUACUUAAUAGUUUGAAUGGAUGAGACACCAAAUAAUUAUACUGAUGGAGGUAAAAGAUUUCAUUCCAUUUUGGGGUAUCUUCACAUAAUAAAAUUCAACUCCAACUUUACAGAAUCCUGCAAUUUUUAUUCAAUUACAGAAAUUAAUUAAAGUGGCCCACUUGCAUCAUGGUGAGAGGAUCCAAUUCAAAGACAUGUAGUUAAUAACUCACCGUUGUCCACAUCUGCAAUAGCCUUCCUAACUAGCCAUGUCACAUAAGACAGUUGAUAUUCACGUUAAUAAUUACUAGUAAAAAUUAGCUGGAAUGAUUAUAUUGACAAAAAUCGAAAGAUUUAAGAUUAAAUUGGUCAAAUUGAAAAGUUUAUAACUGACUUAACCACCAUAUAAUAGGUUCAUGACUUUUUAACUAAUUAUCCAUAAUUUUUUUCUGUUGAUUGAUAAUGCUUCAUUCUGACAGAGUAAAGUACCACUUACUUUUGAACAGCCAAAAAAUGGAUGAUGCUUACAUAUACAAACGUCAUUACGCUAUAGCUAUAAAUGACUACAAAAUGCAUAUAUCUUCACUUACAUUAGAUGUAACACCAAAUGAACUCGAAAUUGCACAUCUAACUAAAGAGACAUAUUUUCCUCUAUUCUUGCUAAAGCCAAUCUCAAAGUAGAGGAUUAGACAACCCGCUUGCAUAUUUAACUAAAAAUAAAAUUUGUGGCAUGUCAAACUAUGAUUGGAUGCUCUAACUAGGGUAGCUAAAGAUUUUCUAUGAUGUUCAUUGUUCAUAGGUUAAGAAACAACAGAAUAUGUAACUAGUUUGUAAUACCAAUUCUCACCAAUAAAGAGAAAAACUCAGAAUAAGUCGUCAGAGUAGAGAAUAAAAGUGAAAAUCAUUUUUUUCCCUGACGAGGAGAUUUGUGUAGAGGAAAUAAUUCUUUACGCAUGGGAUGAAUUUGGUUGGAUGUUAAUUUAUUGCAUCUUGAUACAUAUAAAAUGUAAUAUCAUAUAGUAUGAAUUUGGAUGAGUAAAUAUCGAGAACAUAAAGAUUGGUGUACAAAAUUGAUUUACAUGAUGAAAUAAUAGAUCCCAAUGAGUAUCUACAUUAAGGAGGACGUAUACAUUCAAGCAUCCAAUAAUAGUUUUGACAUAUACACCGAUAAAUAUCGGUCUUUACCAACCUUGGUAUCAUCAAUUUUUUUUUUAAAAGCCGUAUGAAAGCAUCAAAUAAUGCUGGGAGUAUUUAUUUAUUUGGGUUUUUUUUUUUAAAGAUAUCUUCACGGGGAAAAUUGGCAGAUUGAUGUUUAUAUUAUUGAAAGACUCGGCCUGUGCUUGGCGACUUCUCAUGUAUAACAUUGACUUCAUUUUAAAACACCAGUUCAGAUUCAAUGUUGUAUCCAAUACUGGAUCGAUAUUAUGAAAUUUCAUCCACACUACCCCGGAUACAAGCCAACCAACAAAUAUUUCAAUAGGUUGCUUCGCUUAGUCGAAAAUAGAGUUAGGUGGGCUACCUUUUUAAUUAUUAUUAAAGGAUGAACAGGAACCUUCGAAUGUACUGUUCAAAGUUGAUAUGAUACGGAUGCUACUUGUAUAGAAGUUAUAAUUUGCAUUUCGCAAGAUGACAAAAUAUAUUUUGCGUAUGAUAAGUUACUUUAUCCCCGUUGAAGAUGGCGUUCACUUGGUAUACUAGUCUUCCCGCGAAGUCAGUACAAAAUGCAUCUGGAGAGAAUCCUCGAUACUUUGGGUGUUCACAGUUUUUGGGCUAACAUUAUAAGAGUUAUUUUGCAUACGAUGUUUUGGGCAUUGGGUAAUGGCCGUGGAGGGUUUGACAUGAACAUAAAUUUGGCCUUAGCCACCAGAGAUGAAGUUGAAAUGGAAGACACUGAGGAAGGCUCAAUUGGAGGAUACGAGUUAGAUCCAAACCAAGUCACACAGGACGUCUCCAGAGGCACCAUUUAAAAGAUCGAGCGGAAGAGUUACUCUGUUGGGAAAGCUGACGGAUGCUGUUCUAUUUGUUUAGAGGAACUGGAUGAGAAAUAUAAAGUGAUGGAGAUACCAUGUUCGCACCUAUUGCACAAUAGGUGUGUCAUCAAGUGGCUCGAGAGGAAUAAUUCGCGUCCACUAUGUCGUGGCAAAGUACAAGUACAAGAUUCAGAGUAGUCAGUUUUAGUUUGUAAGAUUUUCUGAUAAGAAAUGAAUUUUUUUUUUUCCCUGAUGGAUUAAACUAUUGUGCUGGAAUGACUUUGGGUACUUAAUGCAGCGCCCGCUGCUACAGUUCUGAAUAUCACCCCUGUUAAAAAACCGAGGUCACCUGUGAUGUCCCAGUAGAGACCAUAUAUAGUUUCUGUUUCUUCUAUGGCUAGAACCUGGCAGAGAUUGUAACCUGCAUUUGGAAAGAGAGCAAAACGAAAAGAAAAUUGUCCAGUCAAUAUUUACAUGAGAAACACUCACAAAAGAAUGUUCACAUAAGAGUACCAAGCGAGCGGGGAGCGGGGAACGGGGAGAGGGAGGUUGAGAGAGAUUCUUACGCAAACCGACAUACGGAAUAUGCGCAACUUUAUUAGCUCGGUUUUGCUAGUUAUCCUAGGCAACAAUGACCCAUUCGUAAGAAAAUGGGCAAAGACGGCUAACAGUGUAUUAUGCGCACAUUUGAUAAUCUCAUAUAUAAGCUGUCGUGUAUAUUAGAAAUAAAUUAAUAAGAUCGUUGCAGAUAUUUCUCAGAAAUUUAUUUAUUUUUUGAUAGGUGAAAGAGAAUAUUACUGAAGCGCAGCAAGGGAGUGGAAACCCAUAUGCGAAAAGAGCUCAGUUACUCGACAAAUUAUGUACACUGUUAAAGCAUUUCCAUCCGCACGACUUUCCAGGACACCAAAAGCAUAAGAUUUUUAACCAACUUUCAAUAAUUACAGAAAAGGGCGUUUCCUCUCCGAUGAAAGCUCUCAUAUUCGGCUCUCGGAAACUUAACUUAAACAGAUGACUUCCGACCAACAGAAUAUAUACAGAGACAUGCACAACAUCUGUUGUUCCAUCAAUGUUGAACACUAACGUAAGUUCUGGUAAUAAUAUAGGUACCUGUGCGGGUAGUCAUCCACCACACCACCAGUGAAUCUAGCACACAUGGCAGAGCUCAGAAUCAACUCUGCUGGGCUAUGCUUUUUGGAUAAACUUGAAAAACUGCUUGUGUCGCCCCUUGCCAAGCAUCUAUAUGACGAGCCAAAAAAUGCCCUAAAAACACUCUAGACAAAUGUUGAUUAUUAGCCAGCCAAAUAGAGACUAGAAGUUCUGCAAGAUAGAAAAGAAGAAAAGAAGAAAUCUUUUGAUUAUUCCGGACAAUCAUACCAUCCAAUACUAAGGGAGAAGCUUCAAUCCUAACAAUGGCUCCUGAGAGGACUUAUCGGCGUUGCAUAACCACUACAUGAAAAACAGAUAUAGAAUCAACAAACUACAGAAAAGAAACCAACAAAGAUUCCAAGUUACCCAGUGUAGGAACUCAGAGAAUUUCCAGAUAGUGUAACAAGAUUAUGAAAUAAGAAUGAUAACAUGCAAAAUUACUGACAGAAGACAAUCAGAAUGUAUGGAGACAAUACAACAAUGACAAAAGGUGUAUCACCAAGCUAUGGUCCACCGGUCCUUCAAACCCAGCUAUGCCCAAAUUCUAAAUAUUUCAUGUGCACAAUUUACCCCUUGAGUAUCCACUUAAUAACAAGUCAUUCUUACGGAUCAUUCUUUUGGUGUCUAACUAGCAGAUAAGGGGGAAAGACAGAGAAUUGAAUCUACCAAAGUUGAAGCACAACAGUAGCUACUUUCUGCAGGGAACUUUUCUUAUGGAUCAUUCUUUGAUUUGUCUGAUCCAAGCCAAGAGGUCAACCAUGCAUCCACAGUGCUCAUUAGUUGGAGCGGUGCCAUAACCUUUGCUCACACGUCCGAACAAGCGCCAUGCUCCAUUGAUUAGACACUUCCGAUUGCAGGCCAUUGGACCUCCAAUAAACGUCACAGCAUUUGGUUUAGGGCCCCUAUUUUCCAUCUCGUAGAAAAACUGCAGCCCAGUUUCAUUCUUACCAUUGACAGCAAACCCCAAUAUCGUCGCACUCCUAGUUGUCAACAUCUUUUAGAGGCAUUUGGUCAAACACUUCUUCGUGCGAAUCCGACGAACCCACAUGUGACAAGAAAAUAAUCAAUGCAAAGCCUGGCCCAAGUUCGUAAACGAUGCCACUCUUAUCUUUGUACUUAUGAACCCAUUAUCCUUCUUUAGAGGCUUCCACAAUAGCACGGCACAAAGUACGCUAUCCUAAAGAGAUCCAAUUAAUUUCACGUCUGCACGAUCUUUAACCCCAGAAAACAGCUCGAUGGUUUCAUCAAACCGCUCGUUCCUAAAUUAGCCAGAGAUCAAGGCACUGUAGGAAACACCAUUUUUCCCUGGCACUGAAUCGAACGGUCCUCGAGCUUCCUACAAGAGGUCACUGCUACAAUACCCAGUGAUAAGGCUCGUCCACCAAACCACGUCCCGCAUUGAACUCUGAUCAAACGGGUGGCUAGCAACACUCGCAGCCCAAUGCCUCCGGUACAUGCUUAUCAGAGAACCCACCAUGUAUGCAUCACAAUCUCGCGUGAACUUCAUCGCCCGGUGGUGAAGUUGGCCAAGCAAAGGAAGAACGAGCGCCAUGCCCCGACCAGAGCAGUGGAAGUGCGGGCAUAUGGCGGGCGUAGACAGAGACCAGCUUUCCCACAUUCGAAGUACCCCCAAGAAACUCAUCAUCCCGAUUCCCAAGUCGAAGACAAUGGUGGUGGGUGAGUGGGAACACGAGAGAAAAGGCACGCCGCGUAGUUCAUGUGGCUGCGAACGGGAAGCGAGAGAGGCCAAAGAUGAUGGCGUGGGUGGUCGGUCAAUGGUUGAGCAUCUUCGGAGAAGGGCGAGCGUGUGAUAUAUUUAUCACUAAUUGGUUGGAUAAUUUCGUCAUUUCACAAUGUGUAAUAAUAAAUAAAAUAUUUAUUCUAUAUAUGUCUUCUUCUUUUUUUUAAUAGAGAAAUUAUAUAUUAUAACCGGUCCAUUUAACACCCCUACUAUAUAUGUCUUUAGACAUUUUGGCUCUGUUCACAGCCAAUUUUAUUAUGGAAAUAGCGAGUUUCAAGAAAUUAAAACCUAAUAGUGAUGGGAGAAUCAUUCGAUGCUAUUUAGAACACAAAGGGAAUACAAAGUUAUCGUGAUUUAUUCCUUGAUUAGUCCAUCCACAAUCAACUUUGGUCACUAAGGGCACGUUUGUUUAAAUGUGUUUCUGUUCCCAGGAACACAAAUUUUUGUUUUUGUGUUCCUGGGAACAAAAAAGAAAGGAACACAAAAACGAAACAGAAACGCAUUUAUUUGCGUUUUUGUUCCAAAAUUAUUUUUUUGUUCUCAGAAACACAUUUGGAAUGGAAACAAGAAACUAAAAAAUUUUGUUUCUGGAAUAAAAUUUAGGAACACUUUUUCUCUCUCUUCCAUUUUCUUCUCUCUUUUUUUUCUUCUUCUUUUCUUCUUCUUUUUUCUUUAUUUUUUCUUUGGCCGGUCGCUAGCCUCGGCCAUGGCCAGCGACCGGCCGUCGAGGGCCGGCGACCUCGCCAGAGCAUCACCGGCCCCUGGUGAGGCCGACCUCGCGCCGGGCUGGGCGAGCUCAAGCCCGCCUAGCCAAGGCGAGGCCGCUGGCCCUCGUCAGCCGGUCUCCGGCAAUGUCUGAGGCUGGCGACUGGCCAAAAGAAGAAAAAAGAAAAAAGAAAAAAGAAAAAAAAGGAAAAAUAAAUAAGAAAAAAAAGAAAGAAAAUAGAAAAAAUAAAAUAAAAAUAUUAAAAGAUUAAAAGAAAUAAAAAAAUUAUACAAAUUUACCAAACGUGUUUCUAUUCUUUUUAUAUUUCUGGAACAGAUUUACCAAACACGUUUUUUGUUCAAAAAUUGUUUCGUGAAACAGCAAUACUUUUUUCUAUUUCUAUUCCCAUAAACAAUUUUUAAACAGAAAUGUUACCAAACGCACCCUAAAUAUAUCAUAUUUGAGCGUAAUAAUUAUUAAUCACACUUUGUAAGAGAAAACUGUAAUCCACGCGCAAUUGCAUGACGGAUCAAUUUACCAUAAUCAACUCUGCCCACUCAAAGUAUACCUUGAUAUAUACGAAUAUAGACAUGAACAUAAUAGAAAAUUUCCUAUAUAACCACAGUGGAGAAAGAAAUGAAAAAAGAAGAAGAAGAAAACAAUUGAAAACAUUAGGGGGCGCAUUUGAUAAUGAUUCUAUUUUCGGGAACAAUUUCUGAUUAAAAAGGAUUCUUUUAAAUUUUGUUUUUAGGACUAAUUUCUAAGCAUUUUAAGUAGUUUGGUAAUUGUUCAAAAUUUAUGAUUUUAGAAUAGAAUUCCAUUGGGUACUGUGCUUAAAAUUUCUACUCCAAAUCAAUUUUUUUUAAUUUUUAAAUAAUUUUAUUACUUUUUUUCUUUUUCUUUUUCUUUCUCUCCUAUUCUUCUUCUUCAAGUGGUUGGUCGCCGAUUCGGCGAUCGGCGAGAAGAGGGCUGGCGACCUCCCCAGAGCAUCAUCGGCCCUUGGCAAGGCCGGCCCUCGUCGGCAGAGCCUUGCUAAUGGCCAGGUAGGCCUCAUUGGGGCUGGGUGAGGCUCGCCUAGCCAUCGGCGGGGUUGGGCGAGCCUCGUUGGGGUUGGGCAAGGCCAGCCUGGCCAUCGGCGAGGCUGGGCGAGCCUCGCCGGGGCUGGGUGAGGCCUGCCUCGCCGGUGGCUGGGCUUGCCUUUAUCGAGCUUACCGGACCUUGCCUUGGCCUGGCGAGCCUUCGGUGAGCUCACCAUAGCAGUUGUCGGCGACUGGCAGCGGUGGGCGGCAAACGGCGGCGGAUGGCAACCGCGGCGGUGGCGGUAGAUGAAGAAGAAGAAGAGAAAAAGGGUAGAAGAAGAAGAAGAAAAUGGCUUGAUUAUUAGAUUUGUUCACGGGAAUAAGAAUCAACUUUUUUUUAUUUAUUCUUGAUUCUAUUCCAAAUCUACUUUCGGGAACAAAAACAUAGAAAUUUGUUCAUGGGAACAAAAAUUUUACCAAACACUUUUCUAUUCCAAAACUACUCCUAGGAACAAAAACUCAGAAUCUGGCAUUAUUGGGAUGGUUACCAAACAUUCCCUACGACUGGUCUUAAAAAGAACCACUCGCCAAGGAUUGAAUUUCUCGAGAGAAAUAGAGAGAGUCUAAUUGCAUAGAAUAAUAAAAUUAUAAACAUAAAAUAAAAAUUUUCCAUUGGUCAGCAAACAAAAGAAAUACUAAUUCAAGAUAAAGUCUCAUUAAAAGAUAUGUUUGACCUAGGAAUUCUAUAUGCUCUUUUAAGUUAAAUGGCUUUCAAAGGGUGAUUCUUGCACUUGUGAGCUCUUUUUAUAACGAUAUAAACAUGUAUUGAUCAUCGUCAAUCCAAUAAAAUGGCUGCUCUUUAAUAGAUUUUACAUCUUAAACCAUGUUGAAACCAAUGUUUUUCCUUCUUUUUGUCGCUUCUCCAAAAAGGCACGUGUCCCUUUAAAGAGGAAGCAACUAAUUGUACUCAACAAUUUCUAGAUGCAUACCUGUAAUGGAGAAAUUGGUUUAUGUCAAUAAAUCUUUCAAAUUCAAAGCUCCAUCUAAAAUAGAGAACCAUUAGGGAAAAAAAAUAAUUGAUCAGGUCUGAGUGAUUUAGUCUGCACUUAGAACCGAACUGAUUAUCAAUGAUUCCAAAUUUUAGGAACGAGGAAUUGGACUAGUGCUCACCCCUAGAUAGUAUGUUUGAAUGUAAAGAAUUUGUGCAACCAACUGAGAUCUUUGGUUUUACAUACCGAUGAAAAUGAUUUUCCUGAAUAUGUCAAUUGAAAAAUUUAGCUAUGGUUAAGGAAAUUUCUAGGAAGAGUUUAAUUAAGUGAUGCAAAUAUUUUUUAACUGAACACCGGUCGCGAAGGUCUAUAGGUGUAGAGAGCAAAGCUCAAGCCAUAUGUGUUUUGUUUUCUUCAACUAGUUAAUUGAUAACCUUCUACCAUGUCUUUAUUUAUAUAAAAGAAAAUACUUUUAAUACCUUAGCUAAGAUUUCAAGCAAAGUUUAGAGUUCCGAGGCAUUGGAGUGUUAUUAUAUGUAUCCCUGUUUUUGUGCAAGAAUCUAGCAUUGCGCAAAAAUAGAAUUCCGACAAUACAACCCUUUCGAUGUCUUGCCGAAAUAAUUCAUGGUUAGCACAUCAACAAACACAAUAAAGUGACCCAAAUGCUGCAUCUUCUCGAUAGUCCCUUUAUAUAUAUGUAUGUAUGUAUAUUGUCGAGCUUCUCAAUAGCGUUGACUUAUGUACAUUCAUUACUACGUGGAAAGAAUGAAAGAAACUCUUGAGCUCUAGUGGAGCAGUUAGUAGUCUCUCUUCCACAAUGGUCCAGAGGAAGUCUGCUGCUUCUCUGUGCGCCGUAUUGCUAGGGUACCCUUGGAUCUGUCACCACCUGAUCAACAGCUUCCGAUGAAUUCUCAAUGGGUGGCUUAAGAGGCCAAAAAUUUCUAUUCCUAGGGAUUAAAGAUGCUGGCAAGUUCUCGUCAUGGCACCAUCGCUGACCUCGGUUGUGUGUGCUCAUCUGUCAAUUAUGCCUCGGCCCACUUGACCUCAACCCCCUCAAGUUUAAAGGAGUCUUACCUGGCAGGGGAGCAAGAGUUAGUCCUUAGGUAUCAAGAACUCUCUGGGGACAGAAUCCAUGUCCACGUAACAAUUUUUGGCUUUAGCAUCAGCACUCCGCGCAGCCCAAUCAUCAGACUGAAUCAAAGGUUAACGUUUCCCAUUACCUAAUAAGAGUAAAAGACACUAAAACAAUCACAAUCUGUCCUCGUAAGUGACAAAUGAACAGGACACGGAGUUGGCCAUAAAGACAAAGGUAUACAACAGGGCUGAUGAAACCAUACCUUAGAUGCUCCUAUAUACCGAGUAAACAUGGGUUUCGUGUGGUAAGAGACAGAACCACCUCAGUGGGAUUCUUGACCAUAUGUAAUAUCACAAAUUAAGGCCUAAGCAAUGGAUCUUUGUAACAUAUUUAAUCAUGUUACUUCACCAGUCUCACUAUCGAUUAGGCAUUCUUGGUAACAGUAUUUGGAAGGGACAUCAUGGAUUUGUUAAUGCAUCCUAUACCGAACAGACAACAACAUUGUUGCGCAAUCCAGCUUGCUAAAAUCUAUCAAAAAGUCUCCUGCUAUCUAGCAAGGUCCGAUAACACUAGCAGGAAGCUGCUGCGGAUCCACAAACAGAAACAUCAAGCAGCACCAAGAGAAAGGGAAGGAAUAACUGCCACCAGAUUGGCAUGCACUGCCUCAUCAAUGACUGCCAUUUCGAAACCAUGAGAAAGGCGAGAGAAUAAGGCUGCGUUUGCUUUGAUUUCUUUUUUCUGUUUUUAAAUAAUUUUUUUGUUUUUUUGUUCCUGGGAACAAAAAAGGAACAGAAAUGCCUUUGUUUGCGUUUUUGUUCCAAAGUUAUUUUUUUGUUCCCAGAAACACAUCUAGAACAGAAACAAGAAACAAAAAAAAAUUAUGUUUCUUGUUUCUGGAACACAUUUUAAGAACAAAAAAUGAACAAAAACAUAAGCCCUCGUGUUUCUUUUCUGUUUCUUGCUCAGCCGUUCGAAGACUGCCUCUCCUCCUACAUCUUCUCCACCGUCAUCUUCUCCGGCGCCUCCCACUCUCCGGCGCCAACAACCGCCUCUGUCUCGAGACCAUCCGGCUUCUCCACCGUCGUCCUCUCCGGCGCCGAUAGCCGCCUCUGUCUCGAGACCGUUAGGCUUCUCCACCGUCGUCCUCUCCGGCACUAACAGCCGCUGCUCCUUCACUAGGUGAACCUGCUCACUGCUCCUCCUUCACCGAUUGACGAGGGCUUCAGCGAGAGCCACCCCUCACAGAUUUGGGCGAUGGCUGCUCGGAGCUCGAGCGUGAGGGCUCGCUUGAGCCAGCGCUUGCCCAGAUCUGCGAGACGCUUGCUCUAGCGAGUCUCGUAGAUCUGGGCGAGCGGGGCACCGUUGCUCGCUAGAUCUGCAGCAGCGGCUCGUCUGCUCACUCGAGAUCUGGACGAGCACGCUCGCCGAGAUCUGGCGAGCAGACGCUGCCCGAGAUCUGGACCAGCACGCUCGCCCAGAUGAGCAACUCACUCGAGCAUUUGCUUGCAGCCAAGAUCUGGACCAGCACACUCGUCCAGAUGAGUAGCUUGCUCGAGCGUUUGCUUGCAGCGAGCCCUGCUCUGCUCGCUCGCUGCUGCUCACGCUCGAGUGAGCUGUGAGUAGCAGCGAGCGUCUGCUGCUUGCUUCUCUGCUCGCUCGAGCAUGAGUAGCAGUCACUUGCUUCUCUGCUCGAGCGAGCAGAGCAGCGAGCCUAGCUCUGCUUGCUCGCUGCUGCUCACACUCGAGGGAGCAGAGUAGCAAGCGUCUGCUCGCUCGAGCAUGAGCAGCAGCGAGCGAGCAGAGUAGCGAGCGUCUGCUUGCUUGCUUGUCUGCUCGCUUGCUGCUGCUCACGCUCGAGCGAGCAGACAAGCGAGCAGAGCAGCGAGCGUUUGCUCAUUGCUCACGCUCGAGCGAGCAGAGCAGCGAGCGCCUAAUGAUAUUGAUUAUUAAACUUGUUGAAGAUCUUUGGAUUGUGUUGCAACUAGGAGAGAUUGAUGCAUAGGUGGAUGCAUCCUAAUACUGUUAAUUCCUGUAUUAGUGUCAAUCCUGUUGAUCAAACGAUAAGGUAACAUGUUACGUUUUUCAUAACUAGAGAGAGGAAAAGGACCUCUCAAAAUCUCAUCCCUUCUAUUACAGUAACACGUUACGUUUUCUGGCAAGUUAAGUCAUUGAAAUCAUUUAACUAAUUACUUUAUAAAAGUUGUGAAACUUAAACAAUCAUUUUCAAAGGAUUUUUUUGCCAAAAUAGGCUUGGUACAAUGAUUUUUGGCAAUGAUAAUGUCCGUCUCCAUCAUUUGAUUUUUGUUGCAAUGUGGAAUUAAAACUUAUCCUGUAUUGUGGAAGCCUCUUGCAUAUUUGCACUCAUUUUGGUGACUGUUUCCUUCUCUUUUCCUUGUUUCUCACUCUAUCUCAAUUAGUUGUCUCCUUCCUAGGUGAACAAUGCUGGUGUUGGUGGAUCCAUUAUCGACGCUGAUGCUUUGAGAACUUCGGUGGAUCCAUCCAAAGUUCCGCCUUACCGGUGCCAAUCCACGAAGAAAUAUUUUUUUUCCCUUGCUCUGUUUGCAAUUUGCCAGUCCUUGCCACAUAAAUCGCAAUUUGCUGAUUUUGGAAAUAGUUAUCCGCACGCUAAGGUUGGCCUUUCGGCUUCUUUUUUCUUUGUCUUAAUCUUAGAGAUCUUAUAAUUUAGUUGGACUGUGCACAAAAUAGGAUAGGGUGUACGGAUCCAUAUAGGUUACCAUGCUGAUUCUGUGUAUGGCGUGUAGUUCUUAUGGUAUUAUGUUAUUGAUUUAAUUCAUAACUCAUAUGAUGCUCAACCGGUCGAAGAUUCAAUGGCAUCUGAGAGACACUCAUUCAAUGCAAAGUGGACGGAGUCUAUAACCAAUAUACUUAUCGAUUUAAAGGGAAACCACACCUCUUCCACUUUCGACAAAGCGGGGUGGAGGAAUGUACAGUCUGAACUCAGUAGACAGACAUGAUUCCAAUUUACCAUGGUACAGCUGAGGAACAAGGAAAACAAACUGAAAAAACAGUAUGGCAGUUUUCACAAACUCAUUUCUCAGUUCGGAUUUGGUUGGGAUAAUGUGAACAAAAGAGUUGUUGUCGACGAUCCAAGUAUAUGGGAAUCUCAUAUCAAGGUAUUUCUUAACUUUGUGGUCAUUUUGAUAUCAUUACAAAUGUCAAUUUUAAAAUGUAUGAUUAUAUUGCUGAAAUGUCAAUAUUGUGAAAAUUGUAGGAUAAUGUCGAGUGGGCAAGAUUCAGGAAGAAUGGAUUUCCUCAGUAUCAUGAGCUCUGUAUUGUUUUUGGUGGUACAUAUGCUACUGGGGAUCACGCCAUAGGAAAUGCUCAAGAUGUGAAUGUGUCGGAUGAUGAUGACAAUGGUGAUGACAAUGUAGGUGGUGACAACAGUAGUGGCGAUGCAAAUGGUGUCAAUGCAGGUGGUGACUAUGAUGGUAGCAAUGCAAAUGAUUUCAUUGGACACCACAGUGAUGACAGACUCUUUACAACAGACGAUGCUGGAACUUCAGUUCAUGGAAAGCACAAAUUGGAUAGAACUCCAAAUAGUAAGUGGAGAAGAAAGAGUAACCAAUCCGGUAUUGCUGAAACUUGCAGAGCCAUACAAGAUUUUCUGAAAGUUAGGUCAUCAAGUCAAUCUGGUGGUGGCUCUGCGAGCUCAGGGACUACACAACCACCUGUAGACCAUUUCUCCAUAUCUGCUAUAGUCCAUAUUCUAUUGAGUAUGCCUGAGAUAGAGCAAGAUGUUUACAAUAAAGCAGUGGAACGAGAAUGCGCCAGUUGUCAAUGGAGGGAGGCUUUCAUUAUAUCCACAUCUGCAAGGAGGAUUGGACUUCUUCAAUUCCUUUAGUAGAUGUUUGGAAAUAUAUUAUGAAUUGCAUAGAGUUUCAUUAGACUAUAUAACUUAUAUUAUCUAUUAAUCUUUAGUUUAUUCAAAUAUGAUUAAUGUUGAGACUCUUGUACUUAUAUGUAAUGGCAUAUCUUAUUGAGAUUUUAUGACUUAUGUUAUUGAUUGUUAUUGGGAUGUGUUUUCAAAAUCUAUAUUGAUGUUUUGGUCAUUUUUGUGAUUGUAAAGGUACUAUGGAAGGGGGAUCAAAUAGUGUGUCUAAUGAGCAGGUACAACCAGUUGAACAAUUCUUGGAUGAUGAUAUUAACAUAUUGGUAGUGUGGUUCUGCUUAGCUGCGAUGGACACGUCCCUGCAUACGAGAGAACCUAUUAGGGACAAUCAAUUAUCAGGAGUAGAAUGGAUAAGGGAGAUUGUUCAUGGACAUUCAGAUAGGAUAUAUGAAACAUUUAGGAUGGAGAGACAUAUUUUUCUUAAUUUAUGUGACUUAAUGAGGGUAAGGGGUUGGUUGAAAGAUAGUUGAUAUGUUCAAAUAGAUGAACAAGUUGGGAUAUUCUUAAGUGUGGUUACUCACAAUAACUCAAAUAGAGAUUUAUGUGAGAGAUUCCAACAUUCAGGAGAAACGAUCAGCAAGUAUUUCAACAAAGUGUUGAAAGCAAUGAUCAAACUUUCAAAGGAGAUAAUCAAACCACCGUCCUUUGACGUCAUUCCACAAGAAAUUCUUAUUGAUCCUAGUCAUAAACGCUACUUCAAGGUAUGAUUUUUAUAUUGAUUUUAUACCGUCAAAUACAUGUAGUUGAUAAUCUUAUAUGAUAUUAGAUUGUUAAUAUAUUGACAGGACUGCGUAGGUGCUACGGAUGGCACCUAUAUAGAUGCUACCGUCUCUGUGUCUCAGCAGAUUCCAUUUAGAGGUAGGAGUAGAAGAACAACCCAGAAUGUGCUGUGUAUUUGCUCUUUUGAUAUGAAAUUUACUUUCGUGUAUGCUGGAUGGGAAUGAUCUGCCAACGAUUGUCGAGUGCUUUUAGCAGCACUAAAAAAUCCUCAACUACAAUUUCCCCGACCACCACCUGAUACUUACUUUGUUUAUGAAGACAAUUUUAUGAUUAUAUAUUAUGGUUGAAUAUCACAACAAAUUUAUAUAUAUCAUGUUAUAAGGAAAUAUUACGUGGUAGAUUCGGGUUAUGCAGCACUUCCAGGAUUUUUAACUCCAUUUAGAGGCGAUCGGUAUCAUCUAAGCGAGUAUAGAGGGAAUGGGGGACGACCAAGGACAUCAAGAGAAUUGUUCAACAAGAAGCACUCUUCACUAAGAAAUGUAAUUGAGAGGUGAUUUGGGGCAUUAAAGAAUUGCUUCACCAUUUUGAGACAGAUGCCUUCAUUUACAAUUCGGAAGCAAGCACUUGUUGUAAUUGCUUGUUGUGCUCUCCAUAACUACAUUCGUGAUCAAGAAGCGAUGGAUAGAAACUUUUCCCUAUAUGGAGAUCCGGAGUAUCCAUGCGAACCUACAGAAGUGGAGGUUGCAGAUGAUACAUUGCAUGAUGCACCUAGAAUAAACAUGCUAGGACAAGGAUUGCAAAUAAAAUGGCGACGGAUCAUAAUAUGCCUGAGAUUUCAUGACUUUGUGUUUCCGACUUUUGUAAUUUUGUUUUUAAGUACUCACUUAUCAAAUUCAAUGUGAUGAAGUUGAAUAAUGAACUAUAUUGUCCGGGAUAAGAACGCUUCAAGUGCCAAAAGUUGGCACAAAGGGACACUUAAGUGCCAAAAGUUACGAAAGGUACACUUGAGUGUCACAUUCGAAGAAAAACGGAUCACUUAAGUGCCACUCCGGCCAAAGUCCGGCCAAAAGGCUGACGUGGCAUUUUUCCGACGAAUUUCCGGCGAAGUGAACCCAAAACGACGCCGUUUUGCAUGCUGACAUGGCAAAUAAUGCAAAAACGGCGUCGCUUUGGGUUGACAUGGCAAAAAAAUAAUAUAACAAUUAAAUAAAUUAAAUUUAAAAUUCGAUUUAGAUAAAAUAUUAAAAAAAUUAAUUUUAAUAGUUAAAAUAUUAAAAAAAAUAAUAAAUUUAAAAUUACAUUUAGUUAAAAAUUUUAAAAAAUAAUUUAAAAAUUAAAUUUAGUUAAAAUAUUAAAAAAUAAUAAUUUUAAAAUUACAUUUAGUUAAAAUAUUUUUAAAAAUAAUUUUAAAAUAAAAUUUAGUUAACAUAUUAAAAAUAAUAAUUUUAAAAACUAAAAAUUAAAAAAAUAAUUUUAAAAUUAGAUUUAGUUAAAAAUUUUAAAAAAAUAAUUUUAAAAUAAAAUUUAGUUAACAUAUUAAAAAUAAUAAUUUUAAAAACUAAAAAUUUAAAAAAUAAUUUUAAAAUUAGAUUUAGUUAAAAAUUUUAAAAAAAUAAUUUUAAAAUAAAAUUUAGUUAACAUAUUAAAAAUUAAUAAUUUUAAAAAUUAAAAAUUAAAAUAAAUUUAAAAAAUUAAAAUAAAUUUAAAAAAUUUAAAAUUAAAUUUAGUUAAAAUAUUAAAAAAUAAUAAUUUCAAAAAUAAAAAAUUUAAAAUUAGAUUUAGUUAAAAAUUUCAAAAAAAAUUACAAUUAGAUUUAGUUAAAAAAUUAAAAAAAAUUAAUUUUAAAAUUAAUUUAUUAAAAUAUUAAAAAAUAAUAACUUUAAAAAAAUUAAAACAAAUUAAAAUAAUAAAAAUUUUAAAAUUAGAUUUAGUUAAAAUAUUAAAAAAUAAUAAUUUUAAAACUAAAUUUAAUUAAAAUAUUAAAAAAUAAUAUUUUAAAUUAAAAAAUAAAAGAAGGGGGCGGUGGNNNNNNNNNNNNNNNNNNNNNNNNNNNNNNNNNNNNNNNNNNNNNNNNNNNNNNNNNNNNNNNNNNNNNNNNNNNNNNNNNNNNNNNNNNNNNNNNNNNNNNNNNNNNNNNNNNNNNNNNNNNNNNNNNNNNNNNNNNNNNNNNNNNNNNNNNNNNNNNNNNNNNNNNNNNNNNNNNNNNNNNNNNNNNNNNNNNNNNNNNNNNNNNNNNNNNNNNNNNNNNNNNNNNNNNNNNNNNNNNNNNNNNNNNNNNNNNNNNNNNNNNNNNNNNNNNNNNNNNNNNNNNNNNNNNNNNNNNNNNNNNNNNNNNNUUUUAAAUGAUUAUUUUUUAAUAUUUUAACUAAAUUUAAUUUUAAUUUUUUUUAUAUUUUAACUAAAUGCAAUUUUAAAUUUAUUAUUUUUUUAAUAUUUUAACUAUUAAAGUUAUUAUUUUUUAAUAUUUUAACUAAAUAUAUUUUUAAAUUUAAUUUAUUUAAUUUUUAUAUUAUUUUUUUUAUCACAUGAGCCAAAAACGACGUCGUUUUUGCAUUAUUUGGCCAUGUCAGCGUGCAAAACGGCGUCGUUUUGGGUUCGGUUCGCCGGAAAAAUGCCACGUCGGCAUUUUGGCCGGAUUUUGGCCGGAUUGGCACUCAAGUGAUUCAUUUUACUCCGAUUUUGGCACUUAAGUGUACCUUUCGUAACUUUUGGCACUUAAGUGUCCAUUUGUGCCAACUUUUGGCACUUCAGGGGUCCUUGUCCCAUUACUUCAUUAUUGUGAUGUUAUGUAUGAAAGGGUCUAUGUAGAGAUCUAUAAGAUAUUCUUCUUUUAGCCAGCUCUUAUUGUACAAAUUUUACUUACGAAAUUUUGUUCCAAGUAUGCACAUGACCAUGUUCAGAAUGUUUGUCUUCACCCACCAUGAACAAAAUUAAAUUGAUGAGCAUUUCAUUAGAGUGAUAAUGCAAUACCAAGUUUACACUUUAUUGAAAAAAAGGCACGUGAGAAAAAUUUGGUACAAAGUUUAUUUAUAAAAUUUUCUUCAAAGUAUGCACUUAUAACCAUGUUUAGAAUGUUUGACUUUACUCACCAUGAACAAAAUUAAAUUGAUGAGCCUUUUAUGAUAAUGAGAAUUCAAAACCAAGUUUACACUUUAUUAAAAAAAAAAAAAAAGCAAUUGGGAAAAUUUUGGUACAAACUUAAAAAAUUUUCUUCCAAGAAAGCAAAUAUGAUCAUGUUUAGAAUGUUUGUUUUCACUUACUAUGAACAAAAUUAAAUUGAUGAGCAUUUCAUGAGAAUGAUAAUUCAAUACCAAGUUUACACUUUAUUAAAAAAAAAAAACACUUGAAAAAAAAAAUGGAACAUAAAUUUUGUGCAGUUACCAAACGUGUUUCUGUUCUUUUUCUAUUCCAGAAACAGAAAUUUUAUGCAGUUACUAAACGCGUUUUUUUGUUCAAAAAUUAUUCCCUGGAAGAGAAACACUUUUUUCUAUUUCUGUUUCCUAGAACAAUUUUUAAACAGAAACGUUACCAAACGCACCAUAAAUUUCUACCACUGCUUGACAGGGUAGUGAAGACAAUCACAGCUUCAUAUGAGAUCCAUUUAUCAAAGCAGCAGAAACUUUUCCUUGAACUAUGUGAUGUGAUUUGCAAAUGGAUCGAUGGAUCUAAAUUGCCAAUCACACAUUGAUGCUACGAUUAGUAUCAUAUGGGAAUAAAUUGACUAAUAUGAAUUCCAAUCGUUGAAUCAUGCUACAUUUUUCGACAUCCUCCAAAGAUACUACCCAGCAGAAUUCCACUUCGCUUUUAAUAACUCUUGACGACAGAUAUGCAAUGCAACUCAUGCAUACAUGUGAUUAGCAUUACACUGAGCAGAUUUUGGUUCUUCAAAAACCCCAACAUUCCAUCCCUACCACGACACUCAAGAGGGAAGCAACUCGCGAGUGUUGAUUAGCACAAACUGUCAUCUUCCCAAUUGCGUGUGACACAACUUACUCCGGCGGAAGAGACCGAAGAGGGAUAGGUGAACUGUGCAGUGGACUGAGAGGGGGCGUAAAACCACCGCCGGAGAAAGCAGCGGCGGUGCCCUCGAAUUGGCUUCCAAAUGUGGCCAUCUUCUCUGUUUUGUUUCCUUUUCUUUUUCUUUUUUUCACUUGAUCAAGAGGGAAUUGUUUCCAUCGUUGGUUCAUUCGAUUCUCGGAUUUUUUUUUUUCCUGUUAUAGAGCUUCUUUUUCCGUCUGUUUCUCGAUAUACUUCCAUAAGAUUCCACGAAAGAUUUCCUGGGUUUUCUCGUGCUUGGGUUUCAACGUUACCCGUGAAAUCUUGUUCAACCCACUCUUGGUAGCAACGACAUGGAGAAGAUAGUCUAUUGCCUAUACAGUUUGAGGCUAAAGACAAGAAAUUCCGAUUUUUUUGGCCCACCGACCGCUGUCUUUAAUUUCUCGGUCAAGUGGCACCAUUUGCUAGUUUUUGUUGAUAAAAAACAAUUUUGAGUUGUUUAAGUGGACACAACCACUUCUAAUGCUCAUUUUUUUGGGCAAACAUCACAAAAAAUCUCAUACCAUUCGCACUGUGGCAUAAAUACCCAAAGCUUAUAUAUAUAUAUUACAAAAAAUUAUAAAGUUGCCCAUUGUGGCACAAAUACUUCUGACUUUUUUUUCGUGUCACAAAUAAAUCCAAUGUAUAUAUAAAUAUUUUCUAUUUUAGUUCUGUUUAGAGUAUAUUUGUCACAAUUGGCAAGUUUAGGAUUUCUACUAAUAAAAAAAAAUUAAGGUAUUUGUGUCAUGGUUGGUAUAAUUUGAGUUUUUUUGAGGUAUUAAACCCUUAUUUUUUAUUUAUUUAUACGCAAUGCUUUAUUUGCCUUUUUGAGCAUGGGUUUUUUAUUCAAUCAUGUGAUUGAGAUGCGUUUGUUUUUAUUUAUUAAUAUAACUGAGAAAGAAAAUAUUUGAUCACGGAUGCUGAGAGAAAGUGUGCGUAUCCACUCUAGCAUUAUUAAUCCUCGUUAGUUGAUAAUAUAUCUAGCCUUAAUCAUGUAAUGAAAAUCGCGAAUAAAGUGUGGGGUAGUGAGAGUAUUUUGUGUUAUAUAUAGAGUGGUUAGGAUUUGAUUUUAUACACCUGAUCCAGUGCCUUAUCUGAUAGUGUAAAUGAAAGUUCCACGUUAAACGUGCAUUUGAACACUGCCAAAAAAUAGAUGAUGAGUACACAUACAAGUAUCUUUACGCUAUCGCUAUAAAUGAGUAAAGAAUUCGACAUGUGGGCAUGAGGUUUCACGCUCUUGACGUCGUCAAUAUCGUAUGCUAAAUGUCCACCAAAUGGUUCAUUGACUUGAUACUACCCACCUAACUAAAGCGACAUAUCUUUCUCCAUCCUUACUAGAGCCAGACCUCCAUUAGAGGAUUGCAAAUAAGGAUAGAACCCGUUUGUAAAUUUAACUAAGUUGAAAUUUUUGCGAUGUCAAAUUAUAAUUGGAUCCUCUAAUUAGGGAUGGAGGAAAUAACAUAGCCCUUAACUAAAUGAUAUUUAUUUUCUGUCAAAAAAAAAAAGCUAGACAAUUUUUGUUCAUGUGCAUGCUCAAAAUUCAAAGAAAAAGAAGAAGAUUUAAUUGGAUCGAUAUACCAAUUUUCACUAAUAAAUAAAAAAAUUCAGAAGAGGCCGUUCAGGUGGUGUCUAAAAGUGAUUUUUUUUUUCCUACUAUGAGGACCAUCUCCAUUUAACGUAUAAAUUGCAAGAGACACCCAGCACCAUCUUCAUGUUCUUUAUUUAGACACCCAAUCAUUCACUCCAAUCAGCCUCCUCCUCCACCUACACCACCACUAACACCACCAUCACCACACGCCACCGCCGCUGCCGCCACCAUGCAACCCUCUCAACCUCCUUCUCUCAUUGAAAAUUACUUGCGAGACGACGUCAAGUCGCCAGAAUGCGAAGACUUGCUCUCCUCUCUCCCUUCGGAAGAGGGCUGGGUCCAAACCUCUCUCCGCUUGUAUCGGGGCUUCUGGUUCCUCUCUUGGCUCUUGAACAGCGUCUUUGCUUGCCAAAACCAAUUCCAAGUUCACCCCUCUGACAUCCUCCUUGUCACCAGCCCGAAAUGUGGCACCACCUGGCUAAAGGCCAUCCUCUUUGCUCUCUUGAACCAUGCCGAGUACUCUGACUCCAACCCACAACAACGCCACCCUCUCCUAACACAAACCCCCCCACGAUCUUGUGCCCUACUUGGAGCUCGGGCUCUAUCUCCUGAAUAAAAACCCCGAUCUCACUGCUUUUACGUCCCCAAGGCUCUUGGCCACCCACUUGCCUUAUUCCUUGCUUCCGCGAUCGGUGAGGCAUUCCAAUUGCAAGCUGGUUUACUUGUGUAGGAACCCUAAAGACACUUUCAUCUCGAUGUGGCACUACUUCAACAAGUUCAGGCCCGAAGAGAAGGGCCAACUUCCACUCCUAGAGGGCCUCGACAAGUUCUGCGGAGGCAUUAGCGUGUACGGGCCUUACUGGGACCAUGUGCUGGGUUACCACAAGGCGAGCUCGGAGAUGCCCGAGAAGGUUUUGUUUGUGAAGUAUGAGGAGAUGAAAGCGGACACGAGCGUUCAAGUGAGGAGGUUGGCCGAUUUCAACGGGCGUCCAUUCAACGAAGAAGAAUUGAGAAACGGGACCGUGGAGGGAAUACUGAGGAUGUGUAGCUUUGACAAUUUAAGUGCAUCGGAGGUGAAUAGGAGCGGCAAGUUGCCUACUGGAGUAGAGAACAAGAGGCUCUUCAGGAAAGGCGAGGUUGGAGAUUGGGUGAAUUACAUGAGCGCUGAGAUGGGAGAGAGAAUUGACGGUGUCAUGGAAGAAAAGUUGCAUGGUUCUGGUUUGAAGUUUUAGGACAUAUGACCCACUCGAAGAUGUUUGGUUUGAUGGUGGAAAAGAAAAAUGUGUGUAAAAAAGAAGAAAAAAGAAGCAAAAACGAUUCGACUCUCCGCACUUUAGGGGGUCAAUGUCUGGUUGGCCAAUGCAAGCGUGUUUCUCAUGCUAUAGGAUGAAAGAUCUUCAGUGGCUUCGUCUGUGUUGUGUACUAUUGGCGUUUGGCAGAAGUUAUUUGGCCAGUACGUAGCUGGCUAAACAAGAGCUGCCUAGCUGCUCCCUGGGAGCUUGUGGAUGUAUCUUCUGUUAUUUAUUUCAAUUCCAUUUUUCUUUUUCUCUUGGCUGUGUGAAGAUUCGUGGCAUACGAUAUUAAAUACAAAGCAGUUAUUUGGUAGGUUAAGCUACAAAUUAUAUUUGUAAGAUGGAAAAUAAAUUUGUUAUUAAGCUUAUCGGUUUAAUUUGUCGGUUUUCAAAGUCAUAAACUAAAACCAAACGAAUAACCAAAGAAAAAAAAAAUCCUAAACCAAAAUUAAAAUCCUAAAGUGCUAAACUGAGCUUAUCAAUUUUGUUCGGCUCAUGUUGAUCGUUUUUGUUUUUUUUUCUGUUUUUCGUGAACAAUAGAUCCUUGCCGAAGCUGGCCAUGGUUGGGCUGUGGCCAUACCCAUGCGGUUUAUUCUAUUUUCUUUUUUUUUUUUUUAACUUUCUUUCAUUUUAUUUUUUAAGAAUUCAUUAAUUUUCAUUUGUUCCUCUUGUUUUUGGCUCUUUUAAGUGUUUUGAUAAACCGGCUUGUAGUUUGGUUGACCCCCUUUUUAUAAUGUGUUAAUGAGAAUCAAAAAUUAAUUUUGUCAUGCCCUUUAAUUUACUUUGCCAAUUGCUUGCCAAGUGAUGUCUUUAGCUUCCGCGGCUUUAAUCUUGUCCUCUUUUUGCUGAUCGCGUGUUAACGGCCUAGCCAAGCCCACGUUCUUUCGAUGCUAGACUUCAGCCUACCAUCAAUUUUUCCUUCCAUAGAUUGUGCGCAUGAAGGAAUCGAACCAAAUGAAAAGAAGGCAAACGGUGAUAGAAAACGAGGAAAUGAGGAAACGGAGAAGAGAGAGACAAAGCUUGCGUGCGCAUCUCACAGGAACCACGCUAAGCCAGGUUAGCAUCAUUUUGUAAUGCCCAAUAAUUAAUCGAACUCGUUAUUCAUCUAAUCAAAAUAAUUUUGGGAAUUAGGCCGCAAAUUUGAAGUUUAAGUGAAUUUUGAACUGUGAUUAAGGAAUUAUUAAGUUAUGGAUUUAUAUGGAAAUGGUCGACAAUGUUGUGAGCCCACCACAAUCAAUGAGUUUGAAAGAGGGGCCCAAGAUUUGACAUGUGCUCUCAUAUCAUAGAGCAAUACCAAAUCAUAAAAUUUAAAACAUUAAAUGAAAGGAGACUACCAGUAUACAAAAUAUAUCAUAACUAUAAUUUAAGUGAUUUAGAACGAUACUUAAUAGUUUGAAUGGAUGAGACACCAAAUAAUUAUACUAGUGGAGGUAAAGGAUCUCAUUCCAUUUUGGGGUAUCUUCACACAAUAAAUGUUGACACCUAAAUUUUGGUUACCCGUUUAGUCAUUUAUCGCAUUAAGAAAUUAUGGAUUAAUUUUAACCCAUAAAAAAUAUUAAUUAAUUAACUGCAUAGUAUUUAGUUGUAGGUGCAUUUAUUUUUUAUUUGCAUUUUAUUGGACCGGUGGUGAAUGGGUUUAAAUUUAUGUUUAUGAGCUCUAGUUUGGCAGGCCGGUCUAGGCCCACGAAAGGAGCAAAUUAGCCAAAGCCCGUUAUUUUUUAAAUUAAUUAUCUCGUGGGAAAUUGAGAUUUUUUGCGAUAUUAUGGUGAUUUUUAGAAUCAGGUUGUAAUCUUAUCUUUAGUCUUUAGGUGAUAAGAUCGUUGGGAAUAUUAAGGAGAUAAGGAAAAUAAGAGGAUUUUGGGUGAUCGGGAGGUUAUAGAUUAUUUUCGUGUAUAUUGAAAAAAGCGAGAUAAAAUAUCUAUAAAAGCAAUCGUGGACUUACCUAUAAAAGCAAUCGUGGACGGCAAGAGAAGGGGGCUUUUCGAGGUUUCUCUUCGUUGAAAGAGGAAUUAUUCUCGGUUUUCAAAGUAAAAAAAUAACACAAAAGAGAAAGGAAAAAAGCAAGGAAGAGCCGUGCGUGGAGAAAGGGGAAAAGCAAAAAGCAAAAGGAGGAACAGUGUGGGGACAGUGACUGUUCACUGUCUCCUUCCCUUCGCUGCUCACGAUCGUGCACCACCGGUCGGAGGUCCACACCGCCGGGCGACCCGGAGCCUCACGCCGCACCACCGUGCCCACACCGCCGCCACUCCGUUGUGGUCCUCCUUCGACGAGUCUUCACCGCCGUUCCGCCAGUCUCGCCACGACAUCCGGCCCCGCCGUCGUCGCACGCAGCUGCUCCCUUGCCGGUUCGUCUCCCUUGCGCGACCCACUGCCGAGAUCUGCCGUCCUGCCCCACCGCACCUCCGUCUGCGAACACCCUAGCAGACGACCCGACGUUACUCUGUUCUGCCCGUUCGAAGUUGCUGUCGGUGAUGCUACUUCUGCUCUGGUUCUGCUCAUGCCCCAGUAGAUCUCGAGACGGUUCCUCCCUGUUCUGUUCGUGAGUCGCCUGAAGCCACUUUGCUCCGAUGCCCAGCGAGUACCGUGCCACCACACCGACCCGCGAAACGCCCUGCCGUCUGCUGCCGGAGUCCCCGCAACGGAGCUCUGACACCGCGAGCCCAUCUCGUCUGCAACCCGAGCCAGAUUGGUAGCCCUACCGCGCACCACUUCCGAUCCGACGCUGUUCUGCCCGAGUCCGAUUGACCCGAGCCAGAUCUGCCCGACGCUAGUGCCCAGCGCCCGAAGCCAGCAGCCCGCGUCCGACGACCGUGCUCCUGCUUCCGCCGAUGCCGCGCCUCUACCUGCCAGUCUGCUUGCCACCGAUCCCCCUCGCCGGAGCUCCGACCGCGACGCCCUCUGACGAUCGAGAUUCGCUGCCCGGUGACCAGCCACACGAGCAAGCCCACUUUUGCGGAAAGAAAAAAAGAAAAAGAGAAAAAGAAAAAAAUCAGAUUAGGUAGUUUUUCUUUUAUGUUUUGUUUUGUUUUUUUAUCAUUUUUAUUAUUAUGUCUUUAAUAUUCUGUUUUAGUGGAAUUGUUCCUUAAAAUAUUAUUGAUAUCCCAAUAUGAAAUAGUCCCUCAAGCUAGGGAUUGACAGUCCGAUUUUUGCGCCCGAAAUCUGACUCGCAAUCCUUUACAAAAAUCGACAAUUCAAUCUUAAGCCCGAGAUUCGAUUCGCGAUUUAAUUUUAAAAUUGGUCAACCCGAUCUCAUGCACGAGAUAUGGUUCGCCAAUUUUUGGAUAUCAAUAUUGUCUUGCUUGAUUAGAUGUCGUGUGUUUGGAUCAAUUUUAUUUUCAUAAGAGGAAAAAAAAAUUGAAUUAGGGUUAAGUUUGUUUUAGAAUAUUCCUAGUCUAAGGUUUAAAAUCGCAAUCUUAUUUCGAAUUUUUAAAUAAGAAAAUAAAAAAAAUCUGAAUAAGGAUUAGGUUUGUUUUUAUUAUCCUGCAUAUUUAGGAUUGCAAUCUUAUUUCGAAUUUUUAAAUUAAAAAUCUAAAAAAGAAAGUGCAUUCAUUUAGGUUGUUAGUUUUUUUAUUCGAAUUGCAUGUUUAAUUAUGUGAAGUUUUAAUUUCGAAUUUCUUAAAGAAAAAACACAAAAAAAAAAAAAUCAUUGUGCAUAUUAGAUUAGAAUUGCAUGUUUCAUUUUAAAUUUAGAUAAUCUUUUUUAGAUAAAUUGCAUUUUUGAUUUAGAUAAUGUCUUAGUUUAAAUUAGGAUUUAAUAUGACUUAAUCCCCUAGUUUAAAUUAGAUAGAAUCUUAAUCUAGCUAGAUCAUUUCAAAUUUCAUAAAAUUUGUCUUAUGAUAAAUUAGUUGCAAUUUUUAGGAUAGAUUGCAUUUUAAAAAUAAAAAAUGUCAUUUGCACGUCAUACAGAAUUAGGUUAAUGAAAUGCACGUUAUUUUAGUGAUUAUUGUUAGGUUCAUUUCUAAUUAGAAAUUGUCCGUCAUUAGAUUAUGUCAUUUAAUAAAUGUUGCGUGACAUAUAGCUCGCAUAUUAAAUUAUAUGUCAAAUGUCAUUUUAGUUAAAAUAAUCUUGUACGUCAUUGCAUUGCAUCACACGUCAUUAGAAUUAAGUCAUUUUGGUUAAUUUAGAUUGCAUAUUUAAUUAUUGCAUGUUCAUUAAGAAAUCACAAAAUUUUUUAUUCAUUCAUAUAGUUUAGAACAUAUUGCCAUGUCAUAUCAUUUCAUAUUAGAUUAAAAGCAUUGCAUUGCAUAUGGAUUAUAUUUUUGUUGAAAAAUAGAAAACAACAAUUGAGUAAUUGCUUGUUAAUUAAAAAUGAUGUGGAUUUUAAUUUAACACUGCAGAUGCUUUCGUUGCUUUGAGGUAAGUCUUGCAUUAUUUAAUUGCUUUCUUGGGUGUUAAAUUGGUGGUUUGCGCACCUGCAUGAACACCUCACAUGUUAGGGAAAUAGAUUUAAAAUCAAUCCAAAUUGCUUACCAAACAUUUUUCAAAAUAAAAAGAAAGGUACCAAAAGGGCGUUAGAGAAAUCUAACGUAAUCAAGUCCCCGUACCCUUAGUCUUUGGUUCGUAGGAGUAAAGUAAAUCUCCGGUUACUUUACUAGGGUUUCUAAUUGACCUACCAAAAAUAGAUUAGUGGCGACUCCUAGUUAAAAUUCAAUUGCAUGUUAACAAUUCAAACCUAAGUCGCGAAUUGGUAUGGGCUUGGGAGAACCUGAGUUAAGUCUAGGCUUAACAGUCCAUUAGCCAAACCGUAGGUGGUUCACACCCCGAAAAAAGUUGGUCGCGACAAUAAAAUUGCCCUCUAACUUUACAGAAUCCUGCCAUUUUUAUUCAAUUACAGAAAUUAAUUGAAGUGGCCCAAUAGCAUCAUGGUGAGAGGAUCCAAUUCAAAGACACGUAGUCAAUAGCUCACUAUGUAGUGAAAAGAGUGACAUAUGGACUUCCGCAUAAUUUUUUUUAAUAAAAAUUGCCAUAAUUAUCUAUAUCUGCACCAGCCUUCCUAACUAGCUAUGUCACAUAAGAUGGUUGAUAUUCAUGUUAGUAAUUACCAGCCAAAAUUAGUUGAAAUGACUAUAUGGACAAAACAUUGAAUGAUUUAAGAUUAAAUUGGUUAAAUUGAAAAGUUUAGGACUGAAUUAAACCGUAUAAUAGGUUUAUGACUUUUUAAAUAAUUAUCCAUAAUUUUUUAUGAUGAUUGAUAAUGCUUCCUCCUGACAGAGUGAAGUACCACUUACUUUUGAACAGCCAAAAAAUGGAUGAUGCUUACAUAUACAAACAUCAUUACGCUAUAGCUAUAAAUGACUAAAAAAAAUGCAAAUAUGUUCCCUUACAUUAGAUGUACACCAAAUGAACUCAAAAUUGCAUAUCUAACUAAAGAGACAUAUUUUCCUCUAUUCUUGCUAAAGCCAAUCUCAAAGUAGAGGAUUAGACAACCCCCUUGCAUAUUUAACUAUAAAUAAAAUGUGCGCCAUGUCAAACUAUGAUUGGAUGCUCUAACUAGGGUAGCUAAAAAUUUUCUAUGAUGUUAAUUGUUCAUAGGUUAAGAAACAAUGGAAUAUGUAACUGGUUUGUAAUACCAAUUCUUAGAAAAACUCAGAAUAAGUCGUCAGAGUAGAGAAUAAAAGUGAAAAUCAUUUUUUUUUAAAAAGCCGUAUGAAAGCAUCAAAUAAUGCUGGGAAUAUUUAUUUAUUUGGGUUUUUUUUUUUUUAAAGAUAUCCCUCUACACAGGGAAAAUUGGCAAAUUGAUGUUUAUAUUGUUGAAAGACUUGGCCUUGUGCUUGGUGACUUAUCAUGUAUAUCAUUGACUUCAUUUUAAAACACCAGUUCAUAUUUGGUGUUGUAUACAAUACUGGAUUGAUAUUAUAAAAUUUCAUCCACGCUACCCCAGAUACGAGCCAACCAACGAAUAUUUCAAUAGGUUUGCUUUGCUUAGUCGAAAAUAGAGUUAAGUGGGCUACCUUUUAAUUAUUAUUAAAGGAUGAACUGGAACCUUCGAAUGUACUGUUCAGAGUUGACAUGAUACGGAUGCUACUUGUAUAGAAAUUAUAAUUUGCAUUUCGCAAGAUGACAAAGCAUAUUUUGCGUAUGAUAAGUUACUUUAUCCCUGUUGAAGAUGACGUUCACUUGGUAUACUAGUCAUCCCGGAAUUCGAUACAGAAUGCAAAAUGCAGCCGGAGAGAAUCCUUGAUACUUUGGGCGUUCAUCACAGUUUUGAUACUUUGGGAAUUGUUUUAUUGUCUGGGGAUUUUAUAUUUGCUUCCGCAUGCGUAUGAAAAUUAAUGGGUCGGUGAUGCGUCCUGGGACGUUGUUAUUUAAUCGACUAGUGAGGGAUGGGUGCGCGCUCGAGGAUCGGGGCGUGACAUAGAGAGACACUUAAGUGUCAAAAGUUAGGAACGUGACAAUUACGUGCCAAAAUCGAAGCAAAAUGGAUCAUUUAAGAACCAAUAUGGUCAAAAUGUUGACGUGGCAAUUUUCCGGUGAAAUAAGUGCAAAACGGUGUCAUUUUGCAUGCUGAUGUGGCUAGAUAAUGCAAAAACGUCGUUUUGUCUUUGACAUGGUAAAAAAUUAAUAUAAAAAUUCAUUAAAUUAAAUUUAAAACUAAAUUUAUUUAAAACAUUUAAGAAUAAAAAUAAAAGUAAGAAAAAAAUGGGGGGAGGGAGGCGACUGAGGUGCUGAGCCCUCACCGCCACCACCAAGAAGGGUCGGCAAUGGAGGGGGGAGGGUCGGCCGGGGUUGUUGGCCCCCGGCUGACCGGCGAUCUCUCGCCCAGAUCCGGUGAGGGCUCACGGGCCCUCGCCGCUGAUUGGCCGGGGGUUGGCGACCUCGGUUGAUCCUCCCCCCUCCGUCAUCGGCCCUUCCCGGCGACAACGGGGAGACGGUGACCCUGGCCGACCCUCCUCCCUCUGUCGCCGGCCCUUCUCGGCGGUGGCGGGGAGGCGACGGGGGUGAGGGCUCAGCCCUCAAUCGUCUCCCUCCCCUCCCCCUCCUUUAUUUUUAUUUUUACAUGUUUUAAAUAAAUUUAGUUUUUAAUUUAAUUUAAUGAAUUUUAUAUUAAUUUUUUAGUACGUUAGAAAUAAAAACGACAUCGUUUUUGCAUUUUCUAGCCACAUCAGCGUGUUUUGCAUUUACCUCGUUGGAAAAUUGCCAUGUUAGCAUUUUGGCCGGAUUAACACUUAAGUGAUCCAUUUUGCUUCGAUUUUGGCACUUAAGUGUCGCUUUCCUAAUUUUUGGCACUUCAGUAUCCCUUCAUGCUAAGUUUUGGCACUCCAGGUGUUCGGCACUCAUUUUUUAACUGAACAUCGUUCGUGAAGGUCCAUAGGUGUAGAGAGCAAAGCUCAAGCCAUGUGUUCUUGUUUUCUUCAACUAGUUAAUUGAUAACCUUCUACCAUGUCUUUAUUCUUAUAAAAGAAAAUACUUUUAAUACCUUAGCUAAGAUUUCAAGCAAAGUUUAGAGUUCCGAGGCAUUGGCGUGUAUUAUAUGUAUCCUGUUUCUCGAUAUACUUCCAUAAGAUUCCACGAAAGAUUUCCUAGGUUUUCUCGUGCUUGGGUUUUAACGUUACCCGUGAAAAUCUUGUUCAACCACACUCUUGGUAGCAACGACAUGGAGAAGAUACAUUUUGAGACGAAAGACAAGGAAUUCCGAUUUUUUUGGCCCGCCGACCGCUGUCUUUAACUUCUCGGUCAAGUGGCACAAUUUGCUAGAUUUCGUUGAUCAAAAACAAUUUUGAGUUGUUUAAGUGGACACAUCCACUUCUAAUGCUCAAUUUUUUGGGCAAAUAUCACAAAAAAAAAUCCCAUACUAUUCGCACUGUGGCACAAAUAUCGAAAAGUUUUUUAAUAUAUAUUACAAACAAAAUUAUAAACUUGCUCACUGUGGUACAAAUACCUCUUACUUUUUUUCGUGUCAUGAACAAAUCCAAAUUUAUACACAUGUGACAUAAUUAUUCUCUAUUUUAGUUCUAUUCAGAGUAUAUUUGUCACAAUUGGCAAGUUUAGGAUUUCUACUAAUAAAAAAAAAAAUUGUGUCAUAGUUGGUAUAAUUUGAGUUUUUUGAGGUAUUAACCCUUAUUUUUUAUUUUUUUAUAAGUAAUGCUUUAUGUUCUUUUUUGAGCAUGGGUUUUUUAGUCAAUCGCGUGAACGAGAUGCGUGUGUUUUUAUUUAUUAAUAUGACUGAAAAGUAUAUUUGAUCACGGAUGCCACGAGAAAGUGUGCGUAUCCACUCUAGCAUUAUUAAUCCUUGUUAGUUGAUAUAUAGCCUUAAUUAUGUAAUGAAAAUCGUGAACCAGGUGUGGGGUAGUGAGAGUAUUUUGUGUUAUAGAUAGAGUUGUUAGGAUUUGGUUUUAUACACCUGAUCCAGUGCCUCGUCUAAUAGAGUAAAUAAAAGUUCCACGUUAAACGUGCAUUUGAACACAGCCAAAAAAUAGAUGAUGAGUACACAUAAGUAUCUUUACGCUAUCACUAUAAAUGAGUAAAGAAUUCGACAUGUGGGCAUGAGGUUUCACGCUCUUGACCUCGUCACUAUCGUGUGCUAAAUGUCCACCAAAUGGUUCAUUGACUUGAUACUACCCACCUAACUAAAGCGACAUAUCUUUCUCCAUCCUUACUAGAGCCAGACCUCCAUUAGAGGAUUGCAAAUAAGGAUAGAACCUAUUUGUAAAUUUAACUAAGUUGAAAUUUUUGUGAUGUCAAAUUAUAAUUGGAUCUUCUAAUUAGGGACGGAGGAAAUAAUAUGGCCCUUAACUAAUGAUUUUUAUUUUUUGACCAAAAAAAAAGCUAAACAAUUUUUGUUCAUGUGCAUGUUCAAAGUUCAAAGAAAAAGAAGAAGAUUUAAUUGGAUCAAUAUACCAAUUUUCACUAAUAAAUAAAAAAUUCAGAAGAAGCCGUUCAGGUGGAGCCUAAAAGUGAUUUUUUUUUUUCCUACCAUGAGGGCCAUCUCUAUUUAAUGUAUAAAUUGUAAGAGACACCCAACACCAUCUUCAUGUUCUUUAUUUAGACACCCAAUCAUUCACUCCAACCAUCCUCCUCCUCCACCUACACCACCACUACCACCACUAACACCACCAUCUCCAUUUAAUGUAUAAAUUGUAAGAGACACCCAGCACCAUCUUCAUGUUCUUUAUUUAGACACCCAAUCAUUCACUCCAACCGGCCUCCUCCUCCACCUACACCACCACUACCACCACCAUCACCACGCACCGCGGCCACGGCCGCCACCAUGCAACCCUCUCAACCUCCUCCUCUCAAUGAAAAUUACUUGCGAGACGACGUCAAGUCGCCAGAAUGCGAAGACUUGCUCUCCUCUCUCCCUUCGGAAGAGGACUGGAUCCCCACCUCUCUCUCUUCGGAAGAGGACUGUAGCCCCUCCUCUCUCCACUUGUACCAGGGCUUCUGGUUCCCCUCUGGGCUCUUGAACAGCGUCGUUGCUUGCCAAAAUCACUUCCAAGCUCACCCUUCCGACAUCCUCCUCGUCACCAGCCCGAAAUGUGGCACCACCUGGCUAAAGGCCAUCCUCUUUGCUCUCUCGAACCGUGCCGAGUACUCUGACUCCAACCCACAACAACGCCACCCUCUCCUAACACAAAACCCCCACGACCUCGUGCCCUUCUUGGAGUUAAGCUUCAAUCUCCAGAAUAAAAAUCCUGAUCUCACUACUUUUACAUCCCCGAGGCUCUUGGCCACCCACUUGCCUUAUUCCUCUCUUCCACGGUCGGUGAGGGACUCCAAUUGCAAGCUGGUUUACUUAUGUAGGAACCCUAAAGACACUUUCAUCUCGAUGUGGCACCACAUCAACAAGUUGAGGCCCGAAGAGAAGGGCCAACUUCCACUCCCAGAGGGCCUCGACAAGUUCUGUCGAGGCAUGAGCUGGUGUGGGCCUUAUUGGGACCAUGUGCUGGGUUACCACAAGGCGAGCUCCGAGAUGCCUGAGAAGGUGUUGUUCAUGAAGUAUGAGGAGAUGAAAGCGGACCCGAGCGUUCAAGUGAGGAGGUUGGCCGAUUUCAUGGGGCGUCCAUUCAGCGAAGAAGAACUGAGAAACGGGACCGUCGAGGGAAUAUUGAGGAUGUGUAGCUUUGACAAUUUGAGUGCAUUGGAGGUGAAUAGGAGCGGCAAGUUGCUAAUUGGACUAGAGAAGAAGUGGUUCUUCAGGAAAGGCGAGGUUGGAGAUUGGGUGAAUUACAUGAGCGCUGAAAUGGGAGAGCGAAUUGACGGUGUCAUGGAAGAAAAGUUGCAUGGUUCUGGUUUGAAGUUUUAGGACAUAUGACCCACUCGAAGAUAUUUGGUUUGAUGGUGGAAAAGAAAAAUGCGUAAAAAAAGAAGAAAAAAGAAGCAAAAACGAUUCGAUUGUCCGCACUUUAGGGGGUCAAUGUCUGGUUGGCCAAUGCAAGCGUGUUUCUCAUGCUAUAGGAUGAAAGAUCUUCAGUGGCAUUGUCAGUCCUGGCUUCGUCUCCAUAGUGAGAUGCUUUAAGGUUGUGAUUCUAGUCUUCAUCUGUGUUGUGUACUAUUGGCGUUUGGCAGAAGUUAUUUGGCCAGUACGUAGCUGGCUAAACAAGAGCUGCCUAGCUGCUCCCUGGGAGCUUGUGGAUGUAUCUUCUGUUAUUUAUUUCAAUUCCAUUUUUCUUUUUCUCUUGGCUGUGUGAAGAUUCGUGGCAUACGGUAUUUAAAUACAAAGCAGUUAUUUGGUAGGUUAAGCUACAAAUUAUAUUUGUUAGAUGGAAAAUAAAUUUGUUAUUAAGCUUAUCGGUUUAAAUUGUCUGUUUUGGAAGUCAUAAACUAAAACCAAACGAAAAGCCAAAGAAAAAAAAAUCCUAAACCAAAAUUAAAACACUAAACUGCUAAACUGAGCUUAUCAAUUUUGUUCGGCUCGGUCGAUCGUUUUUUCUUCAUGAACAAUCCUACCAGCAUAGAUCCUUGCCGAAGCUGGCUAUGGUUGGGCUGUGGUCAUACCCAUGCGGUUUAUUCUAUUUUUUUUUUUUAUUUUUUUUAACUUUCUUUCAUUUUAUUUUUUAAGAAUUCAUUAAUUUUCAUUUGUUCCUCUUGUUUAUGUCUCUUUUAAGUGUUUUGAUAAACCGGCUUGUAGUUUGGUUGACCCCCUUUUUAUAAUGUGUUAAUGAGAAUCAAAAAUUAAUUUUGUCAUGCCCUUUAAUUUACUUUGCCAAUUGCUUGCCAAGUGAUGUCUUUAGCUUCCGCGGCUUUAAUCUUGUCCUCUUUUUGCUGAUCGCGUGUUAACGGCCUAGCCAAGCCCACGUUCUUUCGAUGCUAGACUUCAGCCUACCAUCAAUUUUUCCUUCCAUAGAUUGUGCGCAUGAAGGAAUCGAACCAAAUGAAAAGAAGGCAAACGGUGAUAGAAAACGAGGAAAAGAGGAAACGGAGAAGAGAGAGACAAAGCUUGAGCGCGCAUCUCACGGGAGAAUUGGAGCUCAGGCGCUAAUGAAAAAAAAAAAAAAACAGCAGACAGGUAUACGGCGGGGUCGAGUCUUCCAAUUUUGGUGGAUUCCUUCAUCAUCGGAGCUUAUUUUGUUUACUAAUUUCGCUUAGACAUAUGGGGUUACCAACUCGAAGCAACUAAGCAACCCUCUCUUCGGUGACCCAACAGAGAACCCAAAGGUCUGCCUAAGGACUGAAUACUACCACUUGCUCAAAAAAAAAAAAAAGGACUGAAUACUGCCAUGGUCCAGAGUUCGGCUCUCAGCCCAACUUACUGUUUCUUUUGGGCCAUAUCUUAUCCUAACCAAUUGGACAGAAAUGGACGGGCAGUUGUGGAAGAGCGUCAGCAAUUAAUGGAUCAGGGAUGCACACGUUAAUGAUAUGAAAUUGAAACGCCCGUCUUCUCAGUUUAUGGAGCUCCAAAGGUGUUUGAUCGGGGCAAACGGAUGAGCUCCAAAGGUCUUCUUAAAUGAAAGGGGACUAGAAGUAUACAAAACAUAUCAUAACUAUAAUUUAAGUGAUUUAGAACGAUACUUAAUAGUUUUAAUGGAUGAAACACCAAAUAAUUUUAUCGAUGGAGGUAAUGAAUCUCAUUCCAUUUUGGGUAUCUUCACAUAAUAAAAUUACCCUCCAACUUUACAGAAUCCUGCAAUUUUUAUUCAGUUAUAGAAAUUAAUUAAAGUGGCCCAAUUGCAUCAUGGUGAGAGGAUCCAAUUCAAAGACAUGUAGUCAAUAGCUCAUUAUGUAGUGAAAAGAGUGAAAUCUGGAGUCCCACAUAAAAAAAACUAAUAAAAAUUGCCAAAAUCAUCCACAUCUGCACCAGCCUUUCUAACUAGUAAUGCCACAUAAAAUUGUCGAUAUUCAUGUCAGUAAUUACUAGUUAAAAUUAACUGGAAUGACUAUAUUGACAAAACAUCGAAAAAUUUAAGAUUAAAUUGGUCAAAUUGAAAAGUUUAGGGCCGAAUUAACCACCGUAUAAUCGGUCCAUGACUUUUUAAAUAAUUAUCCAUAAUUCUUUCUAUUGAAUGAUAAUGCUUCAUUUUGACAGAGUGAAGUACCACUUACUUUUGAACAGCCAAAAAAUGGAUAUGCUUAUAUAUACAAAUGUCAUUACGCUAUACCUAUAAAUGACUAAAAAAAAUGCAAAUAUCUUCACAUACAUUAGAUGUAACACCAAAUGAACUUGAAAUUGCAUAUCUAACUAAAGAGACAUAUUUUCCUCUAUUCUUGCUAAAGCCAAUCUCAAAGUAGAGGAUUAGACAACCCCCUUGCAUAUUUAACUAAAAAUGAAAUGUGUGCCAUGUCAAACUAUGAUUGGAUGCUCUAACUAUGGUAGCUAAAGAUUUUCUAUGAUGUUAAUUGUUCAUAGGUUAAGAAACAACAGAAUAUGUAACUGGCUUGUAAUACCAAUUCUCACCAAUAAAGAGAAAAACUCAGAAUAAGUCGUUAGAGUAGAGAAUAAAAGUGAAAAUCAUUUUUUUACCUGACGAGGAGAUAUGCGUAGAGGAAAUAAUUCUUUACGCAUGAGAUGAAUUUGGUAGGAUGUUAAUUUCUUUCAUCUUGAUACAUACAAAAUGUAAUAUCAUAUAGUAUGAAUUUCGAUGAGUAAAUAUCGAGAAUAUAAAGAUUGGUGUACAAAAUUGAUUUACAUGAUGAAAUAAUAGAUCCCAAUGAGUAUCUAAAUUAAGGAGGACGUAUACAUUCAAGCAUCCAAUAAUAGUUUUGACAUAUACACUGAUAAAUAUCGGUCUUUACCAACCUUGGUAUCAUCAAUUUUUAUUUUUAUUUUUAAAAAAGCCGUAUGAAAGCAUCAAAUAAUGCUGGGAGUAUUUAUUUAUUUGCUAUAUAUAUAUAUAUAUAUAUAUAUAUAUCCCUCUUCACGGGGAAAAUUGGCAGAUUAAUGUUUAUAUUAUUGAAAGACUUGGCCUUGUGUGCUUGGCGACUUCUCAUGUAUAUCAUUGACUUCAUUUUAAAACACCAGUUCAGAUUUAGUGUUGUAUCCAAUAUUGGAUCGAUAUUAUGAAAUUUCAUCCACGCUACCCCGGAUACGAGCCAACCAAUGAAUAUUUCAAUAAGUUUGCUUCGCUUAGUCGAAAAUAGAGUUAAGUGGGAUACCUUUUAACUAUUAUUAAAGGAUUAACAGGAACCUUCGAAUGUACUGUUCAAAGUUGACAUGAUACGGAUGCUACUUGUAUAGAAAUUAUAAUUUGCAUUUCACAAGAUGACAAAACAUAUUUUUGGGGAGAAGUACACUAUCAGUGCCAUAAGUUGUGUGCGGCACUCACUUUGGUGCCAAAAGUUUCUAUUGAAUCACUUAAAUGCCAAAAAAGUUUGAAAAACGAUCAUUUUAGUGCCAACUCUGAUCAGAUUGAUCGGAAAUCCGACAUGACACUUUUUUAUUAAUGUUUUUAUGCUAAUGUGGCUCGCCGGAGAGUACAGUCAGCAUGUAAACCACAAAAUGAUCUCGUUUUGCGUCUUUCUCCCAAGUCAAAACCCUAAAUCCUCAAAUCAAGAGAGAGAGAGAGAGAGAGAGAGAGAGAGAGAGAUGGCAUGGUCGUGUUGUCUUCUUCCCCAAAGAACAACCUCAGCACUAGCCACUCUCUGAGCAGAGCCCAAUCCACCAUCUCCAUCUGUGCCCUCAUUGUUUCCCUCGCACUCCUCAUCUUCUCUCUCUCUCCGCACCUUCGACCCCCCUUCUUCCUCCUCCUCCUCCGCCCUCGCCUCCUAUUUUCCCAUCGGUUCUUGCCCCAGAAACAACCUCAGUCUCUCCUUGCUCACCUAGUCGAGCAACUAUGACGGAGGCCGAGCACGGUGGCCAAGCGACGGUGGCUGAGCACGGUGGCCAAGCAAGCUUGGUCGGCGAGGAUUGAACCAAAAAAAAAAAAAAUCCUAAUUUCAAUCCCAAAUGAGUUGUGUGGCGUCAUUUUUGUGAGGCCAUCCACAUAUGAUGGUAAAACGACAUCGUUUUCUUAAGGAAGAUGGAAAAUGACGUCAUUUAAAAGGCUUGUCAAUUUUUUUUUUUAAAAUAUAAAAGUCACGUAAUCAUUUUGGCAGGAAUCUCUCGUUGGUGACACCAAAAUGAUCGUUUUUCCUCCGAUUUGGCACUUAAGUGAUCCGAUAGAAACUUUUGGCACUAAAGUGAGCGUCGUACACAACUUAUGGCACUGAUAGUGUACUUCUCCCCAUAUUUUUAUGUAUGAUAAGUUACUUUAUCCUUGUUGAAGAUGGCGUUCACUUGGUAUACUAGUAUACUAGUCUUCUCGUGAAUUUGAUACAGAAUGCAAAAUGCACCUAGAGAGAAUCCUCGAUACUUUGGGCGUUCAUCACAGUUUUUGGGCUAACAUUAUAAGAGUUAUUUUGCAUAUGAUGUUUCGGGCAUUGGGUAAUGGCCGUGGAGGGUUUGUCAUGAACAUAAAUUUGGCAUUAGCCACUAGAGAUGAAGUUGAAAUAGAAGACAUCGAGGAAGCCUCAAUUGGAGGAUACAAGUCAUAUCCCAACCAAGUCACGCGGAGCGUCUCCAGAGGCACCAUUGAAAAGCUCGAGCAGAAGAGCUACUCUGUUGGGGAAGCUGACGAAUGCUAUUCUAUUUGUUUAGAGGUAUUGGAUGAGAAAUAUAAAGUGAUGGAGAUACCAUGUUCGCACCUAUGGCACAAUAGGUGCGUCGUCAAGUGGCUCGAGAGGAAUAAUUCGGGUCCACUAUGUCGUGGCAAAGUACAAGCACAAGAUUUAGAGUAGUCAGUUUUAGUUUGUAAGAUUUUCUAAUAAGAAAAUAAUUCUCUUUUUUUUUUCUCCAAUGGAUUAACUAAUCUACUGCAAUGACUUUGGGUACUCAAUGCAGUGCCCGUUGCUACAGUUCCGAAUAUCACCCCUGUUAAAAAACCAAGGUCACCUGUGAUGUCACAGUAGAGACUAUAUAUAGUUUAUGUUUCUUCUAUGGCCAGAACCUGGCAGAGAUAGUAACCUGCAUUUGGAAAGAGAGCAAAACGAAAAGAAAAUUGUCCCAAUCAAUAUUUACAUGAGAACACUCACAAAAGAAUGUUCACAUAAGAGUACGAAACGAGCGGGGAGCAGGGAGCGGGGAGCAGGGAGCGAGGAGCGGGGAGAGGGAGGGAGAGAGGGGGAGGGAGAGAGAGAUUCUUACGCAAACCGACAUACAGAAUAUGUACAACUUUAUUAGCUCGGUUUUGCCAGUUAUCCUAGGCAACAAUGACCCAUUCAUAAGAAAAUGGGCAAAGACGACUAACAGUGUAUUAUGCGCACAUUUGAUAAUCUCAUAUAUAAGCUAUCGUGUAUAUUAGAAAUAAAUUAAUAAGAUUGUUGCAGAUAUUUCUCAAAAAUUUAUUUAUUUUUUUAUAGGUGAAAGAGAAUAUUACUGAAGCACACCAAGGGAGUGGAAACCCAUAUGCAAAAAGAGCUCAGUUACUGGACAAAUUAUGUACAAUGUUAAAGCAUUUCCAUCCGCACGACUUUCUAGGACACCAGAAGCAUAAGAUUUUUAACCAACUUUCAAUAAUUAUAGAAAAUGGCGAUUCUGUUAAAGUUCAUAAAAUAACAAUCAAAACAGAAAAAUCUCUGUUGUUUGAUGGAGAGAAAGGAUAAAAAAAAAAAAAAAAAACAGAGCAUAGCACUUCAUACAUCUUGUGCAAAAGAAAAAACUGUCGAGUACCACAACUAAAUACAAAGCAGAAACUGCUCACAUACGUGCAACACAUAACUGCACACAAACGUGCUAUUAACUUCCUAGAAAAUAGCAAAAACACUAACUGCAUAACUAAAUGAACUUGACUGUUUUUUUUUUUAAACAGAGGAAAACAGAGGAAAAGCACGACUGAAAAUAGCAGCACUGAGACAAUUCCAACAAACUCCUCCUUAGAUCAGUUGCUGCUGCAAAUUCCUAUUUUCUCUCUUAACAGCUCAAAUCUUCUAGCUUGAACUGGUUUUGUGAACAUAUCUGCAAGCUGAUCUUCAGAUUUGCAAUAGACCAACUUAACUUCGCCACUUUGUUGCACCUCACGCAAAAAGAAAAAAAUUGACUUUGAAAUGCUUGGUUUUGCCAUGGAAAACUGGAUUAUGAGAUAUUGCUAAAGCAACUUGAUUAUCCACAUUAACUUCAAUGCAAUCACUAGAAUUCAACCACAAAUCAUUCAUGAUCUUUUUUAGCCACAAAGCUUGAUUUGCAGCUACAGUAGCUGCUAUAAACUCAACUUCUGCUGUGGACUGAACUACAAUCUCUUGCUUUUUGGAACACCAGGAGAAACAAGCAGAACCAAGACUGAAACAAUACCCAUACAUACUUUUAAUGUCAUCUACUGAACCAGCCCAAUCACUAUCAGAAAAUCCUUAUAAAUUAAACUUCUGACCUUUCUUAAACUUCACACCAAAGAACAAUGUUCCUUUGAGAUAUCUCAAGACCCUUUUUGCUGCAACCAAAUGUAACUGACUAGGACUACUCAUAAACCUGGAUAAAACACUCACAGCAAAUAGAAUAUCUGGUUUGGUUACUAUAAGAUACAUGAGACACCCAAUGAGACUUCUAUACAUAGAAGCAUCUACUGCAUCUGUUCCAUCAUUCUUGUGCAGCUUCUCUUUAACAGCCAUAUAUGAGUGCUUACACUUCGACAAUCUUCCAUCUAAAACUUCUUUAGAAUUUCCUUCGUGUAUUUUUCUGACAGAUGAAGAUCUCAUAUGAAACUUGUUUGACUUCUAGACCCAAAAAAUAAGUCAUCUUUCCCAAGUUUGACAUCUCAAAAACUGCAAAUGGAUCUUGCUUCACCUUCUUUAUCAAUUCAAUAUCAUUCCUUGUCACUAAUAGAUCAUCUACAUAAAGUGACAAAAUUACAACACUGUGAUUCACCUUCUUGACAUAAAGAGUGAACUCACUUAAGCUUUUUACAAAGCCAAAAUCCUACAAAUAUCGAUCUAUCUUCUCAUACCAAGCCCUUGGAGCCUGCUUCAGUCCAUAUAGAGCUUUCCUCAACCUGUAUACGUUCUCUUCUUGCCCUUUGAUACUGAAGCCUUCAGGUUGUUCAACAAAAAUCUCCUCCUCAAGCUCUCCAUUCAAGAAUGCAGACUUGACAUCUAACUGAAAUAUAGGCCACCCCUUCUCUGUUGCAAUAGCUAACAGUAGCCUUAUUAUAUCAAGUCGUGCAACGGGAGCAAAUGUUUCAGAAUAGCCUACUCUCCAUAUUUGUGCAUAGCCUUUCACCACCAGUCUAGCUUUGUGUUUAUUGAUAGAACCAUCAGGAUUAAGUUUUGUUCUAAACACCCACUUAACCCUAAUCACAUUCUUAUCAGCUAGUCUAUCAACAAGCUCCCAUGUGUGGUUUUUCUGGAUCAUUGCAAUCUCCUCCUGCAUUGCUGCAAUCCACAUCUGAUCCUCCUUAACUUCCACAAAGUUAGAUGGUUUGAGCAUUGCCACAUUGCUUCUUUCAUAGAUUUCAGCAAGUGACCUUGUGCCUCUCACUAGUAAAUCAUCCAUAUUGUCUUCCAAUCCAUCUAUAACUUCAUCAACCUCUACAUCUGCUGCAAGUUGUUUUUCGAACUGCUACUAUUUUGCACUCUUUCCUUCCAUCCAAUUCCACUCAUCUUCCUCUAGAAAAAUAACAUCUCUGCUCACAGUCACCUUCCUUGUCAUGGGAUGGAAAAUCCUGUGAUUGAAGACUAUACCCAGCUUGUUCCUCUUGACCUCAGGAACAUGAGUGUAACACAAACACCCAAAAACCUUCAAAUUCUUCACAGAAGGUCUAACACCAUGCUAGACUUCAAAAUGUGUUGACUUCUCUAGGGCCUUUGUGGGCAAUCUAUUAGAAAUACUGCAGUAUUAGCUUCUUCAGCCCAGAACUUCUUAGGUAACUUCUUCUCUUGCAUCAUACAUCUAGCCAUCUCCAUAAUGCUUAUGUUUUUCCUCUCAUUGACCCCAUUCUGUUGAGGUGAAUAGGGAGCAGUGAACUGCUGCACAAUUCCUGCUUGCUCACAAUUCAACUUAAACUUGUGAGCAGUAUACUUAGAACCAUUAUUAGACUUGAGCAUUUUGAUUUUCUUUCCACUCUGAUUCUCAACUAAGGUUUUAAACUUCACAAAUACAUCAGCAACUUCAGACUUGGCUUGCAGAAAAUAAAUCCAACUCAUCCUAGUCAUAUCAUCAGUGAAAGUAAUAAAAUACUUGCUACCAUUGAGAGAAGACUUAGACAUAGGUCUACAUAGAUCUGUGUGGACUAAUUACAACUUCUCACAUGCUCUCCAGUCUCCUCAUUUGAAAGGAAAUUUGGCUUGCUUGCCAAGAAGACAAGUUCUGCACUGUGGAAAUUCCUCCUCCAAACUUAGCAAGUCAUCCGCUAAGCUAUUUCUUUGCAUAAAUGACAUGCUCUUCCUGUGAACAUGCCCAAGUCUUUUAUGCCAUAACUCUGCAUUUUCUUCUUUGCACUUUAAAGCCAUUUGUUGCAUCUCUUGUGGCUUGAACAUGAAACUCUUGUCCUUCAUUGGGAUUCUUCGCACUUCUUUGCUAUCUGCAUUAUUAAUAAGACAUUCAUUCCCUUCGAACUUCACUUUAUAGCCCUUCUCAACUAAUUGACCAACACUUAACAGAUUUUGAUCAAUAUUUGGCACAAAAAGAACAUCACUGAUCAGCUUCACCUCCUGAUUUCCUUCAAUAGCCACUGUACCCUUCCCUUGCACUUCGAUAUACUGUCUGUUGCCAAUUCUGACUCUGGACCUGACUGACCUAUCUAGACUCCUAAAUAGCUUCGAAUUGCCAGUCAUAUGAUUGGUACAACCACUAUCCACCAGCCAUGCAUAAUUCCCAAUAGAAGAUCCAAGAAAUGAAGCUACAAACAAGUGCUCUUUCUCAGUUUCAUUCACUGCUACCUGUGCUUCUCUUGCUUGCUGGUAAUUUUUCUCUUUGCAGAUUGCUUCCAUGUGACCCAACUUGUGACAUCUUCUGCAUCAAGCAUCAGGCUUUCUCCAACAUCUAAAAAACUGAUGAUUAGUUCCACCACCGUUUGACAAGGCUUUUUGUUCUUCUUUCAUUUGCUAGACCCACCAGAAUUUCCUUCUUUUGCUACAAACUUGGAGUCAUUAGCAUUUUCUUUGGACUGAAUCCAUUUCUUCCCUUUGCCUUCAUCAUUUGACUUCACUCUAGCUUGCAGCACACACUCUAUAAACUCCUCUUCUCAUCAGUCUUCUGUGCUCCUGUGCCUGCAGAACAUUUAACAAUUCUGCAAGCUUUAUAUCAGCUAAGUCUCUUGUAUUUUCCAAAGAAGCUAUGGUGGCUUCGAACUUCUCUGGAAGAGACACCAGGAUCUCCUGAACAAGUCUUUCAUCCUUCAAGUCAGUCCCUAAAACUCUAAUUUUUUCAACUAUCUCAACCAGCCUAUCAGAGUACUCCUUCACUGACUUUGAAUCCUUCAUCUGCUGUCUCUCAAACUCCCUCAAGAGAUUCAACACCUUCAUGCUCCUUAUCUUCUCAUCUCCCUCGUAUUCAUCCUUCAAGAAAUCCCAUAUUUCCUUUGCAGAAUCACAUCUCAUGAUCCUUGUGAAAAUAGGGGGUGAGAUAGCACCAUACAUGCAAGACUUUGCCUUGGCCUUCCUUGUGAUUAUCUCUUUAUGGUACUUUAUCUCAUUCAAGGUCGGAUUGUCUAGAAGUGGAGCAACCUCAUAAUCAUUCUCCACAGCCUCCCAUAAAUCAUGACCCUCCAAGAAUGCCGUCAUCUUGACAGCCUAAGCCUGAUAAUUUUCCCCAGUAAAGACUAGAGCAGCCAUUGCAAAGAAUCCACUCGGUCCUGCCUCCAUCAGCUUUUUCUUUGCAGAUUGGAAUCAAUCUUCACUCACUUACUCUCACUUCACAGUCCCUUAAGAUCCCACAAACGCUCUGAUACCAAUGUUAAAGCUCAUAAAACAACAAUCAAAAUAGAAAAAUCUCUGUUGUUUGAGGGAGAGAAAGGAUAUAAAAAAAAAAAAAAAAAUAGAGCAUAGCACUUCAUACAAAAAACUGUUGAGUACAACAAUUAAAUACAAAGCAGAAACUGCUCACAUAUGUGCAACACAUAACUAAUUGCAUAACUAAUUGCAAAAACACUAAUUGCAUAACUAAAUGAACUUGACUGUUUUUUUUUAGGAAAAACACGACCAAAAACGGCAGCACUGAGACAAUUCCAACAGUUUCCUCUCCAAUGAAAGCUCUCAUAGUCAGCUCUCGGAAACUUAACUUAAACAGAUGACUUCCAACCAACAGAAUAUAUACAAAGACAUGCACAACAUCUAUCGUUCCAUCAAUGUUGAACACUGACAUAAGUUCUGGUAAUAAUAUAGGUACCUGUGCGGGUAGUCAUCCACCACACCACCAGUGAAUCCAGCACGCAUGGUAGAACUCAGAAUCAACUCUACUGGGCUAUGCUUUCUGGAUAAACUUGAAAAACUGCUCGUUUUGCUCCUUGCCAAGCAUCUAUAUGACGAGCCAAAAAAUGCCCUAAAAACACUUGAGACAAAUGUUGAUUAUUAGCCAGCCAAAUAGGGACUAGAAGUUGAGCAAGAUAGAAAAGAAAAAGAAGAAGAAAUUUUUCGAUUAUUUCGGACAAUCAUCCAGUUAUCAUCCAAUGCUAAGGGAGAAGCUUCAAUCUUAACCACGGCUCCUGAGAGGACUUAUCCACGUUGCAUAACCAAUGCAUGAAAAACAGAUAUAGAAUCAACAAACUACAUAAAAGAAACCAAAAAAGAUUCCAAGUUACCUAGUGUAGAAACUCAGAGAAUUUCCAGAGAGUGUAGCAAGAUUAUGAAAUAAGAAUGAUAACAUGCAAAAUUAAUGACGAAAGAUAAUUAGAAUGUACGAAGACGAUGCAGCAAUGACACAAGGUGUAUCACCAGGCUAUGGUCCAACAGUCCUUCAAACCCAACUAUGCCCAAGUUCUAAACAUUUCAUGUGCACAAUUUACCCCUUGAGUAUCCACUUAAUAACAAGUCAUUCUUACGGAUCGUUCUUUUGGUGUCUAACUAGCAGAUAAAGGGGGAAAGACAGAGAGUUGAAUCUACCAAAGUUGAAGCACAACAGUAGCUACUUUCUGCAGUGAACUUUUCCUAUGGCUCAGUCUUUGAUUUGUUUGGCCCAAGCCAAGAGGUCAACCAUGCAUCCAUAGUGCUCACUAGUUGGAGCGGUGCCAUAACCUUUGCUCACAUGUCCGAACAAGCGCAAUGCUCCAUCGAUUAGACACCUCCGAUUGAAGGCCAUUGGACCUCCAACAAACGUCACAGCAUUUGGUUUAGGGCCCCUAUUUUCCAUCUCGUAGAAAAAAUGCAGCCCAGUUUCAUUCUCACCAUUAACAGCAAACCCCAAUAUCAUCGCACUCCAAGUUGUCAACAUCUUUCAGAGGCAUUUGGUCAAACACUUCUUUGUGCGAAUCCGACGAACCCACAUGUGACAAGAAAAUAAUCAAUGCAAUUCUUGGCCCAAGUUCGUAAACAAUGCCACUCUCAUCUAUGUACUUAUGGACCCAUUUUCCUUCUUUAGAGGCUUCCACAAUAGCACGGCACAAUAGCACGGUGCUAAAGUACGCUAGCCUAAAGAGAUCCACUUAAUUUAACCACUCGUUCCUAACGUAGCCAGAGAUCAAGGCACUGUAGGAAACAUCAUUUUUCCCUGGCACUGAAUCGAACAGCCCUCGAGCUUCCUACAUGAGGCCAAUGCUACAAUACCCAGUGAUAAGGCUCGUCCAGCAAACCACGUCCCGCAUUGAACUCUGAUCAAACGGGCGGCUAGCAACAGUCGCAGCCCAAUGCUUCCGGUACAUGCUUAUCAGAGAACCCACCACGUAUGCAUCACAAUCUGGCCCGAACUUCAUCGCCCGGCGGUGAAGUUGGCCAAGCUAAGGAAGAGCGAGCGCCAUGUCCCGACCAAUGCAGUGGAAGUGCGGGCAUAUGGCGGGCAUAGACAGAGACCAGCCUUCCCACGUUCGAAGUACCCCAAAGAAACCCAUCAUCCCGACUCCCAAGUCGAAGACAAUGGUGGUGGGCGAGUGGAAACACAAGAGAAAACGCGCGCCGCGUAGUUCAUGUGGCGGCGAACGGGAAGCGAGAGAGGCCGGAGAUGAUGGCGUGAGCAUGGAUUUGCUUCGGGUGGUCGGUCGAUGGUUGAGCAUCUUUGGAGAAGGGCGAGCGUGUGAUAUAUUUAUCACUAAUUGGUUGGAUAAUUUCAUCAUUUCACAAUGUGUAAUAAUAAAUAAAAUAUUUAUUCUAUAUAUGUCUUCUUAUUUUCUUAAUAGAGAAAUGAUAUAUUAUAACCGGUCCAUUUAACACCCCUAUCCUAUAAUGUCUUUAGACAUUUUGGCUGUGUUCACAGCCAAUUUAUUAUGGAAAUAGUGAGUUUCAAGAAAUUGAAACCUAAUAUGAUGGGAGAAUCAUUUUAUGCCAUUUAGAACACAGAAGGGAAUACAAAGUUAUCGUGAUUUAUUUCUUGAUCAGUCCGCCCACAAUCAACUUUGGUCACUAAAUAUAUCAUAUUUGAGUGUAAUAAUUAUUGAUCACACUUUGUAAGAGAAAACUGUAAUCCACGCGCAAUUGCAUGACAGAUCAAUCUACCAUAAUCAACUUUGCCCACUCAAAGUAUACCUUGAUAUAUACGAAUAUAAAUAUAAAUAGAGUAGAAAAUUUCCUAAAUAACCACAGUGGAGAGAAAUGAAACAAAAAAGAAAAAAAGUUGAAGACAUUACGACUGGGCUUCAAAAGAACCACUCACCAAGGAUUGAAUUUCUCGAGAGAAAUAGAGAGUCUAAUUGCGUAGAAUAAUAAAAUUGUAAACAUAAAAUAAAAUUUUUCCAUUGGUCAUCAAACAAAAGAAAUACUAAUUCAAUAUUAAGUCUCAUUAAAAGAUAUGUUUGACCUAGGAAUUCUAUAUGCUCUUUUAAGUUAAAUGGCUUUCAAAGGGUGAUUCUUGCACUUGUGAGUCCUUUUUAUAACGAUAUAAACAUGCAUUGAUCAUGAUAUAAACAUGUAUUGAUAUCGUCAAUCCAAUAAAACGGCUGCUCUUUAAUAGACUUUACAUCUUAAACCAUGUUGAAACCAACGUUUUUCCUUCUCUUUGUUGCUUCUCCAAAAAGGCAUGUGUCCCUUUAAAGAGGAAGCAACUAAUUGUACUCAACAAUUUCUAGAUGCAUAAUUGUAAAGGAGAAAUUGGUUUAUGUCAAUAAAUCUUUCAAAUUCAAAUCUCCAUCUAAAAUAUAGAACCAUCAGGGAAAGAAAAAUAAUCAAUCAGGUUUGAGUGAUUUAGUCUGCACCUAGAACCGAACCGAUUAUCAAUGAUUCCAAAUUUUAGGAACUAGGAAUUGGACUAGUGCUCACCCCUAGAUAGUAUGUUUGAAUGUUAAGAAUUUGUGCAACGAACUGAGAUAUUUGGUUUUACGUACCAGGGAAAAUGAUUUUCCUAAAUAAAUCAAUUGAAAACUUUACCUGUGGUACCAUCGGUCGUGGUGGCUCCGCUGGAUAAGGGCUCCAUCGAUCCUUCCCCAAAGGUGAGGGGUUUGAAACCUAGUGGAGGCGCUUGGUGUCUUAAGUGUGUUGUCAAGGUAGUGGGUUCUCUGCUAGCGUCACCCCGGGUUUACCUUGUCACGCCCCGAUCCUCGAGCACGCACACAUCCUUCUACUUGAUCAAUUUUAGAAUGCAAUAUCCCAGGACUAUGUAUCGCCGACCCUUUCAUUUAUUAAGCACAUGUGGAAGCAGUUAUAAAUCCCCAAAUAAUAAAAUAAUGGGAUAGAAAAACAUGUCAUAUUUUUCAUAUUGAAGUCUACAACCAAAACUUUAUACAUGGCAUUAGAUAGAGUACUUCACAAACUAUUCACAAACUUCAAAGUCUCACUCUAUCUACACAUAUACAUAGGGUUCAUAAAAGAGAUGAGAUUUCAAUUCUCAUCUGGGUCAUAUUCAGGAUCAUCCUGAUCCUCUUUUGACUCAUCUUCACUAAGCUCAUUUCCUUCGUGCUCUUCAUCUUUUCCUGGCUCAUCAUCAUCUUCUAGCUCCUCCUCCUCCUCCUCAAGCUCAUGUACGGGCUUGAAAUGUCGUCCCACAACCGGGAUGGGACUACGUCUUAGCAAGUUCUACCCCCACCAAGGCCUGAUUAGUAAACCAUUAUAUUAUAGGCUGCCUAAACACGCACAGGUCAGAGAACUUACCUUGGUCUCAGAUUCCACCUGUCAUAAUAGGCACCCACUUACUUAAACAAAUCGAACCAAUUGAUUACAUGUCACUCGAUUCAAUCCCCACGGUGGAAUAUCUAGAAGUUAGGCCACGUGCAUUCUCCAAGACGACAUACCAAGUCUCCAAGCCACGUGCCUUAAACCUUGGGCCCACGUGCAUUCUAUAAGGCGACCUCUUCACCAAAGUGGUACAUCAAGUCACCGAGCCACGUGCCCUUUUAGAUGCCAUUCUCGAAUACUGGACCCAUGUGCAUUCUCUAAGGUACUAGUUCACCAAAGUGACGCAUCAGAUCACUGAGCCACGUGUCCUUUUAGAUGCCACUUUGGAACGUCGGGCCCACGUGCAUUCUCUAAUACACUAGUUCGCCAAAGUGACGCAUCAGAUCACCGAGCCACGUGCCAUUUUAGAUGCCAUAUUCUGUCACCGAGCCAUGUGCAUUCUCCAGAAGGACAUACCGAGUCUCCGAGCCACGUGUAUUCUCUAAGGCGACAUCUUCGCCAAGAUGACAUAUUCAACCACCGAACUCACGUGCAUUCUCCAGGUGAUAUUCCAAUUCACCGAGCCCACGUAUUUUCUUUCAAGUGAUAACCAACUUACUUUCGAUACCGACAAUCAAUACUCAACGAUUUCUCAAUCAAAUAAUUAACAAUCAACUCAAUAAUCACAUAUCCCAAAAUUCACAAUUUAAAUCAAUUACAUACAAAUUGAAGCUCAAUUAAAUAAACGGACUACACCAUGACGAUUAGCGUGAAAUUCCGGUCACCGGCCAUCCCAGUUGAAUUUCCGGAAAAAUAAAUAAAUAAUUAAUUAAUUUCGAAAAUUAAUAAUUAAUUACUAAAAAUCCAAUUUAGGCCUGUAAUGUCUAAUUGAAGCCCACUAAGGGUUGGGAAAAAUCCUGAGAUACAUUCAAUAAAUAGUAGACUAUGUCUACUUGCUAAUUACACAAUCAAAAUGUCUAAUAUGCAUUACGAUUGUCUAAUAAUCACUAAUCUACUCUAAUCUAACCACCUAAUUACACUUAAAUAAAUCUAAUCAAUCCCUAAGCAAAAUUAGCAAACUAAGCAGGGAUUAGUGAGAUUACUCACUUGUGAAAAGUGAAGAUCGGAACACCGCGACAGUGACGCGACGGUGGUUGAAUUUGGGCUCGCGACGACACCACGAGCUUGGACCGGGCCUAAAAGGCCUUACAAGCUCACGACAAAUUGAUGGGCUUGAUCUCGAGCUUGGGUUGCAGCUGGGUUGGGCUUGCUUUGCGGGCCCAAGAUGGGCUGAAAUGCUGAAUUAAUGGGCUGGCUUCUUGGGCUGCAACUUAAAUGGACAAAGCUGACACGGGCUUCAAAGCUGGACUGCUGGGCUUUGAAAUUUCGCUGGGCCUCAUGGGCUGAACAAGAAAGCCCAAAGGAGCUGCUGCUUCGGUGGAUUACGUGGGCUGUUGCAGGGCGAAAUCGAGGGAACUGGCAACGAAAAAGAGAACGGCGUCGAGGUGGGCUGCUUCGCUCGUUGAUUCGGCAGUGGUUGAAGAAGCAGUAGAUUCGGUGGAGAGGUUGACCGAAUGAAGAUGCAGCGCUGAACGGUAGCUUCGGCGGCAGAGGAGAACCGAUCGCUGCUGGGGGAGUCAACCUCGUGAGCAAGACACGGCGGCAGCUGCAGCGUGAGACGGCAGAGGGAGAAAACGAAGAUGGAGCAGCUUCGGACGGAUGCUGCUUCAAACGGAUGUUGCUUCGAUGGGGUUUUGCAGGCGUGGAGUGGAGGCGCGGCCUUGUGGCGUGGGGCAGCACUUCGGAGGAAACUCCAAAUGAAAGGAACAAAACCAGAAGAAGUGGGGGCAGCUCGCAUGGGUGAAGGUGUAGUGAAGAGAGAGAGAGAGAUCGGUGGGUCGCUGGUCCUUUUUCCGAACUGAAGAAAACAAAAAGCAGAAAAGAAACAAAUAAAAGAGGGAAGGGAUAAGGGAAGAAGGGAGUGUCAGCAGGUGGUGGGCCAAGGAGGAAAUGUGCGAAAUGGAUAGAGAGAGAGAGAGAGAGCCGUGAAAGGGGAUAAGAAGAGACCGGUCAAAGAAGAAAGGAAAAUUGAAGACCAAGCAGAGAGUUGUCGGGUGAGGGAAAGCACGUGCGAGGGAGAGUGAGAGAGAGGGGAAGACCGAAGGAAAUGGGGAAAAAUUAACAGGAUUUCAAUAUUAAUCCAAUCUUGGUCCCGCGACUUCCAUUCAAUCUAAUUUGAUCCCCAAAAAUUCCCAAGAUGAAAUACGUGAUCCUCACUUGCUUUCUUGCACCAUAAUUCCCUCAAAUAACAAGUCUUUGACAACAAAAACGGUAAUUUUCCCUCAAUUCCGAAUUCUACUUUAUUUUUCUCGGCAUUUGAUUUUCUGAACAAACAAAUCUGGUUGAGGUCUAAUUCAAACGCAGAAAAAGCCCAAACAACAUCUAUUUACCGAUUCAUUUACACCAGAUGCCAAAAGUCUCUUCAAAUUGGCUAAUCCGUAUUUCCAUGCAUUUUUCGAAUCAUCCAUCUCGAUUUUCCGAAAAAUCCCGAAUUCUCUAGAAUUUCCUCAAAAGGUGAGUCGACGUUCUUAGAAUGACUCAUGACAUGAUAGGACUUCCAAUUUCUGAAAUUGAAUUCAAAUUCGUUGUUAUUUUCAAUCAAACGUGCUUUUGGUGUGACCUUGCCUAUUGGGUAGCUUUUAGGAAUUUUUGGUGCAAUUGACCCAUGGUCGAUUUUCUUCGAACCACAAUAAACCCAUUCGACACAUUGGCGACUCUCGGUGGUCGUGAAAAUCUCGAGAUUUCAAAUACGGAUACAGGGUACCAAAACAACAAUAAAAUCAAACUAGUGCCGAUCGAUGAGAAUUUUCCAAUUUAGUGAAGUCACCCACGAUCGGCCACACAUCUCGGUCGAACCGACCUAUCUCUGAUCUUAAUUCGAUUUUUAACUGUGCCGUAAUGACCUCUAAAGAUGAGCACGGUCGAGAAACCGAUUCCUGGUUAAACUUUCAAGUCUAUUGCAUUUAAAAUCCCUUAAUGGCUUCACCAAAUAGGCCAGUUAUCUCCUGAGUAGCCAUUUCAGAGAAAAACACUAUAGUCACGUUGAUGAAAAGCCUGACUUAUUCGAUUGAAAUCAGACCCUGAAAAUCAAGAUGUCACUUACCUCGCCGACUGCCAGCUGUACAGGGGUUCCCGGGUCAUCAAAAAAAAAAAAAACUUUACCUAUGGUUAUGGAAAUUUCUAGGAAGAGUUUAACUAAGCGAUGCAAAUAUUUUUUAAUGGAAGAAGUACACUUUAAGUGCCAAAACUUGGCACGGAGGGACACUUAAGUGUUAAAAGUUAGGAAAAUAACACUCAAGUGCCAAAAUUGGAGCAAAAUGGAUCACUUAAGUAUCAAUUCGGCCAAAAUGCCGAUGUGGCAAUUUUCUGGCGAAAUAAGUGCAAAAUGGUGAUGUUUUUUCAUGCUAAUGUGGCUAGAUAAUGUAAAAACGACGUCGUUUUAUCUCUAACGUGAUAAAAAAUUAAUAUAAAAAUUAAUUAAAUUAAAUUUAAAACUACAUUUAUUUAAAACAUUUAAAAAUAAAAAUAUAAAAAGGGGGGGGGGGGGGGGGAGGGAGGCAGCUGAGGGCUGAGCCCUCGCCGCUGCCGCCUCCCUGCUGAUGCCGGGGUCACUGGCCCCUGACCGACGUACAUCGCUGCAAUUACNNNNNNNNNNNNNNNNNNNNNNNNNNNNNNNNNNNNNNNNNNNNNNNNNNNNNNNNNNNNNNNNNNNNNNNNNNNNNNNNNNNNNNNNNNNNNNNNNNNNGCCGGUUGGCCGGGGGUUGGCGACCCUAGCCAACCCUCUCCCCUCUAUCGCCAGGCCUUCUUAGCGACGGCAGCGGCGAGGCCUCAGCUCUCAGUUGCCUCCCUCCCCUCCCCACCUUUUAUUUUUAUUUUUAUAUGUUUUAAAUAAAUUUAGUUUUAAAUUAAAUUUAAUUUUUUAUAUUAAAUUUUUACCACGUCAGAGAUAAAACGAGGUUGUUUUUGCAUUUUCUAGUCACAUCAGCGUGCAAAACGAUGUUGCUUUGCACUUAUCUCGUCGAAAAAUUGCAACGUUAGCAUUUUGGCCGGAUUGACACUUAAGUGAACUAUUUUGCUCCUAUUUUGGCAUUUAAAUGUCACUUUCAUAACUUUUGACACUUAAGUGUCCCUUUAUGCCAAGUUUUGGCACUCCAAGUAUCCCGCACUCAUUUUUUAACUGAACACUGGUCACGAAGGUCCAUAGGUGUAGAGAGCAAAGCUCAAGUCAUAUGUAUUCUUGUUUUCUUCAACUAGUUAAUUGAUAACCUUCUACCAUGUCUUUAUUCAUAUAAAAGAAAAUACUUUUAAUACCUUAGCUAAGAUUUCAAGCAAAGUUUAGAGUUCCGAGGCAUUGGCGUGUAUUAUAUGUAUCCUGUUUUUGUGCAAGAAUCUAGCAUUGCACAAAAAUAGAAUUCCAAGAAUACAACCCUUUCGAUGUCUUGCCGAAAUAAUUCAUGCUUAGCACAUCAACAAACACAAUAAAGUGACCCAAAUGCUGCAUCUUCUCGAUAUAUAUAUAUGUGUGUGUGUGUGUGUGUGUGUGUGUAAUUAUAUUGUCGAGCUUCUCAAUAGCGUUGACUUUUGUGCAUUCAUCACUACGUGGAAAGAAUAAAAGAAACUCUUGAGCUCUAGUCGAGCUCUCGUUUUUACUCGAAGCAGUCACAUGCCAGUAUUAAAAACAAGGCAAAGAUCAAAUUGCAGAGAGGACGAGCAGUUAGUAGUCUCUCUUCCACAAUGGUCCAAAGGAACUCUGCUGCUUCUCUGUGCGCCGUAUUGCCAGGGUACCCUUGGAUCUAUCACCACCUGAUCAACAGCUUCCAAUGAAUUCUCCACGGGUGGCUUAAGAGGCCAAAAAUUUCCAUUCCUAGGGAUUAAAGAUGCUGGCAAGUUCUCGUCAUGGCGCCAUCGCUAACCUCGGCUCUGUGUGCUUGCCUGUCAAUCUAUGCCUCAACCCACUUGACCUCAAACCCUCAAGUUUAAAGGAGUCUUACCCGGUAGGGGAGCAAGAGUUGGUCAUUUAGGUAUCAAGAACUCUCUGGGGACAGAAUCUAUGUCCACGUAACAAUUUUUGGCUUAGCAUCAGCACUCUGCGCAGCCUAGUCAUCAGACUGAAUCAAAGGUUAGCAUUUCCCAUUACCUAAUAAGAGUAAAAGACACUAAAACAAUCACAAUCUGUCCUCGUAAGUGACAAAUGAACAGGACACGGAGUUGGCCAUAAAGACAAAGGUAUGCAACAGGGCUGAUGAAACCAUACCUUAGAUGCUCCUAUAUACCGAGUAAACAUGGGCUUCGUGUGGUAAGAGACAGAACCACCUCAGUGGGAUUCCCGACCAUAUGUAAUAUCACAAAUUAAGGUCUAAGCAAUGGAUCUCUGUAACAUAUUUAAUCAUGUUACUUCACCAGUCUCACUAUCGAUUAGGCAUUCUUGGUAAUAGUAUUUGGAAGGGACAACAUGGAUUUGUUAAUGCAUCCUAUACUGAACAGACAACAACAUUGUUGCGCGAUCCAGCUUGCUGAAACAGAAACAGAAACAUCGAGCAGCACCAAGAGAAAGGGAAGGAAGAACUGCCACCUGAUUGGCCUACACUGCCUCAUCAAUGACUGCCAUUUCGAAACCAUGAGAAAGGCGAGAGAAUAAAUUUCUACCACUACUUGAUAGGGUAGUGAAGACAAUCUCAGCUUCAUAUGAGAUCCAUUUAUCAAAGAAGCAUAAACUUUUUCUUUAACUAUGUGAUGUGAUUUGCAUAUGGAUUGAUGGAUCUAAAUUGCCAAUCACGCAUUGAUGCUACGCUUAGUAUCAUAUGGGAAUAAAUUUACUCAUCUGAAUUCCCAUCGUUGAAUCAUACUACACUUUUCGACAUCCUCCAAAGAUACUACCCAGCAGAAUUCCACUUUGCUUUUAAUAACCCUUGACGACAGAAAUGCAAUGCAACUCAUGCAUACAUGUGAUUAGCAUUACAUUGAUCAGAUUUUUGUUCUUCAAAAACCCCAACUCUCCAUUCCAUUCCCACCACGACACGCAAGAGGGAAGCAACUCACGAGUGUUGAUUAGCACAAACUGUCAUCUUCCCAAUUGUGUGCGACACAACUUACUCCGGCGGGAGAGACCGAAGAGGGAUAGGUGAACUGUGCAGUGGACUGAGAGGGGGCGUAAAACCACCGCCGGAGAAAGCAGCAGCGGUGCCCUCGCCCUCGAAUUGGCUUCCGAAUGUGGCCAUCUUCUCUCUCUCUCUCUCUCUCUCUCUCUCUCUCUCUCUGUUUCACUUGAUCAAGAGGAAUUGUUCCCAUUGUUGGUUCAUUCGAUUCUCGGAAUUUUUUUUUUUUUACUGUUAUGGAGCUGUUUUUCCGUUUUUCCGUCUGUUUCUCGAUAUACUUCCAUAAGAUUCCACGAAAGAUUUCCUGGGUUUUCUCGUGCUUGGGUUUCCCGUGAAAUCUUGUUCAACCCACUCUUGGUAGCAACGGCAAGGAGAAAAUAGUCUAUUGCGGAUACAGUUUGAGGCUAAAGACAAGAAAUUCCGAUUAUUUUGGCCCACCGACCGCUGUCUUUAAUUUCUCGGUCAAGUGGCACCAUUUGCUAGUUUUUGUUGAUCAAAAAAAAUUUUGAGUUGUUUAAGUGGACACAUCCACUUCUAAUGCUCAAUUUUUUGGGCAAACAUCACAAAAAAUCUCAUACCAUUCGCACUGUGGCAUAUAUAUAUUACAAAAAAAUUAUAAACUUGCCCAUUGUGGCAGAAAUACUUCUUACUUUUUUUUCGUGUCACGAACAAAUCCAAUGUAUAUAUAAAUAUUUUCUAUUUCAGUUAUGUUUAGAGUAUAUUUGUCACAAUUGGCAAGUUUAGGAUUUCUACUAAUAAAAAAAAAAUUAAGGUAUUUGUGUCAUAGUUGGUAUAAUUUGAGUUUUUUUGAGGUAUUAAAUCCUUAUUUUUUAUUUAUUUAUACGCAAUGCUUUAUUUGCCUUUUUGAGCAUGGGUUUUUUUUUAUUCAAUCAUGUGAUUGAGAUGCGUUUGUUUUUAUUUAUUAAUAUAACUGAGAAAGAAAAUAUUUGAUCACGGAUGCUGAGAGAAAGUGUGCGUAUCCACUCUAGCAUUAUUAAUCCUCGUUAGUUGAUAAUAUAUCUAGCCUUAAUCAUGUAAUGAAAAUCGCGAAUAAAGUGUGGGGUAGUGAGAGUAUUUUGUGUUAUAUAUAGAGUGGUUAGGAUUUGGUUUUAUACACCUGAUCCAGUGCCUUAUCUGAUAGUGUAAAUGAAAGUUCCACGUUAAACGUGCAUUUGAACACAGCCAAAAAAUAAAAUUAAAAGAAAAAACACAGCCAAAAAAUAGAUGAUGAGUACACAUACAAGUAUCUUCACCCUGCAGCUAUAAACGAUUAAAGAAUUCGACAUAUGGGCCUGAGGUUUCAUGCUCUUGAUGUCGUCACUCUCGUGUGCUAAAUGUCCACCAAAUGGUUCAUUGACUUGAUACUACACACCUAACUAAAGCGGCAUAUCUUUCUCCAUCCCUAAUAGAGCCAGACCUCCAUUAGAGGAUUGCAAAUAAGGAUAGAACCCAUUUGUAAAUUUAACUAAGUCGAAAUUUUUGUGAUGUCAAAUUAUAAUUGGAUCCUCUAAUUAGGAAUAGAGGAAAUAACAUAGCCCUUAACUAAAUGAUAUUUAUUUUUUGACCAUAAAAAAAAGCUAGACAAUUUUUGUUCAUGUGCAUGUUCAAAGUUCAAAAGAAAAAGAAGAAGAUUUAAUUGGAUCAAUAUACCAACUUUCACUAAUAAAUAAAAAAUUCCGAAGAAGCCGUUCAGGUGGAGUCUAAAAGUGAUUUUUUUUUCCUACUAUGAGGACCAUCUCCAUUUAAUGUAUAAAUUUCAAGAGACACCCAACACCAUCUUCAUGUUCUUUAUUUAGACACCCAAUCAUUCACUCCAACCAGCCUCCUCCUCCACCUACACCACCACUACCACCACCAUCACCACAUGCCACUGCCGCUACCGCCACCAUGCAACCCUCUCAACCUCCUCCUCUCAUUGAAAAUUACUUGCGAGACAACGUCAAGUCGCCAGAAUGCGAAGACUUGCUCUCCUCUCUCCCUUCGGAAGAGGGCUGGGUCCAAACCUCUCUCCGCUCGUAUCGGGGCUUCUGGUUCCCCUCUUGGCUCUUGAACAGCGUCCUUGCUUGCCAAAACCAAUUCCAAGCUCACCCCUCUGACAUCCUCCUCGUCACCAGCCCAAAAUGUGGCACCACCUGGCUAAAGGCCAUCCUCUUUGCUCUCCUGAACCGUGCCGAGUACUCUGACUCCAACCCACAACAACGCCACCCUCUCCUAACACAAACCCCCACGAUCUUGUGCCCUACUUGGAGCUCGGGCUCUAUCUCCUGAAUAAAAACCCCGAUCUCACUGCUUUUACGUCCCCAAGGCUCCUGACCACCCACUUGCCUUAUUCCUUGCUUCCGCGAUCGGUGAGUGUCGCGACCUCCUUUUUUUUCGACGCCCGCAAUCGGGUACGAACGCCUAAGGAGGCUAAUGACUCGGCUGAAUUUAUUAAGCCUGGACUCUCCCAAGUCCACCAAUUCACGAUUUAAUGGUUCAAGUUUUUAACCUGUAAAUCAAUUUUUAAAAUGGAGUCGCCACUAAUCGAUUUGGGGUGGGUUGAUUAGAAACCCAAGCAAAGUAUUGGAAGAAAUACUCACUCUUGCGCAACCAAAGAAAUUAGGAUCGGGGACUUGAUUACACUAGUUAAUCACUAAUGCCCUUUUGGUACCUAAUCUUGUUUAAACCUUGAGGUUUUUUGGAUGUUCGAGAAAUUUUCCAUGCAUUUUUAGGAGGAAAAACAAUUUUUUAGUCUUUUUUUCUAAUUUUUUGGACAUAAAAGGGAUUUUUUUUUUGGAAUUUUUGGUAUUUUUUUGGAAAUAUACAAGUCUUUUUGGCUUUUUCUGAAUUUUUUGGCUUUUUCAUGAAUUUUUGGCCUUUUUGGAUUUUUGGCAUUUUUUUUUGGAAAAUAUGGAAUAUUUUUUAUUUGAUUUGAUUUUUAUUUUUUGGAAAUUAAAAUAUUUUUAAAUAUUUUUCAAAAUAUUUUUGGAAAAUAAAUUAUUUUUGAUUUUUCUCGAUUUUUUUAGAAAAUAAAACAUUUUUCAGCAUUUUUUAAAAAUAUUUUUCGAUUUUCUAGAAAUUAAAACAUUUUUUAUUUUUUUGAAAAUAAAUUAUUUAUUUAUUAUUUAUUAGAAUAUUAUUUUAUAUCAAAAUAACAAAAUAAAACCGACCCGGGCCAGCCCGAAACGCAGAUGGGCCCGCUACGCGGGCCCGACUUUUUUUUUAUUUUUUAUAAUUAAACAAAACGACACCGUGGCCGAGUGAUUGGGGAUGCCCGGCCCGGCCCGACGACCCGAGUUCCUAGCUAAACCCUACCCGGGUCCGACCCAACUCGUGACCCGACCUCUGCUACCCCUGGGAUUUACGGAAUCCCUACCCGGUUCCCGAUCCGGGUCCUACCCGACAACACGGGGUCGCGACCCAGAAAAUCGGGAACCCUAGGGUUUCCGAAUCGCGGCACCGAGGAGGAAGAGGACCGAGGCGCAGCGGCGAUGGCGGCGACGGCGGCGAUGACUGGACUACGGAGAGGGAGAUGGCGACGGCGACAUCACGAUACCUGUUCGUGGCAACGGUGCGACGGGGGCGGCGAUGACGGCGAGACCCACGCGAAUCUCCUCUAGCUUCUCUCUCUCUCUCUCUCGGGUUCGCUCUUCAAGCUCCCCGAAGUCUCUCGGGGACCCCUUCGAGCUCACCACACCACGGCCGACCUGCACUCGAGCUCCCCGAAGUCUCUCAGGGGACCCCGAGCUCCGGUGGCCUCUCUCUCUAUCUCCCUAUGAUCUUUGUGUCCCCUCUUCAUCGGGGAUGGAGGGCCUAUUUAUAGGCCGAGGGGUGGCCGGUCGACGGAGCUCAACCGGCGGUUGCCACAGCCUUCGUCGGCCGAACCGGCGUCCCAUCCGACACCAGCUGCCCCCUGCUCCACGUGCGUUGUCGCUGCUCCUCCCCUUCGCUCCGGCGUCGUGCCCCCUGCGCAUGCGCUGCAAUUGCGCGAGGAAGAAGAAGACUCGGCUGGGCUGGGCUGAGGCAAAGAUGGGCCGAGGGCCCAUGCGGAGGCUGGUUCUCUUCUUUUCUGCUUUUUUCUGUUUUUUUGCUUUGUUUUGUUGUUUAUUUAUUAUUCAAUAAAGAAAAUAAAAACUUAAUUAAUAAAAUAAAAUAAGAUAAAAUAAACCUAAAUAAAAUUAAGGCGUCAACAGCUGCCCCUCUUUGAAGGUGAGCUCGUAGAGGUUGCAUUUAAAGACGAACUGAUGCCUAAAUUUUAUCUAUACAUGCGUAACAGAUUAUAUUUUACUUGGGACCUAUUAUCCUAUGCAAAAAGAGCAAUAUAACAUUACAAAUACUAAGACAGAUAAGAAGAUACCUGUUAGUUACUUACCGGGAGUGAGUGAGAUAGGGUGUGAACCCCGAGUUUGGCAAGUAUUAAGGCGUCAUCUUACCUGGUGAUAUGAAGAGGUUGCUUUUCCAGGGCUCGAACCAUUCUUCGGUCGCCUGUUAAAACAAUCAAUGAUUUGUCUAGGACCCGAACCUUUCUUCGGUCGCCUUGACGGGAAAUUGCUCCUCCAGGACCCGAACCAUUCUUCGGUCGCCUGUUGGAGCAACCAGUGGUUUGUCUCGGACCCGAACCAUUCUUCGGUCGCCGUAACGGGAAAUUGCUUCUCCAGGACUCGAACCAUUCUUCGGUCGCCUGUUAAAACAAUCAAUGAUUUGUCUAGGACCCGAACCUUUCUUCGAUCGCCUUGACGGGAAAUUGCUCCUCCAGGACCCGAAUCAUUCUUCGGUCGCCUGUUGGAGCAAUCAGUGGUUUGCCUGUUAAAAGGACACGUCGAUCGCCUUGACGGGAGAUGCACCGACCUUUCUCAGGGCAUCUCAUUUGUGGGUGCAUGAUUUGUAUCGAGGACACCAGUUGGUACCCGACCUUUCUCAGGAGAUGCGCCGACCUUUCUCAAGGCAUCUGUUUUGUGGGGGUGUCUGACCUUUGUCAAAGACAACAGCUGGUACCCGACUUUUCUCGGGAGGAUGCUCCGACCUUUCUCAGGGCAUCGAUUCUAGAAGAUACCUGGACAUUCACAAGCAUAUCAAAGAGUACUUGGAUAUUCACAAGUACCAACCUGAAGGGUAUUUAGGCCUUUGCAGGCGUCAAAAUGGGUAUUUGGCUGAUCAUAGGUAUUGAAGGGGUACUUGGAUGAUCACAAGUAUGAAUUCUUGGGGAAUACUUGGACAUUCACAAGCAUCGAAGGGGUACUUGAUAAUUGGAAAUAUUGAGAACAUACCUUGGAUAUUUGUGAAGGUGUCCCACCUCCUAGCAAUUGGGAAAUAUCGAUGGCGUACCUGGGAUAUUCGUGAAGGUCUCUCACCUCCUGGUAGUUGGAAUAUCGAGGACGUACCUUGGAUGUUCAUGAAGGUCUCUCACCUCCUGGUAAUUGGGAAUAUUGAGGAUGUGCCUCGCAUGUUCAUGAAGGUCUCUCACCUGCUGGUAUUUGGAAUAUCGAGGAUGGGUCUUGGAUAUUCAUGAAGGUUUCUCACCUCCUGGUAAUUGGGAAUAUCGAGGAUGUACCUGAGAUAUUCGUGAAGGUCUCUCACCUCCUGGUAAUUGGAAAUAUCGAGGGCGUACCUGAGAUAUUUGUGAAGGUCUCUCACCUUCUGGUAAAGGGGAAUAUCGAGGACGCACCUGGGAUAUUCGUGAAGGUCUCUCACCUCCUGGUAAUUGGGAAUAUCGAGGGCGUGCCUCGCAUAUUCAUGAAGGUCUCUCACCUCCUGGUAAAUGGGAAUAUCGAGGACAUACCUAGGAUAUUCGUGAAAGUCUCUUACCUCCUGGUAAUUGGAAAUAUCGAGGGCGUACCUGGGAUAUUCGUGAAGGUCGCUCACCUCCUGGUAACUGGGAAUAUCGAGGGCAUACCUGAGAUAUUCGUGAAGGUCUCUCACCUCCUGGUAAUUGGGAAUAUGGAGGACGUACCUCAAAUAUUCAUGAAGGUCUCUCACCUCCUGGUAAUUGGGAAUAUUGAGGAUGUACCUGGGAUAUUCAUGAAGGUCUCUCACCUCCUGGUAAUUGGGAAUAUUGAGGACGUGCCUCUCAUAUUCAUGAAGGCCUCUCACCUCCUGGUAGUGGGAAUAUUGAGGGCGUGCCCUGCAUACUCGUGAAGGUCUCUCACUUCCUGGUAAAUGGGAAUAUCGAGGACGUACCUGGGAUAUUCGUGAAAGUCUCUCACCUCCUGGUAAAGGGAAUUUGAAUGUAGCACGAGGCUUACCUGGAUUGCCGCAGGCACUUAAAAUGGGUGGAACACCUGGAUAGCCACAGGUGUACAAAGUACUGAGAUACUUGGAUGAACACAAGUAUUUAAUGAUACAACCUGGGACCACUCAGUUGGUCCAAGUGUAAGAAAGCAUACCUGGGUAGGCGCAAGCACACGAAGCAGUGGAAUGCUUGAACAGCUGCUAUUAUUUGGGGACAACUCGGGCAAGUUGAGUGUCAUGAAAAGGAAGUACCUAGACAAUGGUGGGUACUUGACGAUGUGGGGAUACCUAGACAGCAGUAGGUAUUCCAAGAGAUACUUGGUCAGUCACAUGUAUCAAUACUCUGGGGACAACUCGAACAUGUCGAGUGUUAGGAAAGGGGAGUAUCCGAACAGUGGCUGGUACUCAAAGACAAUAGGGAUACCUAGACAGCAGUAGGCAUUCAACGAUAAAGGGAUACUUGGUCAGUCACAAGUAUCAAUACUCUGGAGAUAACUCGAAUAGGUCGAGUGUCAGGAAAAAGGAGUAUCCGAACGGUGGUCGAUACUCAAAGACAAUAGGAUGCUAAGACAACAGUAAGCAUCGAAACUCAAGGGACAACUCAAAUAGGUCGAGUGUCAAGAAGAGAGUACUUAGACAGUGGUAGGUACCUUAAGACAAAUGUGGAUAGGGAUAUGCUUACCUAGCAAUAUCUCUGCUCUCUGAGAGUAUGUUUGCUAUUUGCAUGGUAUGCACACAUGAUUGUAUGUGUUGUAAAUUCAUGAGUUCAAAUGAGGUUCAUGCAUGAUAAUUUUGUCAAUUUUGCAUCAUCUAAUUUCCACCGAGGAAGAUUUUGAAAGACAACCUUCAUUUAGAAUGUAGAUGUCUUGAGCAUGCCAGAUGAGGGGCUUUCAGUCUGAAAGGACUUUCCACUCACUCUUAUGGAAAAGGCUAUCCUGACCAUUGAUGCAGGAUUUAUAAGGACCACACUUCUCACUGUCAUCAUGUCAGCAGGUGUCUGAGUAUUAUCGCAAGUGGUACGACUUUACCAAUGUGAGAGGUCUUUGUUGAAAUUGUGAUGAAGACUUGGUUAAUAGCUCAUCAAAUGGGACCGUCGAGGUCAAGGCUCAUGAACGAAGUGCCGCACGAUCAUCUCCGGGUUUGUAAGUCAAGAGUCCUGCGAAAAGAGACAGAAUAGUCUUGCUCGUACUUCUUCGAGCGAUGCUUAUAGACAUAUGAAAUCCUACGUUAAUUGAAGUGUCCUUAGUUUGAAGAGACUUUUACAAUGGGAUGCAAUGUAGGCUUGAUUCAUGUGUAAAAAGGUGAGAGCUGGUGAUUGCCUUGGCAUUUGUCACCAGUCUUUCUUCUUACUGUCAAAUGGAGGUUCUAUGGACCACAACAACAACAUUUUCUUGGCUGCAUUUUUGACUGGGGGGCAUUGGCCUUGCUUUUACCAGGCACACUGCUUUUUCAUGCCCCUAUUUUUAUUCCAGUUCUUCAUUUAUGGGCAUUGACCUUGCUUUUACCAGGUACACUGCUUUUUUAUACCCAUGUUUUUUCAUUCUUGUCGUUGGAGGAACUGGCCUAGGCAAGUUCAAUCGAAGCACCGUUAUUAGACUCUUGAGUCUUCAUCUUCAGUAGGCACUCUGGGCUAUGCUGCUUAAAUGGUAGUAACUUUUGUUUUGCCUCCAUGUGAGGGUGAAAUUACAUACUCAAUUGGGUUGUACAAUGAAUACAAGUGCAUAGAGAAAGAAUUUCUCUUCGUCAUUCUAGGGCACUUAAAUUAACAUGAGUGUUCAUAUGCAAUAAGGACACCCGAAGAUUGAUGCAAGUGCGAGCAAGAAAAUUUCUAUCUCUCUUCUCACCUUGUGAUGUUGCUUUGCCUCCACUCUGCCCCAAUGUGGGGUGGUUCUUGACGAGGGUAUGAGAGAAGCUUCACCAGUGUAUGGGGCUCAAUGGGGUGAGCGAUGGAAUACCUCUCACUAUUUUGGUUAUCGUACCAUUCGCGAGAAAACUCUUUACUCUGCAGCCAUGGAAUCUUUUGCACUCAUCUCAUAGGUGUAUAGAUGGGGGACUGUGUGUAGGAUAUGGCUUGCCUUUCAUCAUUCUGACGUGCCUUAUCCAGCAUACUCGAUUAAUCUUGUAUUUUUCAUUUAGUUGUCUAUUCUAAUAAUUCUCAAUGGAAUCAGUGAUUUAGACAGACAAAAUCAUCAUGCAAAAUCCAUUUGGAAAAGGCACGCAUCAUUUUAAACAUGAGAGAAUUUGUACUCUCAGAACAAAUGAAUGGUUUUGGCUCAAAAAGACCUUCUUAGUAGCUUUAAGGGUUAACAGAAUAGUAUUGUUAAAUCUUGAACAUCAAAAGGGUUAUUCACGAAGAGGUGCUCACAAAUGCGUGUCGGUGAUCGUCCCUAUUGAUUAGGGAUAUGACACAUGAAUGAUUAGCCAAGGAUUAGGAAUUUGAUCGGGCAUCUCUGCUUUUGCCCCUGUAGAAGUAGAUCAAUUAGUCUGGCCAAAAUCAAAUGUGAGUUGAGGCCUGAAGAUUUUCUGUCAUUUGCUUUGGCGAUUACUUAGAACGCCAUUUCGCUUAGGAGAGCUUGUCAUGCCUCUCAUUGAUUUAUUAUCCUUGUCAAAUGAUCCUGCAACAAGACAUGCUUCUCAUUGAUUUGUUAUCCUUACUUUUGUCAGUUAGGUGAUCCUGCAACAAACAAGAGGGAAUGUGUUAGUCAUGAACUCUUUCAAGAGUCGAAUAACUGGAAUCGAUACAACUUUACCCUUCACUGGUUUGCAGAUGAUUGGGUUAACCUGAAGUGAGAGGGGGACACGAAGUCUUAUGUCCCUUGCUUCAUUAGGUCAAUUAUUCUCUGUAUUGGCUCCUGGAUGACACGUCCUUUUACACGAAACCGGGUGAAUUUGAUGUGGGUCAUUUCCAUGUACUAGCUUGGCCAAUAUUGAUUUGCCAAACCUAACCAUCAAAUUUGGCUCUUGAAUCCUGGUGCUUCCUGCCAAUAGGGGGAAUAUGUCAAAAGUGAAUUCAAAGAGGGGGGAGUAUUGGAAACGAUACCAAAUUACUCUUCUCCAAAGUUUGUAUUUGCUGACUCUUGUCGAUAAUGGCCUAUUUAUCUUGGCACAGUUCAAUGUUUCCUUCAAUUGACCUUCCUCCUUUGUGACCAUGUAUGCAUGAUUGUUGGUCGUUGAUUCAUCUUCAAUGCCAUCCUUCUGUGGAAUUUUCUUUUGUUUUUGACUAUAUGACCAUUAGCAGCAUUGGGCAAAGUUAUGUACUUCAAGCUUUUAUGAAAUCUGAGAUGGAUAAUCAAAACUUCGAAUUCUCUUAUGGAAAUCACUUCUUGGGAGAGCAUGUGUCUGGAGCACGAAGUGAGGUUUGUAGGUUCUAAGUCAUCAUUUGAGAUAAGGGGCUAGAGACUGCCUCAACUGACUAGAUUUUCUCCCUGUUGACGGUAGCCAAUUCAAGAGGAGAAAUUCCUUUUCUGUGCUUCUUGGCUUGUCAAAGCUGGAAACCCCGCCAAUGAACUCGCGACAUCCUGCCUUGAGCUAUCAUGCUAUGCACGCUUCAAGUUUGAUAAUAUGCUUGUGCCUAUUACGUCCCAUCCUUCGUCUCCUGUAGAUGGAAGAGAGAAGAUGUCACUUUCGACAUUAUGCUCAGGGAAUAGGACUUACCAUUUUGAAACGUGAUGAUCCUUUCUGUUUGCCCCUGCUUUCUUGGAAGGGUGCUUUUGAAUUUGGUUUGUUCACACGAUGUGCUAGUUCCAAAUACCUUUUGUCACACUAAAUCAAAGGGGAUGAUGUUCUGAGACAUAAAGUGAGAGGGUUAGAAAGACAAACGUGCUUAAAUUUAUCAUCUUGUUUUGAGAAAAGCUUUUGAGCAAUGAAAUAUUUUUUAUUUUCAAAAGUAUAUAUAUUUGAGGGGAAAAAAGCAUGAAGAAGCCCAGCCCUCAGUAUUCUCCUUGGAUGAUAUUUUCUUUUCAUGGUUGGAUAGCAUCACUGAGCUGGUUUGAGAUACCGCCUCAUGCUCUCAAAAUAUUUUCAACUUUAUUUAAUAGGUGGAUUUACAUUUUGGAAAAGUGUUUUCAAAAGUUAGUUCCUAAAGUAGAACUGAUGUUGAAAAUAAAAACAAGCCAGACUUAAGAAAGAUAUACAAGUUCCCACGUAGGGGAAUACGAAAGGAAAUUAAAAAGGGUUCUACUCGAGCGGGCCUGCGCCCAUUUCCCCUUACGGUCCUUCAUUGAUGGUGUCCAUGAAAAGGUCUCCAAACAUGGUAGUCAUGUCAUAUGGCUCUUCUUUCUUUGUUGCUAAGGGUGGCACUUCAUUGCCUGAAUAAUACCUGGCCUUCACCAGCCCUUGAUGAAUGUCAGUGGUACGUGCUUCGACAUUUCUGCUCUGACCGUCUUCAGAACUGAAUACCGCAUUUAUUUUGUCGGUGUGAUCAGGGAGUGAAUUGGUCUAGAAUGAGAAAGCUUUAGUGUCUAAUAGGUUCUGGAUUCGACUCUUGAGGGCGAAGCACUCAUCAGUCGAAUGCCCCACUUCUUCCAUGUGAUAGUCACAUAUUUUUGACGGGUCAUAAUUGGAAAAACUUUCAGCGUUUGGUCGCUUUGGCUCAGUCGAGAGGAGGUUCUUAUUCCGGAGGAUUGCCAAAACCUGUGAUGGAGAUCCGGGAAGUGAAGUGAAUUGUCUCCUGUUGUUGUAGUGCUGGUGCGGUUGACGGCUGGUGGUCUGUUGCUGUCUUGCACUUGUCUGAAUUGUUGGAGAAUGAUUGUAGGUUGCAUUGACAUCUACUAGGGGUUCUUUAUCUUUCUUCAUGCUAAACUUGCUAGUGGGUGCAGGUUCAGUGAACCAACCAUCUUUUAACCCUAUCUCGAUUUGUUCCCCUACUGGAAUGAGUUGAUUAAACGAUUCAGCGAUCGUGGUCACCAUUCGAUUGCAGUACUCGUAAGGAAGGGUUUUGAUAAACAUUUUUCUCAGUUCGAAAUCGGUUGGUUCAGGACUGAUUUGGGCGGCCGGAUUCCUCCAUCUAAUAGUAUAUUCUUUGAAUGAUUCAUGCUUUUUCUUUUCAGUACGCUCAAGAUCCUCACGAGAAGGGGUAAUAUCCAUUAUGAACUUAUACUGCUUGAGGAACGCCUCACUCAAUUCGCUCCAUGUUUCGAGAAGGUUCAUGUUCUUCGUGAUGUACCACCUUAAGGCAGGGCCUAUUAGACUUGAUUGGAACAACUGGAUCAUUAAUGGUACAUUAUUAACGUAUUGGGUCAUUCGAACCAAGUACAUUUGCAAAUGAGCCCUAGGGCAAGUCGUGCCAUCGUACUUCUCAAACUCAAGAAUUUUGAAUUUUUCCGGCAUUUUGACAUUGGAAUAAAUGGAGAGGUCCAUCAAAAUAGGAUCUUGGAGGCCUUGCAGUUGUUUCAGCCUCUCCUCAAGCUUUUCAAGGCAUUUGUCAUGCUCAGCUUUAGACAAAAUGUCUAGCUUCGCUGUCUCAAUUGCUGUUUGGUGUGGAUCAUCCUCCAAUUCGGGCAUGUUAUCGUUGGUAUCUCCACUUUGAUCACCCCUGGUAGAUGAUUGUGGCAACAAUACCUCGACUGAGGCUGGGGCGGGAGUGAGUUUGCCUUGGAUGGAGCCUAUCUCCUUUGAAAGUUGUUGAAGCACAUUGAAGACUUGCUUCAUUUCACUUUCCAUGAUCUCGAUACGGCUUGGUACAUUUUCUUCGGCCAUUCUUGCUCUUGCUUUUGAACGAGUCUGGAUCGGCGAACGUUGACUUUCUGUGAUUACCUAGUCAUGAAUAAACAAGCGUGCAUGAAUACAAGGCGUAAAUGGGGAGUUAGUCCAUGAUGACAACCUAACCCUACUCAUUUCGUUUAUUCAUGAAAAGGUAGAUGAUUUCCUAAGCAUGGAUUGAAAAAGGGCAUGUGAGAUGUUAGCAUGGGCUAAAAGGAUUUGAAAGGUGAAGAAAGCAUGAAUUGCAACAAAUUUUGAAAAAGAUUUCUAUCCCUUUUUGAGGCAAAUGAAAAUUCUUGCGCAAAAGAACUUUUUAACAUGCUUGAGAAUAAAGACAUUAACUGAAAGUAAUUUCUUUUGCAAAAGUUUUUUUUUUUUUUUACUUUAUGACAAUUACUUUUAAAUUUAAUUGACCGUAGUAUUAAAUCCUAGACUAAUCAUGGACCACUCAAUAUAUGCAGGAAGGUAAAUAAAUUGCAAAGUACACAAAAAACUUACAUCACGCGAGAAAAUUGAUGACAAUCACAUAGACAUGUGCAUGAUAUGUGCGGCUCGAUUUCUAACUAAGAAGGUUUGUUGAGAUUAAAAGGAUAUCCGUCCGUCGCAGUCUCGCGUUAGCAGCAUACCCCCUUAACCUCGGCUAAGAAAUUCGGGGAAAAGAAAGGCAACCACUACAUCGUAGUCUCGCGUUCGAGGUCGUAUCUUUCUUAACACCAUCCUAGAAAUCCUAUGGCGGCGCAGGUCCGGCGGCCGGGUUGUGUGUGCCGUGUGUAGUGUUUAAAAUAGUAAAGCAAGCACAAUAGUUUAUAAUCACAAGACAUUUUAUUUUAACAAAAUAAAAAAAAACUUUAAGCUAUUACCCUGCACAAAAGAAAAAAAAACCAAAGUCAGCAAAGCAUUUAAAUAAAGAUAAAAUGGCCUAAGUCCUCAAAAAUCGUCCCCAGCGGAGUCACCAAGCUGUCGCGACCUCCUUUUUUUUCGACGCCCGCAAUCGGGUACGAACGCCUAAGGAGGCUAAUGGCUCGGCUGAAUUUAUUAAGCCUGGACUCUCCCAAGUCCACCAAUUCAUGACUUAAUGGUUCAAGUUUUUAACCUGUAAAUCAAUUUUUAAAAUGGAGUCGCCACUAAUUGAUUUGGGGUGGGUUGAUUAGAAACCCAAGCGAAGUAUUGGGAGAAAUACUCACUCUUGCGCAACCAGAGAAAUUAUGAUCGGGGACUUGAUUACACUAGUUAAUCACUAAUGCCCUUUCGGUACCUAAUCUUGUUUAAACCUUGAGGUUUUUUGGAUGUUCAAGAGAUUUUCCAUGCAUUUUUAGGAGGAAAAAUAUUUUUUAGUCUUUUUUUUUUCUAAUUUUUUGGACAUAAAAGGGUUUUUUUUUUGGAUUUUUUGGUAUUUUUUUGGAAAAAUACAAGUCUUUUUGGCUUUUUCUGAAUUUUUUGGUUUUUUCAUGAAUUUUUGGCCUUUUUUGGAUUUUUGGCAUUUUUUUGGAAAAUAUGGAAUAUUUUUGAUUUGAUUUGAUUUUUAUUUUUUGGAAAUUAAAAUAUUUUUAAAUAUUUUUCAAAAUAUUUUUGGAAAAUAAAUUAUUUUUGAUUUUUCUCGAUUUUUUUAGAAAAUAAAACAUUUUUCAGAAUUUUUUAAAAAUAUUUUUCUAUUUUCUGGAAAUUAAAACAUUUUUGAUUUUUUUUGAAAAUAAAUUAUUUAUUUAUUAUUUAUUAGAAUAUUAUUUUAUAUUAAAAUAACAAAAUAAAACCGACCUGGGUCGGAUCCGCGGGUUGGGUCCGACCCGGGCCAGCCCGAAACGCAGACGGGCCCGCUACGCGGGCCCGACAUUUUUUUUUUUUUAAUUAAACAAAACGGCACUGUGGCCGAGCGAUUGGGGAUGCCCGGCCCGGCCCGACGACCCGGGUUCCUAGCUAAACCCUACCCGGGUCCGACCCAACUUGCGACCCAACCUCCGCCGCCCCCGGGAUUUACGGAAUCCCUACUCGGUUCCCGAUCCGGGUCCGACCCGACAACCUGGGGUCGCGACCCGGAAAAUCGGGAACCCUAGGGUUUCCGAAUCGCGGCGCCGAGGAGGAAGAGGACCGAGGCACAGCGGCGAUGGCGGCGAUGACUGGACUACGGAGAGGGAGAUGGCGACGGCGACAUCACGAUACCUGUUCGUGGCAACGGUGCGACGGGGGUGGCGACAACUGUGAGACCCACGCGAAUCUCCUCUAGCUUCUCUCUCUCUCUCUCGGGUUCGCUCUUCGAGCUCCCCGAAGUCUCUCGGGGACCCCUCCGAGCUCACCACACCACGGCCGGCCUGCACUCGAGCUCCCCGAAGUCUCUCAAGGGACCCCGAGCUCCGGUGGCCUCUCUCUCUAUCUCCCUAUGAUCUCUGUGUCCCCUCUUCGUCGGGGAUGGAGGGCCUAUUUAUAGGGCGAGGGGUGGCCGGUCGACGGAGCUCGACCGGCGGUUGCCACGGCCUUUGCCGGCCGAACCGGCGUCCCAUCCGACGCCAGCUGCCCCUUGCUCCACGUGCGUCGUCGCUGCUCCUCCCCUCCACUCCGGCGUCGCGCCCCCUGCGCCUGCGUUGCAACUGCGCGAGGAAGAAGAAGACCCGGCUAGGCUGGGCUGAGGCAGAGAUGGGCCGAGGGCCCAUGCGGAGGCUACUUCUCUUCUUUUCUGCUUUUUUCUGUUUUUUUGCUUUGUUUUGUUGUUUAUUUAUUAUUCAAUAAAGAAAAUAAAAACUUAAUAUAAAAUAAAAUAAAAUAAAAUAAAAUAAACCUAAAUAAAAUUAAGGCGUCAAGGUGAGGCACUCCAAUUGCAAGCUGGUUUACUUGUGUAGGAACCCUAAAGACACUUUCAUCUCAAUGUGGCUCUACUUCAACAAGUUCAAGCCCAAAGAGAAGGGCCAACUUCCACUCCUAGAGGGCCUCGACAAGUUCUGCGGAGGCAUUAGCGUGUACGGGCCUUACUGGGACCAUGUGCUGGGUUACCACAAGGUGAGCUCGGAGAUGCCCGAGAAGGUGUUGUUUGUGAAGUAUGAGGAGAUGAAAGCGGACCCGAGCAUUCAAGUGAGGAGGUUGGCCAAUUUCAUUGGGCGUCCAUUCAACGAAGAAGAAUUGAGAAACGGGACCGUGGAGGGAAUACUGAGGAUGUGUAGCUUUGACAAUUUAAGUGCAUCGGAGGUGAGUAGGAGCGGCAAGUUGCCUACUGGAGUAGAGAACAAGUGGCUCUUCAGGAAAGGCGAGGUUGGAGAUUGGGUGAAUUACAUGAGCGCUGAGAUGGGAGAGAGAAUUGACGGCGUCAUGGAAGAAAAGUUGCAUGGUUCUGGUUUGAAGUUUUAAGACAUAUGACCCACUCGAAGAUGUUUGGUUCGAUGGUGGAAAAGAAAAAUGUGUGUAAAAAGAAGAAAAAAGAAGCAAAAACGAUUCGACUCUCCGCACUUUAGGGGGUCAAUGUCUGGUUGGCCAAUGCAAGCGUGUUUCUCAUGCUAUAGGAUGAAAGAUCUUCAGUGGCAUUGUCAGUCCUGGCUUCGUCUCCAUAGUGAGAUGCUUUAGGGAUGUGAUUCCACUGUUCAUCUGUGUUGUGUACUAUUGGCGUUUGGCAGAAGUUAUUUGGCCAGUAAGUAGCUGGCUAAACAAGAGCUGCCUAGCUGCUCCCUGGGAGCUUGUGGAUGUAUCUUCUGUUAUUUAUUUCAAUUCCAUUUUUCUUUUUCUCUUGGCUGUGUGAAGAUUCGUGGCAUACGGUAUUAAAUACAAAGCAGUUAUUUGGUAGGUUAAGCUACAAAGGGUGCGUUUGGAAUCAGCUUUGCAAGGGACUUUGGGCUUCUAAAGACACUUGGGCUAAAGCUAGGGUGUUUGGAAACAAUCUUGGAAUUUCCAUUAGGCCAAAGCUGGCCUUCCCAAGGCUGAAAGCCCAAGGCAGGUGAAGGGGUGCCUUGGGCUUUAAGCUUUCUCGGCAUACAAGUGACACUGUUCACUUUUUUUAUUUUCUUUCAAAAAUAUCCUCAGCUACUCUUAUUUUUCCGGUUUUGCCCUCGUUGUUGUACUGUUCAUCUUCUUCUCCGUGAAGGCCGACGACGUGCUCCUCGAAGCUGUGAGUGAGUGGCCGCCGACGGCUCGGCAUGGUUGCGGUGGCCCAGGCGACCGUCGCCGGGGAGUGGUGCGACCGCCGCCCUGUCUGGGUCGCGGCGAUCGCUGUGGGUCGCGGCGAGGUUUGGGUCGCCGACCUUGCCGCGACCUAGAUCCGAGGGCGGCGAGGUUCUCCCGCGACCUCGCCGCCCCAGAACUUGGUCACGGCGGUUGCCGGAGGUCGCGCGACCUCGCCGCGACCCAGAUCCGGGGGCGGCGCGGUCGCGUGACCCCGCCGUGACCCAGAUCUGGGGCCGCAAGGUCGCGGGGACCUCGCCGCCCCAGAUCUGGGUCGCGGCGGGGUCGCCCGACGUCUGGAGACCCUCGCCGAUGGUUUUCAGUGGUCGCCCGACGGCCGGCGACCCUCUGUGAUGGUCUUCAGUGGUCGCCCGACGUCCGGCGACCCUCGCCGGUGGUCUUCAAUGGUCGCCCGACGUCCGGUGACCCUCGCCGGUGGUCUUCAGUUGACGUCCGGCGGCCACUUGCCCUUCCCGGCCAUCUGCCCUUCCGGUCAAUUUUUUAUUUAUUUUUCUUUUGAUAAUUUUUUUUAUCACCAAAGCAAUUUGCAAAUAUAAUUUCUCCAAACACCAUUUUGCUUAAAGAUACUUCAAAUGGGCUUUCAAACUACAAUUUUACCAAACACACUUUGCAUUUUGGAAAAUACAUUAAUAACAAAGGUCUUUGCAUUUUGCUAAGGACUUUUCCCAAAAGCGUUCCCAAACGCACCCAAAUUAUAUUUGUUAGAUGGAAAAUAAAUUUGUUAUUAAGCUUAUCGGUUUAAUUUGUCGGUUUUCAAAGUCAUAAACUAAAACCAAACGAAUAACCAAAGAAAAAAAAUCCUAAACCAAAAUUAAAACACUAAACUGCUAAACUGAGCUUAUCAAUUUUGUUCGGCUCGGUUGAUCAUUCUUUUCUGUUUUUCGUGAACAAUCCUACCAGCAUAGAUCCUUGCCGAAGCUGGCCAUGGUUGGGCUGUGGCCAUACCCAUGCGGUUUAUUGUAUUUUUUUUUUUUAUAACUUUCUUUCAUUUUAUUUUUUAAGAAUUCAUUAAUUUUCAUUUGUUCCUCUUGUUUUUGGCUCUUUUAAGUGUUUUGAUAAACCAGCUUGUAGUUUGGUUGACCCCCUUUUUAUAAUGUAUUAAUGAGAAUCAAAAAUUAAUUUUGUCAUGCCCUUUAAUUUACUUUGCCAAUUGCUUGCCAAGUGAUGUCUUUAGCUUCCGCCGCUUUAAUCUUGUCCAUGAUACCUUCGACUUCAUUUUUUUUUUUUUGGUAAAAAAAAGAAGAUUUUUCUCCUCUUUUUUGCUGAUCGCCUGUUAACGGCCUUGCCAAGCCCACGUUCUUUCGAUGCUAGACUUCAGCCUACCAUCAAUUUUUCCUUCCAUAGAUGGUGCGCAUGAAGGAAUCGAACCAAAUGAAAAGAAGGCAAACGGUGAUAGAAAACGAGGAAAAGAGGAAACAGAGAAGAGAGAGACAGCUUGCGCGCGCAUCUCACAGGAACCACGCUAAGCCAGGUUAGCCUCAUUUUGCAAUGCCCAAUAAUUAAUCAAACUCGUUAUUCGUCUAAUUGAAAUAAUUUUCGGAAUUAGGCCACAAAUUUGAAGUUCAAGUGAAUUUUGAACCACGAUUAAGGAAUUAUUAAGUUAUGGAUUUAUAUGGAAAUGGUCCGGUUUUGUGUGGGCAAAGUUGUGAGACCACCACAAUCAAUAAGUUUGAAAGAGGGCCCCAAGAUUUGACAUGUGCUCUCAUAUCAUAGAGCAAUACCUAAUCAUAAAAUUUAAACCAUUAAAUGAAAGGAGACUACUAGUAUAAAAAACAUAUUAUAACUAUAAUGUAAGUUAUUCAGAACGAUACUUAAUAGUUUGAAUGGAUGAGACACCAAAUAAUUAUAUUGGUGGAGGUAACGAUCUCAUUCCAUUUUGGGGUAUCUUCACAUAAUAAAAUUACCCUCCAACUUUAUAAAAUCCUGCCGUUUUGAUUCAAUUACAGAAAUGAAUUGAAGUGGCCCAAUUGCAUCAUGGUGAGAGGAUCCAAUUCGAAGACACGUAGUCAAUAGCUUACUAUGUAGUGAAAAGAGUGACAUCUGGACUCCUGCAUAAAUUUUUUUUAAUAAAAAUUGCCAUAAUUAUCCACCUCUACACCAACCUUCCUAAGCAGCCAUGCCAUAUAAGACGGUUGAUAUUUAUGUUAGUAAUUACCAGCCAAAAUUAGCUAAAAUGACUAUAUUGACAAAACAUUGAAAGAUUUAAGAUUAAAUUUGUUAAAUUGAAAAGUUUAUAAUUGAAUUAACCACUGUAUAAUAUGUUCAUGACUUUUUAAAUAAUUAUCCAUAAUUUUUUCUAUUGAUUGAUUAUGCUUCAUCCUGACAGAGUGAAGUACCACUUACUUUUGAACAGCCAAAAAAUGGAUGAUGUUUACAUAUACAAACGUCAUUAUGCUAUAGCUAUAAAUGACUAAAAAAAUGAAAAUAUCUUCACUUACAUUAGAUGUAACACCAAUUGAACUCGAAAUUGCAUAUCUAACUAAAGAGACAUAUUUUCCUCUAUUCUUGCUAAAGCCAAUCUCAAAGUAGAGGAUUAGACAACCCGCUUGCAUAUUUAACUAUAAAUAAAAUGUGUGCCAUGUCAAACUAUGAUUGGAUGCUCUAACUAGGGUAGCUAAAGAUUUUCUAAGAUGUUCAUUGUUCAUAGGUUAAGAAACAACAGAAUAUGUAACUGGUUUGUAAUACCAAUUCUCACCAAUAAAGAGAAAAACUCAGAACAAGUAGUUAGAGUGGAGAAUAAAGUGAAAAUCAGUUUUUUCCCUGACGAGGAGAUUUGCGCAGAGGAAAUAAUUCUUUACGCAUGGGAUGAAUUUGGUAGGAUGUUAAUUUCUUGCAUCCUGAUACAUACAAAAUGUAAUAUCAUAUAGAAUGAAUUUGGAUGAGUAAAUAUCGAGAACAUAAGGAUUGGUGUACAAAAUUGAUUUACACGAUGAGUUAAUAGAUCCCAAUGAGCAUCUACAUUAAGGAGGACGUAUACAUUCAAGCAUCCAAUAAUGGUUUUGACAUAUACACCGAUAAAUAUCGGUCUUUACCAACCUUGGUAUCAUCAUUUUUUUUAAAAAAGCCGUAUGAAAGCAUCAAAUAAUGCUGGGAGUAUUUAUUUAUUUGGGGUUUUUUUUUUUUUAAAGAUAUCCCUCUUCACGGGGAAAAUUGGUAGAUUGAUGUUUAUAUUAUUAAAAGACUCGGCCCUGUGCCUGGCGACUUCUCAUGUAUAUCAUUGACUUCAUUUUAAAACACCAGUUAAGAUUCAGUGUUGUAUCCAAUACUGGAUCGAUAUUAUGAAAUUUCAUCCACACUACCCCGGAUACGAGCCAACCAACAAAUAUUUCAAUAGGUUGCUUCGCUUAGUGGAAAAUAGAGUUAGGUGGGCUACCUUUGAAUUAUUAUUAAAGGAUGAACAGGAACCUUCGAAUGUACUAUUCAAAGUUGACAUGAUAUGGAUGCUACUUGUAUAGAAAUUAUAAUUUGCAUUUCGCAAGAUGACAAAACAUAUUUUUGGGGAGUACACUAUCAUUGCCAUAAGUUGUGUACGGCACUCACUUUGGUGUCAAAAGUUUUUGUCGGAUCACUUAAGUGCCAAAAAGUUUGAAAAACGAUCAUUUUAGUGCCAACUCCGAUCAUAUUGAUCGGAAACUCGACAUGGCACCUUUUUUUAAAUGUUUUUAUGUUGAUGUGGCUCGCCAGAGAGUACAGUUAGCAUGUAAACCACAAAACGACCUUGUUUUGCUGCUUUCCCCCAAGUCGAAACCCUAAAUCCCCAAAUCAAGAGAAGGCAUGAUCGCAUCGUCUUCUUCCCCAAAGAACAACCCCAGCACUAGCCACUCUCUGAGCAGAGCCCAAUCCACAAUCUCCAUCUGCGCCCUCCUUGUUUCCCUCGCACUCCUCAUCUUCUCUCUCUCUCUGCACCUUUGACCCCCCUUCUUCCUCCUCCUCCUCCUCCGCCCUCGCCUCCUAUUUUCCCAUCGCUUCUUGCCUGAGAAACAACCUCAGUCUCUCCUUGCUCACCUAGUCGAGCAACCACGACGGAGGCCGAGCACGGUGGCCAAGCGACGGUGGCUGAGCACAGUGGCCAAGCAAGCUUGGUCGGCGAGGAUUGAACCAAAAAAAAAAAAACCCUAAUUUCAAUCCCAAAUGAGUUGUGCGGCGUCAUUUUUGUGAGGCCAUCCACAUAUGACGGCAAAACGACAUUGUUUUCUUAAGGAGGAUGGAAAAUGAUGUUGUUUAAAAGGCUUGUCGAUUUUUUUUUUAAAUAUAAAAAUCACGUAAUCAUUUUGGCAGUAAUCUCUCGCUGGUAGUACCAAAGUGAUCGUUUUUCCUCCGAUUUGGCACUUAAGUGAUCCGAUAAAAACUUUUGGCACCAAAGUGAGUGCCGUACAUAACUUAUGGCACUGAUAGUAACUACUCCCCAUAUUUUUAUGUAUGAUAAUUACUUUAUCCCUGUUGAAGAUGGCGUUCACUUGGUAUACUAGUAUACUAGUCUUCCCGUGAAUUCGAUACAGAAUGCAAAAUGCACCUAGAGAGAAUCCUUGAUACUUUGGGCGUUCAUCACAGUUUUUGGGCUAACAUUAUAAGAGUUAUUUUGCGUAUGAUGUUUAGAGCAUUGGGUAAUGGCCGUGGAGGGUUUGUCUUGAACAUAAAUUUGGCAUUAGCCACCAGAGAUGAAGUUGAAAUAGAGACAUCGAGGAAGCCUCAAUUGGAGGAUACGAGUCAUAUCCAAUCAAGUCACGCGGGGCGUCUCCAGAGGCACCAUUGAAAAGCUCGAGCGGAAGAGCUACUCUAUUGGGGAAGCUGACGAAUGAUGUUCUAUUUGUUUAGAGGUACUGGAUGAGAAAUAUAAAGAGAUGGAGAUACCAUGUUUGCACCUAUGGCACAAUAGGUGCGUCGUCAAGUGGCUCGAGAGGACUAAUUCGCGUCCACUAUGUCGUGGCAAAGUACAAGUACAAGAUUUAGAGUAGUCAGUUUUAGUUUGUAAGAUUUUUUAAUAAGAAAAUAAUUCUCUUUUUUUUUUCUCCAAUGGAUUAACUAAUUCGCUGCAAUGACUUUGGGUACUCAAUGCAGCCCCCGCUGCUACAGUUCCGAAUAUCACCCCUGUUAAAAAACCAAGGUCACCUGUGAUGUCCCAGUAGAGACUAUAUAUAGUUUCUGUUUAUUCUAUGGCCAGAACCUGGCAGAGAUAGUAGUAACCUGCAUUUGGAAAGAGAGCAAAACGAAAAGAAAAUUGUCCCAGUCAAAAUUUACAUGAGAAGACUCACAAAAGAAUGUUCACAUAAGAGUACCAAACGAGUGGGGAGCGGGGAGCGGGUAGAGGGAGGGAGAGAGGGGGAGGGAGAGAGAGAUUCUUACGCAAACCGAGGUACAGAAUAUGUGCAACUUUAUUAGCUCGUUUUUGCCAGUUAUCCUAGGCAAGAAUGACCCAUUCAUAAGAGAAUGGGCAAAGACGACUAAUAGUGUAUUAUGCGCACAUUUGAUAAUCUCAUAUAUAAGCUAUCGUGUAUAUCAGAAAUAAAAUAAUAAGAUUGUUGCAGAUAUUUCUCAAAAAUUUAUUUAUUUUUUGAUAGGUGAAAGAGAAUAUUACUGAAGCACAUCAAGGGAGUGGAAACCCAUAUGCAAAAAGAGCCCAAUUACUCGACAAAUUAUGUACAAUGUUAAAGCAUUUCCAUCCGCACGACUUUCUAGGACACCAGAAGCAUAAGAUUUUUAACCAACUUUCAAUAAUUACAGAAAAUGGUGUUUCCUCUCCAAUGAAAGCUCUCAUAGUCGGCUCUCGGAAACUUAACUUAAACAGAUGACUUCCAACCAACAGAAUAUAUACAAAGACAUGCACAACAUCUGUUGUUCCAUCAAUGUUGAACACUGACAUAAGUUCUGGUAAUAAUAUAGGUACCUGUGCGGGUAGUCAUCCACCACACCACCAGUGAAUCCAGCACGCAUGGCAGAACUCAUAAUCAACUCUGCUGGGCUAUGCUUUCUGGAUAAACUUGAAAAACUGCUCGUUUCGCCCCUUGCCAAGCAUCUAUAUGACAAGCCAAAAAAUGCCCUAAAAACACUCGAGAUAAAUGUUGAUUAUUAGCCAGCCAAAUAGGGACUAGAAGUUGUGCAAGAUAGAAAAGAAAAAAGAAGAAAUUUUUCGAUUAUUCGGGACAAUCAUCCAGUUAUCAUCCAAUACUAAGGGAGAAGCUUCAAUCUUAACCACGGCUCCUGAGAGGACUUAUCCACGUUGCAUAACCACUGCAUGAAAAACAGAUAUAGGAAUCAACAAACUACAUAAAAGAAACCAAAAAAGAUUCCAAGUUACCCAGUGUAGAAACUCAGAGAAUUUCCAGAGUGUAGCAAGAUUAUGAAAUAAGAAUGAUAACAUGCAAAAUUAAUGAGGAAAGACAAUUAGAAUGUACGGAGACGAUGCAGCAAUGACACAAGGUGUAUCACCAGACUAUGGUCCAACAGUCCUUCAAACCCAACUAUGCCCAAGUUCUAAACAUUUCAUGUGCACAAUUUACCCCUUGAGUAUCCACUUAAUAACAAGUCAUUCUUACGGAUCGUUCUUUUGGUGUCUAACUAGCAGAUAAAGGGGGAAAGACAGAGAGUUGAAUCUACCAAAGUUGAAGCACAACAGUAGCUACUUUCUGCAGUGAACUUUUCCUAUGGAUCAGUCUUUGAUUUGUUUGGCCCAAGCCAAGAGGUCAACCAUGCAUCCACAAUGCUCACUAGUUGGAAUGGUGCCAUAACCUUUGCUCACACGUCCGAACAAGUGCAAUGCUCGAUUGAUUAGACACCUCCGAUUGAAGGCCAUUGGACCUCCAAAAAACGUCACAGCAUUUGGUUUAGGGCCCCUAUUUUCCAUCUCGUAAAAAAACUGCAGCCCAGUUUCAUUCUCACCAUUGACAGCAAACCCCAAUAUCAUCGCACUCCAAGUUGUCAACAUCUUUUAGAGGCAUUUGGUCAAACACUUCUUUGUAAGAAUCCGACGAACCCACAUGUGACAAGAAAAUAAUCAAUGCAAUUCUUGGCCCAAGUUCGUAAACAAUGCCACUCUCAUCUAUGUACUUAUGAACCCAUUUUCCUUCUUUAGAGGCUUCCACAAUAGCACGGCAUAAUAGCACGGCGCUAAAGUAUGCUAGCCUAAAGAGAUCCACUUAAUUUAACCGCUUGUUCCUAACGUAGCCAGAGAUCAAGGCACUGUAGGAAACAUCAUUUUUCCCUGGUACUAAAUCGAAUAGCCCUCGAGCUUCCUACAUGAGGCCAAUGCUACAAUACACAGUGAUAAGGCUCAUCCAGCAAACCACGUCCCGCAUUGAACUCUGAUCAAAUGGGCGGCUAGCAACAGUCGCAGCCCAAUGCUUCCGGUACAUGCUUAUCAGAGAACCCACCACGUAUGCAUCACAAUCUCGCCUGAACUUCAUCGCCCGGCGGUGAAGUUGGCCGGGCGAUGAAGUUGGCCAAGCUAAGGAAGAGCGAGCGCCAUGCCCCGACCAAUGCAGUGGAAGUGUGGGCAUAUGGCGGGCGUAGACAGAGACCAGCCUUCCCACGUUCGAAGUACCCCCAAGAAACCCAUCAUCCCGACUCCCAAGUCGAAGACAAUGGUGGUGGGCGAGUGGGAACACGAGAGAAAACGCGCGCCGCGUAGUUCAUGUGGCGGCGAACGGGAAGCGAGAGAGGCCGGAGAUGAUGGCGUGGGCAUGGAUUUGCUUUGGGUGGUCGGUCGAUGGUUGAGCAUCUUCGGAGAAGAGCGAGCGUGUGAUAUUUAUCACUAAUUGGUUGGAUGAUUUCGUCAUUUCACAAUGUGUAAUAAUAAAUAAAAUAUUUAUUCUAUGUAUGUCUUCUUCUUUUCUUAAUAGAGAAAUUAUAUAUUAUAACCGGUCCAUUUAACACCCCUAUCCUAUAUAUGUCUUUAGACAUUUUGGCUGUGUUCACAGCCAAUUUUAUUAUGGAAAUAGCGAAUUUCAAGAAAUUGAAACCUAAUAGUGAUGGGAGAAUCAUUUAGAACAAAAAGGGAAUACAAAGUUAUCGUGAUUUAUUUCUUGAUCAGUCCGCCCACAAUCAACUUUGGUCACUAAAUAUAUCAUAUUUGAGCAUAAAAAUUAUUGGAAUUCACUUUGAAAGAGAAAACUGUAAUCCACGCGCAAUUGCAUGACGGACCAAUCUACCAUAAUCAACUUUGUCCACUCAAAGUAUACCUUGAUAUAUACGAAUAUAGAUAUAAAUAGAAUAGAAAAUUUCCUAUAUAACCACAGUGGAGAGAGAAAUGAAACAAAAAAAAAAAAGUUGAAGACAUUAGGAUUGGGCUUCGAAAGAACCACUCACCAAGGAUUGAAUUUCUUGAGAGAAAUAGAGAGUCUAAUUGCGUAGAAUAAUAAAAUUGUAAACAUAAAAUAAAAUUUUUUCAUUAGUCAUCAAACAAAAGAAAUACUAAUUCAAGAUUAAGUCUCAUUAAAAGAUAUGUUUGACCUAGGAAUUCUAUAUGCUCUUUUAAGUUAAAUGGCUUUCAAAGGUCGAUUCUUGCACGUGUGAGCCCUUUUUAUAACGAUAUAAACAUGUAUUGAUCAUCGUCAAUCCAAUAAAACGGCUGCUCUCAAAUAGAUUUUACAUCUUAAACCAUGUUGAAACCAACGUUUUUCCUUCUCUUUGUUGCUUCUUCAAAAAGGCAUGUGUCCCUUUAAAGAGGAAGCAACUAAUUGUACUCAACAAUUUCUAGAUGCAUACCUGUAAGGGAGAAAUUGGUUUACGUCAAUAAAUCUUUCAAAUUCAAAUCUCCAUCUAAAAUAGAGAACCAUCAGGGAAAAAAAAAUAUAAUCGAUUAGGUUUGAGUGAUUUAGUCUGCACCUAGAACUGAAUUGAUUAUUAAUGAUUCCAAAUUUUAGGAACUUGGAAUUUGACUAGUGCUCACCCCUAGAUAUUUUGUUCGAAUGUAAAGAAUUUGUGCAACCAACUGAGAUCUUUGGUUUUAUGCACUGGUGAAAAUGAUUUUCCUGAAUAAGUCAAUUGAAAACUUUAGCUAUGGUUACGGAAAUUUCUACGAAGAGUUUAACUAAGCGAUACGAAUAUUUUUUAACGGAAGAAGUACACUCCAAGUGUCAAAACUUGGCACAGAGGGACACUUAAGUGCCAAAAGUUAGAAAAGUGAUGCUUAAGUGCCAAAAUCGGAGCAAAAUGGAUCACUUAAGUAUCAAUUCGGUCAAAAUGUUGAUGUGGCAGUUUUCUGGCGAAAUAAGUGCAAAACGAUGUCGUUUUGCAUGCUGAUGUGACUAGAUAAUGUAAAAAUGAUGUCGUUUUGUCUUCGACGUGGUAAAAAAUCAAUAUAAAANNNNNNNNNNNNNNNNNNNNNNNNNNNNNNNNNNNNNNNNNNNNNNNNNNNNNNNNNNNNNNNNNNNNNNNNNNNNNNNNNNNNNNNNNNNNNNNNNNNNCUCGACCGACCCUCCCCCCUCUAUCAUCGGCCCUUCUCGGUAAUGGCGGGGAGGCGGCGAGGCUCGCGAGCCCUCAUUGCCAAUUGGGCGGGGGCCAGCGACCCUGGCCAUCCCUCCCCCUCCGUCGCCAGCCCUUCUCAACGGCGGCGGGGAGGCAACGGCAGCGAGGCCUCAGCCCUCAGUUGUUUCCCUCCCCUCCCCCCUUUUAUUUUUAUUUUUAUAUGUUUUAAAUAAAUUUAGUUUUAAAUUUAAUUGAAUUAAUUUUUAUAUUAAUUUUUUACCACAUCAGAGAUAAAACGACUUAGUUUUUGUAUUUUCUAGCCACAUCAGCGUGCAAAACGACGUUGUUUUGCAUUACCUCGUCGGAAAAUUGCCGCGUCGGCAUUUUGGCCGGAUUGACAUUUAAGUAAUUCAUUUUGCUUCGAUUUGGCACUUUAAGUGUCACUUUUCUAACUUUUGGCAUUUAAGUGUCCAUCCAUGCCAAGUUUUGGCACUCUAAGUGUCCGGCACUCAUUUUUUGACUGAACAUCAGUCGCGAAGGUCCAUAGGUGUAGAGAGCAAAGCUCAAGCCAUGUGUUCUUGUUUUCUUCAACUAGUUAAUUGAUAACCUUCUACCAUGUCUUUAUUAUUAUAAAAGAAAAUACUUUUAAUACCUUAGCUAAGAUUUCAAGCAAAGUUUAGAGUUCCGAGGCAUUGGCGUGUAUUAUAUGUAUCCUGUUUCUCGAUAUACUUCCAUAAGAUUCCACGAAAGAUUUCCUGGGUUUUCUCGUGCUUGGGUUUCAACGUUACCCGUGAAAAUAUUGUUCAACCACACUCUUGGUAGCAACGACAUGGAGAAGAUACAUUUUGAGGCGAAAGACAAGGAAUUCCGAUUUUUCUGGCCCGCCGACCGCUGUCUUUAACUUCUCGGUCAAGUGGUACAAUUUGCUAGAUUUCGUUGAUCAAAAACAAUUUUGAGUUGUUUAAGUGGACACAUCCACUUCUAAUGCUCAAUUUUUUGGGCAAAUAUCACAAAAAAUCUCAUACUAUUUGCAUUGUGGCACAAAUAUCGAAAGGUUUUUUUAAUAGAUAUUACAAAAAAAUUAUAAACUUGCCUAUUGUGGUACAAAUACCUCCGAUUUUUUUGUGUGUCACGAACAAAUCCAAAUUUAUACACAUGUGACAUAAUUAUUCUAUAUUUCAUUUCUAUUCAGAGUAUAUUUGUCACAAUUGACAAGUUUAAGAUUUCUACUAAUAAACAAAAAAUUGUGUCAUAGUUGGUAUAAUUUGAGUUUUUUGAGGUAUUAACCCUUAUUUUUUAUUUAUUUAUAAGCAAUGCUUUAUUUUAUAUUUUUAGCAUGGGUUUUUUAUUCAAUCAUGUGAUCGAGAUGCGUUUGUUUUAAUUUAUUAAUAUGACUGAAAAAAAUAUUUGAUCAGGGAUGCCGUGAGAAAGUGUGCGUAUCCACUCUAGCAUUAUUAAUCCUAGUUGAUAUCUAGCCUUAAUUAUGUAAUGAAAAUCGUCAACCAAGUGUGGGGUAGUGAGAGUAUCUUGUGUUAAAUGUAGAGUGGUUAGGAUUUGGUUUUAUACACCAGAUCCAGUGCCUCGUUUGAUAGUGUAAAUGAAAGUUCCACAUUAAACGUGCAUUUGAACACAGCCAAAAAUUAAAUGAUGAGUACACAUACAAGUAUCUUUACGCUGUAGCUAUAAACGAUUAAAGAAUUCGACAUAUGGGCCUGAGGUUUCACGCUCUUGACGUCAUCACUCUCGUGUGCUAAAUGUCCACCAAAUGAUUCAUUGACUUGAUACUACACACCUAACUAAAGCGGCAUAUCUUUCUCCAUUUCUACUAGAGCCAGACCUCCAUUAGAGGAUUGCAAAUAAGGAUAGAACCUGUUUGUAAAUUUAACUAAGUUGAAAUUUUUGUGAUGUCAAAUUAUAAUUGGAUCCUCUAAUUAGGGAUGGAGGAAAUAACAUGGCCCUUAACUAAAUGAUUUUUAUUUUUUGACAAAAAAAAGGCUAAACAAUUUUUGUUCAUGUGCGUGUUCAAAGUUCAAAGAAAAAGAAGAAGAUUUAAUUGGAUCAAUAUACCAAUGUUCACUAAUAAAUAAAAAAUUCAGAAGACGCCAUUCAGGUGGUGUCUAAAAGUGACUUUUUUUUCCUACUAUGAGGACCAUCUCCAUUUAAUGUAUAAAUUGUAAGAGACACCCAGCACCAUCUUCAUGUUCUUUAUUUAGACACCCAAUCAUUCACUCCAACCAUCCUCCUCCUCCACCACCACCACCACCACUACCACCACCAUCACCACGCACCACGGCCGCCGUUGCCAUCAUGCAACCCUCUCAACCUUCUCCUCUCAAUGAAAAGUACUUGCGAGACGACGUCAAGUCACUAGAAUGUGAAGACUUGCUCUCCUCUCUCCGUUCGGAAGAGGACUGGGUCCCCACCUCUCUCCGCUUGUACCAGGGCUUCUGGUUCCCCUCUUGGCUCUUGAACAGCGUCGUCGCUUGCCAAAAUCACUUCCAAGCUCACCCCUCCGACAUCC